rnacentral:lncRNA from 1 species
UUUGAGAUUGUGUCAUGUCAUUAGUUAUAUUUUAGAAAAAAUAUAAAUUUUGAUGUAAUGAUGUGACAUAAUAUAAGUGUAACACCCUACGCUUGAACUGGUUGUCGGAUUCGGGUAUGGAUCAUUAUAGGUUGACCGGAUUCGAAAAACACACCUAUGUACUUUUCUUUAAAGAAAAGCUCAUUAUCCUUAUGGUGGGUACCUCCUUCAUCAGAGUGGUAUUCCUUUAGUUCAAGACCAUUUUUGUAACAACCCUAACCCGUAUCUGUCUCCAGAAUAAGGUUAUGAAGCAUUAUCAAACUUUUCACAUAAACAAUCAUACAUUUUCAUAUUCAUUUCUCAUAUCCAAGCAAUAGUCAUUCAAAUUCAAUCAUAUAGUCCCUAACACAAGCCCUCAAGGCCCAAAAAAAGCAUUAAAAACAAAUUGAGACUAAAUUGAAAACUCAUAGAAGUUUUGGAAAAACAUUGAAAAUUUACAAAGUGCUGGGGACACAUGCCCGUGUGGCCAGGUCAUGUGUCUCACACAGUCAAGAGACACGUCCAUGACUCAGUCCAUGUGGGCAUUCGAAAUGGGAUCGCAUGGCCGUAUCCUAGCUAGUGUCCAACCCCAUGUAACUCACUGACUUGGGUCACACGGCCAACCACACGCCUGUUUGACUAGCCCGUGUAGCUCAUUGACUUACUUUCAUUAGAAAUUUUAGGGGACACACGGUCGUGUCUCCUGACCGUGUGUCACACAGGCCUGCGUUUCUGCCCGUGUGGACAAAAAUAAGCUAUUUUCUAAGCCAGAUUUCUCACCCAAAUAGGUACCAACCUAAGCUCAAUAAUGCAUAUACAACCAUGGCAUAAAUAAGCAUUCAAAACUAACCAAUACCAAGUUUAUAACAUGUAAUAUCCACACAUACAACAUGAUAUCCAUAAGCACAUUCAUUUGACCACUUUAAAGCAUACCAAAUAUACUUCCAAAGUCUAGUUAAAUGGUUAAUUACAUAUAUGAGACAUUGAACCUAAAACUUAGAAUGCAAGCUUAUCUCAAUUCCAACCAUUUGGUUCCAAAACACAAUUUCACAAGCAAGGCAUUCAUAUAGCAACUAUACACCACAUAUCACAAGGCCAUUUAUACAUAUAUACAUAUCAAAAUAUAUGACCACUUUUCAAGCCAAUUCAAAUGGCCUAAACUCAUCAAGACAUAUAGGCUAAAUUAGCCAAAAUACCUAUACAUGUCAUUUAACCAAAAUAUAGAGAUUCAAAAGUACCAAAACGAGAGCUUGAUAGUGAGACACAAUCUCCGAUAACUUUCAAUUCGAAUGAGCUUCCGAUUCAGUAUUAAAACACGAAAAAUUAAACAGAGUAAGCAAUUAAGCUGUAACAUAAAACUCAGCUUACCAUUUAAUCAUAAUUUAAGUAAUUAAACAUAGCAUAAUGCAACUCAAUUUGAUCCAUAAGCCUAACACAUGUUCAUCCACAAGAUUAGACAUGAAAUAACAAACCUCAUAGAUUCAAUUCUCACAUGAUUGACAUACAUACCUAUACUAGUUCAUAUCGAACUCAUACACUUUCGUAAUAACACUGUGCCCGUUGAACUAUUUGGAAUAAUAUCGGAUACUCAGGUAUCUCGCACACUUAGUGCUAAUACAUGGUCGAAACCAUCUCUAUCUCAUAUAGAUGCUCACUCUCGAGCCAUCACUAGGUCUGCUCACACAAGCUGACGGUCAAGACGUAGCUACACGGUGCUACUCACACAAGCUAUCGGGUAACCGCAACACAUGCUAGAAAACUUAGCCAUCGGUAGAACGUAUGGGAUCAACACCCAAAACACGAUUAUUCCUAAUGACAUGUCAUUUGUACCUAUCUAUUCCUAACGUUCGAUCGGGAUCCAUACACUUGCCGAUAUCUUGUCGAGAAUUUAUGUAGUAUCGUAUCAACUAAUAUUUCAAUUAAUCAUGUAAACAUAUAUAUAAUUUAAAGCUUAUUAAUAUAUGAACUUACCUUGAUCUCGUACGAUGAAAAUUUAUCGUUUAAUCGAUAACUUUAUCUUUCCCUCGAUCUAAUUCCGUACUUCGCUUUUCUUGAUCUAUGUAAUCAAAUUUAACUCAUUUAAUCAUUAAUCUAUUAAAUUCAAUCCAAAGUUCAUGUUAUGACAAAAUUACUAUUUUGGCCCUAAACUUUUGGCUUCUUUAUAAUUUAGUCCUAAACUCAUAAAAAUGCAAAUUCAUGCAAUUCAAUUUCAGCCCAUGCUAGCUGAAUAUCAUAUAGGUCCCUAGCAAGCCUUAUAUUUCAUUUAUUUCACAAUUUCACCAUGUAUAUUACAUAUUUUAAUUAAAUCCCUAUUUGACAAUUUUACUAAAAAUCACUUAACAAAUGUUGUUUAACUAACAACAAAGAUUCAUUUUCUUCCAUCAAACAUCAAAACACAUACACAUUCGUCAAUGGUGAAACCCUAACUCUUUAACACUUUUGCAAAUUAGUCCCUGGGCUAGCUAGAUUAAGCUACAACGACUUCAAAACCAUAAAAAUCAUUAAAAACCGAGCAAAAUUGCACUUACAUGCAAGGGAGAAAGAUGGUUGAAUGUUCAAUCUCCUUCCAUGGAGUUUCCUAGGUCUAAUUUCAGUGGUGGAUGAUGGAAAAAGAUGAUAGCCAUAUUUUAUUUUACUUAAUUUAUCAUUAUUUACCUAUUUACUAAUUUAACCUUUAAAAACAUUAAAAUUUAUACAAAUGCCAAGCCAUUAUCAUCCACUAAAAUUUUAAUUGUAUAAUUGCCAUAUAAGGACCUCUACAUUAAAGUUCAAUAGCUAUUAAACACUUUUAGCUAUUAGAACCUAACUUUUACACUUUACGCGAUUUAGUCCUUUUCAUCAAAUAAAACAUGUAAAUGAUAACAUUUCUUAACGAAAUUUUCAUAUGACUCUAAUAACAUUGUGUAACCAUUAAAAUAAUAAUAAAAUAAAUAUUUUCACUUCGGAUUUGUGGUCCCAAAACCACUGUUCCAAUUUCACUAAAAACGAGCUGUUAUAAUUUUAGUUUGGAAGCGCAAUUUAAAUAAAAACUCACUGCGUUAAGGAUGCAUGGAAUAACCCUUUGGUGGCCACUUAAUUAACAUUAAUAAGUCAUAAUAGCAUUUGAUCAUCAAAGCUUCCAUUCAACAUUCAACGUUUUCAAAGUAUUGUUCAAUAAAUAUUAAAAUUUCAAAUUGGCGGUUUCUAAGAAUUGGCCUAAUAGCCCCAGUAAAUGCAUGUUAACUUUGAAAUUAAGAAGGCUCAUAAAUGGUCGUAGAUCUAGCUGUAUCCCUUCGAUCACCUCGCUUAACCUAAGAACUUGAAAGGAAGAAGAAACUGGGUAAGUUCGUAAGAACUUAGUGAGUUCUUGGGAAAAAAAAUCCCACCUUAGUUAGUAUCAGACAUUAAGACAAAAAGACUUGACUAGAUCACCCUAUUUGGCAGAUACAUUACCUUGUCUUGUAGAUCAACUGGCGAAUGAUACCGCAAAUCAACUCAGCUUAUUGGUGAACAACACUGGUUUCUAUAAUCAUAUAUGAUAAUCACGGGCACAUAUUUUCCGCGAAUUUGCCACUUGUGUGGACUACCAUUUUUGAUAGAUAAGCUUACUGUUCAUGCUUUCAUGCAACAUGCAAUACCACAUACACUGUUUUUCUACGUCCUCUCUUUUUUAUGCUAGGUUCUGAUCCCUAUUCCUGAAGAACCAAAAUUUUCCUGUAUCUUCAAAUUCACUUGUUUGAGCCCUAACUUUUUUCCUUGUAUGAACACAUAAGUAUUCUACCGCAAGGUCGAGUUUUCACCAAUCAUGAUUUGUAUCUAAGUGUCAUCCAAAGGCAAAACAUAAUUUCAUGUAUCUUCGUUAUCAUUAUAUACAACAUUCCUCCGAUACCUUCUUACACCCAUCUAGAUGCGAAGCUUGUGCACCAAGGAAUGAGUACUUAUACUGUGUAUAUACCAGGUUUUUUGGGCCUGUUUAACCAUGCAUGCAUUGACUCUUUGAAUGAUACUCUUCAGACAUGAACUUCAAAAAUAAAUAACUAAGUCACUUACCUAGCUUAAUGAAGUUUAGAGGUAAAUAAACUAAUGCAGAUACCAGACAUAAAGUGCAAAGGAACUCACCAGAAUACUUUAUUCAGAGCUUUAUCUACUUUACUAGUUCUUUUCCUUUAGCACACAUGAACUUCAGAAAUAAAUAACUAAGUCACUUACCUGGCUUAAUAAAGUUUAGAGGUAAAUGAACUAAUGCAAAUACCAGACACAAAGUACAAAGGAACUCACCAAAAUACUUUUCUCAGAACAUUAUCUACUUUACUGGUUCUUUUCCUUUAGCACUGGGACCUUUUCCCGUUUCUUUAUCUAAACAAUAAAACAACUUUUUUAACUAUCAAAUAUAACCAAAAACUUAUGAUACAACAAAAGUCUAUAGACAUGCAAACGAUUUUUGGAUAAGAGUUUCCUUCCUACCCUAGAUUCAAAGAAAUCCUAUCAAUCAUUUCUCAAGUUAGUUUCUACCUAUUUGGUAAAACUUCAAGGAAGGUUUAAGAAUUUACCAGCAAACAACUAGCAUAGAAGUUCUCCUAAACUUUUACAAUUAACACCCUUGUUAGCAAAGAAGAACUCUUCUGGUUUCUUCGAUGAUAACAAAUUCUAUGUUCGAUCUGGUGCCUUGAGUACAAUAUAUUUGUCUAAUGAAAUUUGUAAUGUCACACCCCAAAUUUGACAGACCUAGUUAGAAGACAUGUAGAUGUGAAGUUAUCUGUUUGGCGUAGUGUAGUUUGCACAUUUGUAAUCUUUUGGUGAAUAACUGUAACAGCCCGGUUUUCAGUGGUGAUAGAAAUAGUGGUUUUGAGACCAUAAAUUUCACUGUGCCGACUUGUAAAUAUUAUUUUUAGAAUAUUUAUAGUCAUUAUAGUCAUAUUAAAAUUUGGUUAAGAAAUAUUAAUGUUUAGUUAGUUAAUUAAGAUAAAAGUAACAAAUUGAAAAAGGUGCAAAACUUGUUAAUUAAUACAUUUAGGUGAUUAGAUGGUUUAAUUAAUAAAUGAGGAAGGGAUUAAGUGAUAAUUAAGCUAUAAAUAAUGAGUGGGACGACAAUUAAAGUUAAAAAUGAAAGAAAAUUUAAUGAUAAUGGCAUAAUUGUAAAUUUCUUGAAAGUAAAACAAAAUUAAAAGAAGAAAAAGACAUUUUCUCUUCAUCUUUCUAUUUUUCAUUGUCAAAACACCAUGGGAGCUUAACUUGGAGGUUCGUCCACUUUAUACUCUUGCAUGUGAGUUUAAUUCCUAUCUGUUUCUUGUAAUUUUUAUGUUUUUGAGAUCGUUGCAACUAGGUCCAGCUAACCCGUACCUUUGAUUUUUAAACUGUUAAAGAUUUUGAAUGUUGCCAUUGAUAAAUAUACUAAUUUUUUAUGUUAAGUUGGUAUUUAAAAGUAUUUUGUUAAGGGAUUUUUGAUAAAUUUUUUAUUAGGGACUAAAUUGUUGAAAUAGUAAAAAUACAAGGGUUUGUUGUGAAAUUAUUGAAAAAAUGGGCUGUAAUGAAUGCCAUGAAUAUUUGGUUAGCAUGGGUUUGCAUUAAAAAUGGUUAAUUUGCAUGUUUUAGGCUCAAGGACGAAAUUGAAUAAAAGUAAAAUGUUAGGGGCAAAUUUGUAAAAAUGUAAAAAAUAAAUUCCAUAAAAUAAAUUUUUUUAUUUUCUAAAUUAAUAAAUUUAAUGAAAUUGUUAAUUUAAAUCAAGAUCGAGGGGAAGAUCGAGGAGAAUGGAAAAUUACCAAAAUGCCCUUAUACUUUUACAUUUCUACAAUUUAGCCAGGUAAGUUCGUACGGUUAAAAUUUAACAUUUGUGUAAACUGAUGAUUGAUAUUAUAUAUAUGUUCUAUUGUUGGAAUUGAAUUAUUGCUAGAAAUAUAUUAUCAAAUUUAAUACUUUGUUUGGAUUGAACGCGAGAUUUGAGUACAUUUGUGAUUUGGUGUAUGAUGGGGGUUUGGAGUGGAGAUGUUAUUGGAGGGUGUUAAGUUCAAUUUUUAGCUUAACUUAUUCCAUUAAUUACCUAAAUUAUUGACAAAUUCUUGAUCAAUUAGUUUCAAUUAGCUCAAUUUGCAUUAAGAAUAUACUAUGCUUUGUUAAUUUAUUUUUGCUCCAAUCCGAUGAUUUAAUGGUAUUUUAAGACAUGUUGCAAGGUAGGUACAUUGGGAAGGUUCGAAUGAACCCAAAUGUGGAAUUCACUUGCCCCGAAUAGAGUUGAUGGAAGGGGCUGGGCGAAUGCUGAAUUCUUUAAAGUCGGCGAAGUCAAAAUACAAAUUUGAAGUAAUUGAGUCGACCGCAAAAGACCUUGACAGCAAAAGCAAGAUUCGGUCCAACUUGAAGGUGCCAUAGACCGACAUUGUGUGACCAGCCAGCAAGGGAAUCAAAUUUAAAUUCGAAUUCCCCUCUUUCCAGCUAUGACCGAUUCUAGUGUACAAUGAACAAACCAACUCAGACUUGAGAAGUUAAGUUGGAGUGAAAGUCUAAUUGGUUUGAGCUAACCUUAUGCGAUAGGCGAGGAAAAAAUCAACGGAGAGAUCAGAUUUUUAUUUUCUAUAUUUAGAGGCUGAGUUUUAUUUUUGAAAAAGGGGAGAGGAGAAGAAAUUGAAAAACAAGAAUGAGGGACUCAGGAAGAACACCGUCUCCAAUCGACCUAGUAGGUGCGAAUCAAGGAGCUAGAACCGGUCUUAGAGUCCAGCAACUUCAGGAGGAGGGAAGCUCGAUGACCUUAGCAGUGUUGUUAAGCAAGAGUGAUUCUAAACUCGACUUGAUUUUAAUUAAUUGUUGUUUAGCCAUGAGGAGCUAAAGUCCCUUUGCUUAGUUAGGCAUUAUUGAAGCCGAACACAAGUUGAAGUAAAGACUCAUUUUAUCUGGAAUUAAAACUCGGUAAUUUGUAGUUGAUUGUUUUUCUCAAAGGGGUUUAUUUUCUAAGUCAAGCUAAAAUGAUCACCUAAUUAAUUUAGGAAUUCUCCUAUCAUCACCUAAGUAAAUUUAAGAAAUCCUAUUUCCUAAGUAGACUUAGAAUCGAUGAACACUAUUAAACAGCUACGGGUUUAAUUUAAUGGGAGCCGUUAGAGGUUUUCCAUGGUUAAUGCAAGGCAAAGCCUCUUUAGCACCUUACGCAUGUUUAAUCGAUUAAACAAAGAGGGAUUAAAUAUAAUUUUCAAUUAAGAACGUUUCAUAAUUGAACUAACAUUGGAAGAGGUAGGGAGUCACUUCGUAAGGGAUUUUCCAGCCUUACUAUCGAGUAGAUUUCCUAGGAUAAGUUGAGUCUCAGUUAGUUGUGUUUGGUGGAUUAGUCGAUAACUAAGCAUCUUUUUCCAUUUGAUUCUAGAAUAUAAGCAUUUUCAUCUCAAACUACUUUCUUUCGUUUUUAGAAGCAACAUUCAUAUAAAACCCCCCACACGCGUAUGUGUGUGUAUUUCAUUUAAUUCUUUUCAAAUAGAUUUAAUACGAGCUUCCUCGUGGGAUCGAUACCCCAUUUUCCCUAUAUUACUAGUUAAUAUUGGUUGAAUAGUGGAUUUAAUUCGGUGAACGUAACGACUUCUCACCAGAGGGAUAUAUCGACAUUUUACCCAAGUAAAUUGGGGUUCAACAUUUAUUGUGAACUCUCGGCUUUUACUUUCUCUUUGGCAUGAUUCGGGUGGAUUAGCUCUUACGAGCUUCUGUUCAGCUCUUUUGAGUUUCUAUUAAGCUCUUAUGAGCUUCUGUUGACGAUGUACUCUUACUCGUAAGUCGUUCUUCAUAUGAAAAAUCUCGAUAAGGUAAUUUGUUUAAUGAAUUUGAAAGUUUUGUUAUUUAUUGAAUAUUGACCUGAACAUAAAUGAAUUCAUCAGUUGAGAUUGUGGAUAAUGCUUAGGUUUGUGCUAAGCUGUUGGUUGCAUUAUAUCAUGUUGAAUAUUAAUUAUAUGAAUUGACAUGGUAAUUGGUUAAAUGGAAAUAUGCUUAUGUUUAUAAGAAGGUGGUAAGAUUCAAAAUGUGUAAUUUCUUAUAAAAUGGUUUAUCAUGUGAUUGACCCCGAAUGAGUUAUAUACAUAAAUGCACUAACUUGUUUAUUGAUGAUGGUGAUUAGGCUUAUGUCAAGCUUCAGAUUAUGAUUGAUGUAUAUGCUUAUGUUUGGUAUUAUACAAAUGAAACGGUAAGUUCAUAAUUGAAAUGUGAUAUGAUGAAAAAGGGAUUGAUGAGUUGAAUAAUGUACUUAUAUAUGAGAAAUUACGUGUGUUAUGGUUGAAAUUACCUAUGUUAUGAAUAAAUAUACUAAUUAGUUAAUUGAUGUUGUUAUUUAAGUUUAUGUUUAGUAAAUGGAAUGGAAAGUAGGUAAAGAAAGUUAUUCGUAGUUUUAUGAAAAUGUUAAUGAUGGUGUAAAAUGUUUUAUAAAAUCUUAUUAUGUUAGGAAUGAAUAUAUAUAUGAUGUUGAUAGACUUACUCAUUUAUGAGUUAGUGGUUAUGUAGUUGAUAAAUCUUGAGGCAUUGGUAUAGCUUUAUAUUUAUCAUAUAAAGUUUAUGAUUAAAUUAGAAUAUUAUGUUUAAAGUUUGUAUGAGCUUGCUAAGCAUUCAUUGCUUAGGUAGUUGUUGAUCCCUUACUUUAUAGAUUAUUAGAAGCUUGAUCGGGUUGGAAGCUUGUCAGAGAUCUAUCAAACUAUCCAACGAUUAUAUCAGUAGAUUUUGAUGUCUUGGUUAAAGUUAUAAUGGCAUGUAUAGUUGGAUUAUGUCUAAUGCUUAAUUGAUGAGUUUGGUAUAUAUAUGUCAUUUUGGUUGAUAAUUAUGGCAUGAAAUGUUGCCUUGAAUUUGAGGUACUUAAGGUACUAUUGAUAUCUUGUUGGUUAUGGUUAAUAUGGUUAAUUUGAUGCAUGUUUAGAAAUAACCAAAUUUGGUAUAUGUUGUAUCAAUCUCAAUAUGGCCAAGACAUGGUAUGUUUUGGACAAGUCUUGAAUAUAUGUGCAUGAUUGAAAUAUGGUAUGCCUAAUAUGGUAAGGUUAGUAUGUGUCAAUUGUGUUAUGCAUUGGUAUGGAAACAAGUCAGUUGGUAAAUGGUAUCAAUGUGGUCAAAUGUGGUGAGAUUAUUUUUGAUAUAGCAUGGAAAUAGUAUUGAGAUUAUUUAGGUAUGUAUGGUUAAGGUUUGUACAAAUAUGCUUAUGUAUAUAUAUAAGUUUGAUGCUUGAUGAUUAAGGUGCCUUUUGGCAUAUUGGUUAAAGUUGUAUGAGCAUUUGGUAUGGAGAUUAGUCAUUUUUUGCAUAAUUUGAGUAUUUUUAAAGGCCUUGUAUACAUGUACAAAUUUUUUGUAGGUUUAUGCUUGAAAGAGGUGAAAGAAAUGGCUUGGAAAUGGUCAUUUUCUUGUUACACUACCUAAGACACGGGCGUGUGUCUCAGCUGUGUGAGUCACAAGGCUUGGCCACACGACUGUAUGAACCCUAUAGUUUGAAAAAAAUUCUAUCUUUUUUUUAUGAAAUUAUAAAUGUUUCUGAUUUUGUCCCGAAUUGUUUCUAAAGUGAUUCGAAGGCCCCGAGGGCUCGAAUAAGGGACGUUAUGCAUGUGUUUGAAUGAAUUAUGCUAUGAUAUAUGAAAUGUUUAAGAAUGAAAGUUUUUAAGUUAUGAUUUCCCGGUAAUGCUCAGUAACCCUAUUCUGACGACGGAUACAGGUUAGGGGUGUUACAAUAAUAGUUGGCUUAGAGUAUCUACCGUGUAAGUAAUUAAAGAUUUUAUCUUAUGUUAUUCUGCUAUUUAAGAAAAGAAUAUGACAAGGGAACAGUAAUACUAGUGAGAGUUAGCGCCAAAAGUAUAGUACCUCCAGUUUGCCUAAGCACUGUGGUUAUUAGGUUUUGUAACAUGAUCUAGUUAAAAUCCAACUGAAUUGGCUGGUCAAAUAAUAUUUGUACAGGAUCCUCAUUUAUAUUUAUCUCAGAUUUUGUAGGCAAUUUAUUAGGAAAAAUUCUGGAUACAAUUGACACUUGUCAAGUUCCACUAAGGGAACUAGAGAGAUAUAUAUGGUGAGAAGGGUUCGCAUGAAGGGUUUUCUUCUUUUAAUACUAUUAUCUAGUUCUUCUACUUAAACUUAUUUGUUUUUUUCUCCUUUAUUAAGUUAGAAGCUAAGGUUCUUGAAUUAAUGAGCGGAUGUUCUAUCUCAUGGUAAGUUUGAUAGCUCUGCAUGCUAAGUUUUUGAAAGAAGGGUAUUAAGAAACAUAUGAAUAGUGAGUUGUGAAUAAGAGACCCCGUAUAGGGGUCGUCUGUGAUUGAGAUAUUAUCCAUUUGUCUAUGAAUGGGUUUUAAUGGUGGUUCCAUGUUCUUUAAGAAAUUGCUGCUGCUGGUUCGAGAGGGAUGUUCAAGUUUCGAACUCCAAGCUAUAGUUUAGGUGAGUAUCAUGUGAGUUUCUAUCUUAGCUCCUGUAUGUGCACUGUUCAAAUAGGGUUAUAUAUAAUGAUAACGUCUCAAAAAACUGGUAAGUGUGUUUUGCAGUAAUGUAAAGAUUUUACUUGGUUUAGGAUGAUAUGUGUGAGGUAUUGUGUGCGUAAUAAGUAAAAUGGUAAGUAUGCCUCUGAUAUCGGAUAUGAGUAAAUAAGAAUCAAUCAGGUAUGUGAAUAAUCUAGGUAACUAACUUCUGUGUAAACAUCUAUUGUGAUGCCUUUGGUUGGGCAAUUAUAGUUCUAACCAGACUGGAAUAUCAUGAUAUGAUGAAACAUGUAAGUUCAUGUGGUAGAGACCCGUGUCAUUAUAUGAUAAGUAAGACAUUCAUGGUGGUGCCUCUAGUGAAAUGAAGAAUGGACUGGAAAAUCACGACAUGAAUAUGUGUAAGUCCAUGAGUCUGAGAAUCAUGACGUAAUAUGAUAAUAAGAAUGUUCAUGGUGAUGCCUUCGGUAAGAUGUAAAUCAGACUGACAGAUCCCAACAUGGAGAUAUGAAUAAGUCUAUGAGAGAGAAACCCAUGAUACCUUUUGUGGAAGUCCGUCGGGCCAGUAAAUAUGUGAUUCAGUGUGUUGCCUGUGUGGCGUGAUCUGCUAAGCCUUGGUGGUGUAUUCUAUGUUGCCAUUGUAGCGAAUUAUAGAAUGCCUAUGUGGCGUAUUCAGGGGUGCUUAUGUGGCAGAAUUUGAUUAUCCACCUUUGUGGUAAGUUCUAAGAUCUCUUUGAUAAAUGAUUCUAUGAUAAUGGUCUGAUACGUCUGAAGUUAGCUUGGUUUGGUUAGGCUUGUGAGGAAAUUGGUUGAGUUUUAAAGAAAGAAUCAGCCAUAGUAGUCUACUAGUAUAGGAUAUGGGCGUAUUCAUAAUUAUGAAGGGUAGAAGUGUUCGUUGGUAAGAAUUCAUCUACACUAUGAAGGGCUGAAAUAUAAAUAAUCAGGUAUCUGCCAUAUCUGAAUGGUAUCAUGUCUCGUUCUGGGGUUAUUUGGAAUCUGAACCAUUUGUCAAUUUUGACAUUCUUGUGUUAUGUAAUAUAGACGUAUGGAAUUCUUCUGAAUGAUCCAGAAUGUUUCAUCAUUAGUAUGAGUUUGUUUUGGGUUUAAUUCAAGAUACGAUCUGAUUGGUGGACUGGCAGCUGCUAAACACAGUAUGGGAAUCUGCCAAGUGUAAGGUUAAUUAGUAAUUAUCCACUAAAGAAUAGUGUCUAUGAAUAACCAUUUUGGGAAAAAUGUGAAGUGUUGUUUGAAGAGGAAAUUCGAUGAAAGUGAGUUCUGUAUAGAUAUUCUUCUUAGAAGUAUCUUGUGUUCUAUGAAUGAUUAAGAUCUAUAGUGACUGGUACAAUUUGGAAUCGGUCUAGGAGUGAAAUGAGAGUGACACAUUAAGUAUAGAAGCUGACAUAUAGGUAUAUAUAUGAUAUUAUGAAUGUAUUAGCCAAAGAUAGAGUGAUAAUCCAAAAUCUUCAAUAUGAAGAAUUCAACUAUAAAGGCUCCAAGGUAUUUUGUAUUUAAACUGACUAGGUUCGCAUGAACUUACAAACAUUUUGUUCGUGUUUCAAGAGUUCACUAGGAGAGACCAAGCCAGGGAUGCACUAGAGAAAUUGGUGAGGGGAUAUUAUGCGCACAAAUGAGAUCUUAGUAGUAUGACAUAUAGUUCUCUAUGCCAAUGAGAGUAUGUCUUUAAUGAACUUCUGUGUUUAAUGUAUUAUAUUGUUUUUAAGGGUCUGUUUGUAUUCUUGAACGUUUUCUUUAUCUCUUUUAUUUAGAAGACCUUUAUUAAAAUAAUAUGAAGUAAGUUGAAAAAGGAUUAUACACAGAUGGUUUAAAAUUUAUGCUAAGUGUUCGUAUGUGUAAACAUCCGUUAUCCAGAUCUGGUGAUUCGGGUUUGGUAAAAGGUGUUACAUAUAAUUUUUUUGAGAAAAUUAGUUAAUAAAAUUAUUAAUUAAUUACAUUAAUACUUUGUAUAUUGUCCUCACCUGGUUUUUGCACGCAAAGAAAAAUAGAAGAAAAUGUUGCUCAUUGGUUGUCUAAUGUUUAAAUAAUACUAAGCGGUAUUACGUGGUCGGAUCAUAGUAUGGAAAGAAAACUAUCAGUAGAAGAACCUAAAAAUGUCCGUAGUGUAAUUGGGGAUGAGCAAACCGAUUGAAAGACUAAUAUGUCGUCUAUCAAGUCUAAUUAGGGAGAUAUCUUAUCAUGGGCAUCGGAGCAGAUUACUUUCAGAAGAUAGAGACAUAUAUGUGACUGACAUGACUGACAGUACAUUAGAUAGGACCCAAGAAUAAUAGAUCCUAAAUCUGUUUAUGGAUUUAUUCACUUGUGAUGUUCAUAGGGUAGCAUACCUAAAUCCUGAGUGGAUGGCAGAUUAUGUAUGCGUGACUCGUACACUUUGAUGUAAUUAAAAGCCCGAGUUCAAAUAGAUACAGAACCGAAAGCUGGUGCGUUGGGUGUACGACUUUUGUAGUAUGUAAUGUCAUUGAAAAUAGUGGAUUUCAUAGCCCAAAACAUGGGUAAAUGAUAUCUUCUCAUUAGCAUUACUUGAUCACUAUUUGAUGGUGAUUGAAUUUUCAUGAAGAAAGAUGUAAUGAUUAUCGUAAGAUAAAAUAGGAUCAUAUUGGGAGAACAAAUAUUAUCCCAAAGAGAUCAAGGAUUUCCUAUGAGGGUAACACACUAAUGACAAGGUCAUUAGACGAUUACUGAGUAGUUGCUUUCGUAAUGGUAUGUCGUCGGAGAGAGUUCAACCAUGAUACUAUAGUGGAUUGACUUUAUGACUAAAUGAGCCUAUAAUUAAUAGGCAAAAAGUCAAAGCUUAAUUAUAAAACAUUUGAGCGUCAACUACAUAUGUCCAAUCAGUCCCUCCGCUAGCUCGUUGAAAUAAAAAAAUAAUUUCAUGUUUGAAUAGAAAUGAAUGAAAUGAAUAGAAGAAGUGAAAUUGGGAACAUUCGAGAAUGAUUAUGGUUUUCUUUAAAAUGGAGAAAUGGAAUCAUUUGAAAAUGAAUGUAGGUUUCCAAAAAUGGAAAUGAAAAUGGAAAUUUGCAAUCCUAUAUGGAUUACUUAAAAAAUGAUGGGAAUAAUGAGUUCAUGUUUUUAGACUAUUUUGAAGCCCGAAAAGGAGAACAAACUAUUCAACAAAAAAAUAUACACUAUUUUGAUCUCCUACUCUAUUUAGACUGAAUAGUUUGUUUUCAUUUUCUAUUUGAAAUGUCAACCGCUCUCCUACUCUAAGUAGGAAGUGAUUUUUCUAUUUGAAAUAAACCACUACAACCCAAGAAGGGUUCUAUAUUCUCUUCCUAUAAAUAGAUGACACUGAUAGAGCUAUUUACAUAAUUGUUAUUCUGCCAAAAAUAGAGAGAAUUUAUUCUCAACUAUUACAUAUAUUUAUCCGGAGUAAUAAUUCUAACAAUUACUAUUAAAUAAUAGAGAAUUUUUGUUUUCACCCCAAAAAGAAAAGAAAGCUUUUUCUAGUUCCGUGUUUUGUUUCAAUUGGUUCAAGCCUAUACUUGAAGUAGUUUGUGGUACGAGAAUAGUGAAGAAUAUCUUUUCAUUGAAAGCCAGAAAAUAUCAAGAAUUUGCUUAUCUGAAAAGACAUGUAUGAUUGUUCAAGGUUUAAUGCUAUAAAUACCACAUAUAUAGUCAGUUUUCAAAAUUUUAAUUUUCUGCUAUGCAAGAAAACUGUUUUCAAAAUAAGUUUUUUUCCAACAGUUUUGUGGAGAAGGUGAAUCAUAAAUCUUCUCUCCACUAUCGUUCUAUCCUAUUUAUAGAUAACCAAUGUACAAAUCCCAAUUAGGAUUAUCUCUAAUCAUUACUUAUUCUCGCAUGCUUCCACUAAUUAAUAACAUCUGACGAGGCUCUAUAAGUGUCCUAAUUAUUGACUCGUUCCCUCCACUAGGAUGUCAGAUGACUUAAACAUGUCUUACAAGCCAUAGGACUUACUUAAGGAAUGAUAUUGAAACACGAGUGAUUAUCUUAUUAGUCGGAAAGUCUACCUAAUAAGGUGUUCGUCCUAACUAUAUCCUCAUUUAUUGCUCAAAUUGACACUCCGCAGCGUUGGCGAAGUUCUUUGUAGUGCUCCACCACAAAGUUACCAACCUUAUCCGAUCUAAGUCUUGCAACUUAGGUGGCCUCCGCUAGUGUAGUCUCCCAAACCAAACCGAUUUGCCAAACCAGGAUUUGACAAAAAAAUUCAAGUACUAAGUUAAUAAAAAUUGACCAAUUCGAAGACUAAAUGUUACCUUAUAAUAAAACAAUAAAGAGGUUUAAUUAGAAAUGUUUAAGGUAAAUUACUCAGUUGGCAACCCAACUUUUAGGGCGCUUUCAUAUUAGUUACCCAAGUGUCAAAUCCGUAAUAAUGACAAACUGUAUACGCCGAAUCAUGUCCACAUCGUGUUUACACUUUCAUUUUGAUCACCCAAGUUCUAGGUCACUUUCAUUUUGGUCAUUGAAUUUUUUUAAAAUUUUUGAUCUAGGUAAAACCAUUAAGGAUUAAAGUGAAAAAGUGGUAGAAACUAAAAUGAUUGAUUAAAAAUUUGUCAAAUUGUACAAUUAAAUAAAUUGUUGAAACUUUUAUCCCUUGAAAAUGUCAACCGAUUUGUUACCAUAACAUUGAAAUUAAUUUAAUUAAUUAAUUUAAUCUCCUAAAUUUUAAAAUUUUGUUUUAUGUUUCCAAAUUAUCCUUAAUGAAAUCAACUCCAAUAAAUCAUAUUUAUUAAUUUUCUAUGAAACUUAAAUCUAUUUUGAUUAUAUAAUAUCGAAUCUUCCAUGUUAAACUAAAAGAUAAGGAAAAAAAUCAUUGCAAUUAAUUAAGUUAAUUGUUUGUUCUUCGUUUGGGUAAAGAAAUGAAAAUAAUUUUGGAUUUGUUUGGCAUGUAAGAAAGUUAGUUAAUAUAAGAGAAAAAAAUUAUUUAUUUUUUUUCUUAACAUUGAAUAUUCAAGAUCAUAUAAAAAAAAUUAAGUUCGGUAGACAAUUAUUAAAAAUAAGUGAUUUUAUUUGAUUUUAAUUUGGAAACAUAAAAUAAAAUUUUAAAAUUUAAAAUGAGGCUAAAUUAGUUAAUUUCAAAAUUAUAGUACCAAAUCGACUGACACUAUCAAGGGAAGACAAAAUUUCAGUAAUUUAUUUAAUUGAUUGUAAUGUUUUAAAAUUUAAAAUUUAAAAUUUCAGUAUUGAAAAAAAAAUUAGAACUUUGGGCAAGGGGGUAAACAAAGAUAAUAUGACAGUUUUUUAACUCAUUAUUUUAGUUGUUAUCGCUUUUUUACUUUAAUGUUUAAUGUUUUUACCCCCAUAAAUAUUUUAAAAAAUAUUUUUUGUGGUGACGAAAAUAAAAGCGGCCUAGAAGUUGAGUGACUAAAAUAAAAGUUUAAACAUGAUGUGGUAUGUACAGUCAACCAUUGUUAGAGAUUUAACGUUUGGAUGACUAAAAUGAAAACGCUUUAAAAGUUGAGUGACUACCACAAUAGUUUAUCCAAAAAUUUAAGAAUAAAGCUAAAAGUUGCAUUGAAAGAUUUAGUUGAAUUGCCCUUUUUCAGGGAAAAGUUAAGUAUGUUAUGGGGUACUUUGAUUUGACACUACUUUAAAGGCCUGAUUGAACUUUGAGACGACGAAACUGUCAUGUAUGGUGAAUCAGCUAGUUAUAAAAUCAAUUUUUUUACUCAAUUAACCCCCACAAUUAAUAUUUACGAAAAUGAUCGAAGUUGAAAACUUAUAACGAAAAUGACUUAAAAUCUAUAGUGUCGAGUGGUGCCGACACUCCGAUGGCCGACACCAAAGUCAAUCAUCGUGUAUUGAUUGCUUGUUAAUUGGGUUGGGGUUUAAAAAACUAAUUUUUUGAUAUAAGUUUUUCAAAAAUACAAGUAUUUGCCAGUUAAAAAGUAUUUUUUAUUAGGUUACGGCAUCUAGGUGGCUGACACGCCGACACCAGGAAAAAUAAUCCAAAAUUUAUGUUUUGGCAUUUUUUAGUUUUGGCAUUGCGAUGGCUGGCACUCGUGUCGAAUGGAUUUUUUUUGGUGCUGCCACCGGUGUGGUUUUUAAUUUUUUUGCCGGCGUUCUCUGGUUUUUAGGAACGGUGACUGUUUGGUUUUUCUUCAUUAAGCUUUGGACAAUGCGACUCCUAAACUUUCAAUUGCAUGAGAAGUGAUAUUUGAAGAAAAUAACACAAUAUCAGUAGAGAAGAGCACUGGAUAUUUGAGAAGAAAAAUAAAAUGAUUUUGAGUCCAGUUUACUGAUGAUAGUACUUAGUAUGUAAAAUAAACAAGAGAACAAGAAGAUGAAAAGAAAAAUGGAGAGUUGUAUAAAAAAAAGAAGAGUGGAAGAGAAGAAAGCAAGACAAAUUUAAAUUUGACAUUUAUGGUUUUAAUAGAAAAAAAAAUUUGUAUAUGGAAUUACAUUCACAAAUUUAAGUAAUGGAAUUACAUUAAAAAAUUUGUUUAUGGUUUUGAUGAUGGACUUUUGUAAACUUGUCAGUCGGAGGCCCGGGUCACAAAAGAGAUGCAUUUUAAAGGAAAGGAGGGAGGUAAAGGCAUGGAUAUAGUGGUUGAUUCAUCACCAGUGAGGGCUCUUUCUUGGAAUGAAAAACUUUUGGGGAGAGGUGCUACUAGAUCUCGAGACUCAUCGGGUGUUCCUGAUAGGGACUUGAGGAGGACUUCGACUUUCUAGAAUGAGGUAUAUUAGAUCUAUAGUUAAUGGGAUUCUGUCGAUUGAAUUUUCCAAUAGGGUACAACAAAUGCUGGAAAAGUAAAUGGCAACUACGAUGGUAGUCAAGCUAUUGGGGAGAAAUAUUGGAUAUAAUACUUUUCAAAACAAGAAUUUCAACUUGUGGAAGCCGCCUAGGCCAUUUCAACUAAUGGACGUUGAACAUGGAUAUUAUUUGGUAAAAUUUCAAAGUAAUGACGACUUUGAAAAAGUGUAAACUCAAGGACCGUGGGUAGUGUUUGGACAGUACCUAACUGUUUAGCCAUAAACACUGGAUUUUAACCCUCUCCAACCAUACCCAAGCAUUGUAAUGACAUGGAUCAGAUUGUCAAGUUUGCCUGGUUUUUUAUACAAAAGGAAAAUAUCUGAGGAGAUCGACAAUUUGGUCGGCGGAGUAGCAAAACUCGACUACAAUAUUGACAGUAAAUCGAGAGGAAGAUUUUCCUGAAUGACGAUUUUCGUGAACCUUGACAAGCCAUUGAUCCCUCAAGUUUUGGUGAAUGGUAAGGCUCAACUCAUGGAAUAUGAGGCUUUGCCGUCGAUUUGCUUUGGAUGUGGUAGGUACGGCCAUACGAAAAAUCUAUGCCCUCACAUUUUUGGUAACUAUAAUUCCACCAUAUAGAAGGGCGAGACGACAGAUCCAUCAAUAGGAGAAAAUACGUCGACCAAGGUGGCGGGGGCAUUUGGGUCGUGGAUGGUGUUGGAGAGAAAAAUACGACAGAAUUUUAGGGAGAAUCAGAAUCAAAAUGCUAGAAAUCAAGAGGAUUUUUUUGGAUCAAGAUUCGAUAUCUUGAACCCUCUGGAAGAUGGAAACGACGCUAUUAAUGGAGAUUUAGCAGAUCUAUAGGGCAUCACUAUUUAGAAAGGUGAUUUUAUUAAGAGUAAUGUUAGGGUUGAGGGAUAUGAUGAUGUUAGAAGUGGGCCAGGUAAGAAAGGUGUAAAUUAGAUUUCUAUAGAUAGCCUGGUAGGUGAUCGUGAGCCAAAUGGAAAUGAAAACCUUUAUGGGUUAGUAAAGAAAGGGCCUAGACUAAAAAAAAUGGUGUUACAUGUGAUUUUAGGUAGAUUGGGGAAACUAGGCCAAUGGUAGAAAAAGCAAAUUUAAUUCGGGCUAGCAAAUUAUAAGGGUGGGCGAAAAUUGGAAAGUGUCAUAUCUUUGCAUAACUUUAAUAAUUCAAAAAAUAAUUAUGGUAUAGUGGAUGCUAAUUCUGGAAAUUCUCACGAUAAUGAUCUUUUAAUGAAGGAGAUGUAUAUUGAUAAUGGGGCGAAAUUAUCAUUUAGUCCCUGUUUGGCUACGACAUCGCACUUUAAUCCUACCUUUGAGGGACUAGUUGAAACCACAGUAUCACUUAGUGGUAGUGUUUUGGAUCUAGGAACGCAUUCUGUUGUUACCUUCAAAGAAAAUUCUAACCUAGUUACUAAUAAGCAAUAAGAUGAAGUUAGACUCAGUGAUUCUAGUAAAAGCAUUCUAGUUCCUAAAGGGCAUAGUCUUGGGACAAAAGAGGGAUAUGUCUGAUGUAACACCAUAAACCCGGCCUAGACGUCCAGCCCAAGUUUAUAGAGUUACCUCAUCGAUUAUAAAACGUCACGCAACAACACAAAUAAGCUAAACCAUGUUUCAUAUCACAUUUAUCAUAAAACAAAUUAAUUAUAUAAUCUUCUAAAUUUCAUACUGUUAUAGUUUACCGAAAUUCCUCAUACUACUUAUAGAAAGAUAACGCUUGACAGAGCAUCCGUUGCGCCGACCCAUUCAAGACUGGGAACCACAUGAAAUCCAAUAAAAAACAAAAUGAGUUGUAAACUCAGUUCGUAAAAGAAGUUUAUUCAGUUAAUGUCCACUUAUAAGGUAGUUCCAAAUUCAGAGAAUUAGUUCGAUACAAAAUUAAUUACAGUUUAGAUUCACGACAGAUCAGUUACCUAUAGAUAUGCAAUUUCAGUUCAUAUACAAUGCAGGUAAGAUUUAGAUGCAGAUAUUCCUAACCCUAUCUGCUACACACCAUCUUCAACCAUCCCAACACACCGUUAAGUGCAUCCAAUACCCAAUCAACCUUACACACCACAAAGUGUUUCUCUGACACAUUUAUAGAAACACAUAUUAGCUGCUGGAUCAUAAUGUGACGAAGUGCCAGAAUCAGAACUAUACACAUGGUGGCUUAACCACUGAUUCAGAGUGGAUUACUUCCUUCAUCAUACAUCCCAACCCAUACAAAUACAGAGUAUAAUUAUCUACAAUACACUUACAAUUAUGAUAUUCAUACGUCCGUUACAGAGUAUCAGAGAGUUCUCGUUCAGUUAAAUUCAAAUCAUUCAUACAAUAAGGAAUCAAUAUCAGCCAUAAACAACAUUUACGACCUCAAAAAGGGUUUCAGGCCCCUUUUACGAUGCCAUACGGCUUGGACACACGCUCAUAUCCUUGCCCGUGUGGCUCAAACGACUUGGACACAUGCCCAUGUCCUUUACCCGUGUGGUUCUAAAACGUAAACAGAGAGUUACACGACUCGGACACACGACCAUGUCCUUGCCUGUGUGACUCACACGGCCUGGGCACACAGCCGUGUGCUUGCCCAUAUGGUUCUAAGUCACAAAUAGUGAGUUACACGGACUAGACACACGCCCGUAUGCCAUGCUUGUGUGGCCUCAAAUCGAUGAAUAGUAAGUUACACGGCCACCCACACAUCCUAGCGAUCCACACGGCCUAGAAACACGCUCAUGUGCUUGGCCGUGUGGCGUCGACAGCCACCAUUUUCGGUGAACAAAACUUGCAAAAGCUAAGGAUUUUGAUACGCGCUUAGUUUCUCUUUGAUGGGAAAUAAGACAGAGAUUACUUGAAAACUAAUUGAUCAUUCAGUAAUCAAUCAAUUGACUAAAUGACCAAUUAACACAACAAUAAUACACAAUCAACUAUGCCGAAUAAAUUGACACGAGGGAACUUCAACGACUAACGCUUAUCGAUGAUUUAACUCGAAUUUUUUGCGAGUACAAUAGAGAAUUUAAGCUUGAUAUCGUGGGAUUGUUAAGGACUAGAGUAAAUGGAAGUAAAGCAGAUUGUAUCAUUGCUAAAUUAGGUUUUCAGUUCUCUUAUCGGAUAGAAGCUAUUGGUUUUUCUGUUGGUAUUUGGGUUGGUUGGAAGGAUUUUAUACAAGUUGAGAUUAUCCAGAAUCAUUCACAAUUUCUUUUGGUUUGGGUCAUUUCCAAUGUUGUGAAAUCUCCUGUUUUUAUCUCCUUCAUUUAUGUGAGUCUUGAUAGAUAGAAGAGAAGGCUUUUUUGAGAGGGUUUAAAAUUGACUGUGUCUGAUGUUUCUAUGCCCUAGAUGGUUUUUGCUAAUUUUAAUGUCAUUAUAUCUUUCUGUGAAAAGAAAUGUGGACAUAUUCAUGAAAGAAUAUUCAUGAAAGAAGGUGUCCUUAUUUUAGGGAUUUUAUGGAGUCACCUGACCUUCAUGAUUUGGGAUAUAAAGGUCCCUCAUUUACUUGGCAUAGAGGUGGGGUUCAUGAGCGCCUUGAUAAAGCCAUAGGUAAUAAUGCUUGGAUUGAAGCCUUUCUGCAUUAUUUGGUGUCCCACCUUCCGAGAAUUAAGCCUGAUCACAGGCCUCUACUCAUGUCUCUAAGAUCAGAUGUUAUCCCAUCUAGAGGUAGACCUUUCAGGUUUUUUACUAGAUAGACUGAACAUCCAGAAUUCUCAGAGUUGGCUAAUAAUAAUUGGAGUUAUAAUGGGGAUAUGACUACUUCUAUUGCUAAAUUAACUUCCGAUAUUAAAAAUUGGAAUAAGUCUGUCUACAGUCAUAUUUGAUAUCGUAAAAGAUAGUUGUUAUAGAAACUUACUGGCAUUCAAAAGGUUAUGUGAAGGUCAGAUUCUAAUUUGUUAAUUUAGCAAGAAAUAGAGGUGCAUGAACACUUGGAGAGUGUCCAGCAUGAGGAACUUCUUUGGAGCUAAAAAACAAGAUGUGAUUGGUUAGUCUUGAAGGAUCAAAACAUUAAUUUUUUCCAUAGACGAAUAAUUCAUAGGAGAAAGCAUAAUAGGAUUACUGCUCUGAGGAAUGAGAACGAAGAGUGGGUUUUCGAUAACGCUCUGUAGGUUGAGGUGAUUAAGUUUUUUCUGAGUUUAUAUGGAGAGGUUCUUGAACCUUUGAGUGGAAUUCCAUCUAGUGCGUUUCCUAAACUUGAGAAUGCGGAGGUUCAUUUUUGAGCAAUGAAGGUACAGAUGAGGAAAUUAGAACUACCCUAUUUGAUAUGGCUUUGCUUAAAGCUCCAAGAAGCGGAGGGUUUCAUGCCUUAUUCUUUCAGACUCAAUGGGACCACAUUAGUACAAUUAUUUGUAAUUGGGUUAGGUUAGUGUUUUUCGAGAAAGCUAUUAAUUCAGAUUUGAAAUAACACUUUAAUUAUUCUUAUUCCCAAGGUUCAUAAUCCUGAAAGCUUUUCUUAGUUUUGGCCAAUCAGUUUAUGUUCAGUCCUCUACAAACUGGUAAUAAAAAUCAUCGCUAAUCGAUUUAAAGUAAUUUUUCCUAAGAUUAUUGCAUAAGAACAAGCAUGAUUCAUUUCUGAAAGAAACAUCAUGAAUAAUAUUAUUAUAGAUUAAGAAGUUAUUCAUUCCAUGAAAAACAAGCAGAAGAACAGAAACUGGAUGGUUAUUAAAGUUGAUUUGGAAAAAGCUUAUGAUUGGUUGAGAUGAGAGUUUAUCGAUACUUCUCUCCAUGCUACAGAUAUCCUUGAUUUUCUUCGUAAUGUUAUUAUGUCUACUAUUACGAACUCUAAUUUGCAGAUCAUGAUAAAUAGAGUCCCAAUUGAGAAGGUUCGACCUAUUAGGGGCAUCCAAUAGGGGCGUUCGCUUCCUCUAUACCUCUUCAUUUUGAGCAUGGAUUGGUUAGGACAUGGUAUUAAGUUUUCCAUUACCAUGGAUCAGUGGAAGCCUACCAAGUUUUCGCGCAUAGGGCCUACCCUUUCUCACAUCUUUUUUGCAGAUGAUCUCAUUUUUUCGAGUGAGUGGAGGUGUAGCAAGCCAAAAUCAUAAAAGGUAUGAUGGAAAGUUUUUGUGGUUAUUCCAGCCACAAGUUAAUUCUCGAAAGACGAACAUCUUCUUUUCUAAGGUGUUAACAAGGAGUUGGGGGAGCAGAUCAGUAGUAUUUUUUGUUAUCAUAAGGUUCAAAACCUCGGUACGUAUUUAGGGUACCCCCUUUUGAUGAUAAAGUUACUAAUAGUACUUUAACGUUUGUUAUGGAUAGGGUUUGGAGUAAGCUGUAUAGUUUGGAUGUGAGACAUUUGUCUCUGGUAGGAAGGUUCAUUUUGGCUCAAUCUGUCUUAUUGUCGAUUCCAAGCUAUUUCAUAUAGUCCAUGAUGGUCCCUAAAGAUAUUUGUGUAGAAAUAGAAAUCAUAGUUAGACAAUUUAUCUAGUGAUCCUCAGUUGGGGGAAGGAAAAUAACAAUGGUUAGAUGAGAAGAUAUUUGCCAACCCCGAUCUUGUAAGGGGCUGGGCAUUAGGCAUCUGCAGGAUCAGAAGACUUCCUUUAUGGCUAAGAUUGGUGAUGAUGAAUGCAAAUUCUCUUUGGGUAAGUUUCCUGAAGUCGAAGUACAAAGUACAAAGUUCAAGAUGAGACUCCAAAGGAUAUAUUGAGGGGAAGAUGCUCGUUUCUUUGGAGGGCCCUUUCAAAGACCUGGCCUCUAAUCUGUGAAAACUUAAUAUGGUCUGUGGGAAAUGGUUGCAGUGUUAAAUGCUGGUUGGAUCCCUGGCUUCCAAAUGUUUGGCCGUUUGUAGAAAAAAUCCAUUCAAAUUCUAAUCUUGAGAGGGAUUGUUUACUUUUGGAUAUGGUUAUAGAAGAUGGCAGAUAGAAUUUGGAUCUCUUUCAUCUCUGGUUAUUGAAGGAUAUAUUUAGAAAGAUUGUGGGGAUCCCCUCCACAUCCUUCUGCACGUCAAUAUAGAAUUAUAUGGGCUAGGUCUACUAUUGGGGCCUUUUCUGUUAAAAAUGCUUAUAGGAAACUUCGUGAGAUGACGUGGAAUCCAAAAAAUGGAUUAUGGCAGAUUCCGUGGAAAUUUCAUGGUCUAUAAAGAGUUAGAUUCUUCAUUUGGAUGAUGAUUAAAGAACGUCUUCUAACUAAUAUCGAGCGUGUAAGGAGGGGGAGAAGGAGCAACAGUUUAUGUGGAUUUUAUGACCAUGACUCUGAGGAUGGCUUACAUGUUAUCAGAGAUUGUAGAGCAACUAAAGAUAUUUGGUUACAUGUGAUUCUUGAAGAUAAGUGCAAAUGGUUUUUCUUUGGGGACUUGAAAGCAUAGCUAGUGGCUAACUUGCAGAAUCAGCCACAAAUUUUGUUUGGGGAGGUGGAAUGGUCAUGCCUUUUUGGGUUAAUCGCUUGGCGUAUUUGGAAAAUUGAAAUUUACAUAUGUUUCAAAGAGUAUCGUGGAGUGUUGAUGAAGUGAUUAAAGAAUCAUAUAGUUGGGCUAAACAAUAUGCUUCUACAUGCAAGGUGUAUGUGUCCAAAAGGAAUACAACAAAUUCCUGUCUGAUAUUGACAGGUAAUUGGAUUAAGUUAAACACGAAUGGUGCCGUCUGGGUGGAUUCUAGUUUUACUACUGCAGGAGGGGUUAUGCAUGACAUGAAAGGGAAUUGGAUCUUAGGAUUCAAUAGGUGUUUGGAAGUAUGUAUGUUCAAUGCUGGAGGCUGAGUUAUGGGGUAUUUUUAAGGGUUGCGAUUUGACAGAGUGUUGAUUAAUAUAGAUAGCUUGGAAGCAGUUUAGGUUAUUCAAGACAACAACUUAAGGAACUCAAGUUCAACUUUGGCGAGGCGUAUACAUCAACUAUUGGGAAGGACAACUCAAUGGCAUAUCCAACAUGUAUCUAGAGAAGAUAAUAAAGAUGCGGAUUUUCUUGCAAAAUGAAUCGUAGUAAUGAAGACGUUUUACUUCUGUUUGAACAACCUCUUUUAGGUGUUUUAGCUUAAGUCCUUGUGAACACUUUGAUUUGUUUUAUAUUCACCAAAAAAAAAUAAUGGUUUUUUUAUGGUUUCAAAGUAAGAAAAAAUUUAAUGUCAUUUUAUGGUUUCAUUAUGAAAAAAAGUUCUGUAUAGAAAAAAAUUUCUUCCCUCUGUCUAUUAUCACCUUUCUUAAAGUGUAUUAAUUAACUUUUAAUCCCCAUGUACAACUUUUUUUCUCUUAAAAAAGUUAAUUAAUAACCUUAAAAAACUUUGUUUAAGAUUUUUAAACUUAAUAAAAAAUUGUAAUACAUUAUUUAGAAAAUUUCAAAUCAUAUCAUUUAAAAAUAAUAAUGCAGUUAUAUUAUAUAUGUUUAAAAGACAUUAUCAAAUUAUAAUCAUAUAUCCCGUUUAUGCUUGUGAAAUAAAAUAUUUGAGCCAUUUUAAAGGAUUUAUGCAGGGUUAAAAUAGUAAAAUUUUGUAUUUUAAGAGUUAUUAAAUCAUAAAAGGAUAUUAAUUAACUUUUUUAAGAGAGAAAAAGUUGCACAUGAUUAAAAGUUAAUUAAUGCACUCUAAGAAAGGUGAUAAUGAAGAGGGGGAAAUUUUCUUUCCAUCUACAACUUUUUUACUAUUGAAACCAUAGAAUUGCAUUAAAUUUUUUCUUGCCUUGAAAUCAUAAAAAAUUAUUAAUGUAAUUUCAUAUACAACUUUUUUUUUUCCGUUGAAACCAUAGAUGUCAAAUUUAAAUUUGUCUUGCCUUCUUCUCUUCCACUUUUUUUUUUUACAGCUCUCCAUUUUUUUUUCAUCUUCUUCUUUUGUUUCCUUUGCCUACUAAGUACUAUUAGGAGUGUUCAGUCGGUUAACUGACCCGAAAUUGUAAUAACCGAAUUAACCGACCUCCCAAAUUUUUUAAUCGUUAACCGAACCGAAUUUUUUUAAAAAUAAUUAAUCGAACCGAAAUUUUUUUCGGUUAAUAAGGUCGGUUAACCAAUUUAACCGAAAAAUAUGUGUUGGUCAUUUUUGGUUAAAAAUUACCCGAAUUACCUGAAUUACCCGAAAAUUAUCCAAAUUACCCGAAUUACCCGAAAAUUACCCAAAUUACCCGAAUUACCCGAAGAUUACCUAAAUUACCCGAAUUACCCGAAUUAAAUCACUACAUAAUUAAAAACAUUACAUAAAUAUUUGAAUCACUACAUAAUUAAAAAUAUUACAUAAGUCUUUGAAUCACUACAUAAUUAAAAACAUUACAUAAGUCUUGAAUUAACACAUAAUUGAAAUGUAAGUUUUUAAUAUUCUCGAUUUAUAUCCAUUUCAUCUCUCCAAAAUAUAUUCAUUUCAUCUCUCCAAAAUAUCUCCAUUUGCAUUAAACCUAAAAAAAAAAAACAUGAGCAAAAAUUUAGCAUAUAAUAGAAAUAUACGCAUUUAAAAAAACUUAAAUAAUAUAAACAAACGAAUAGAUUAUAAAUUAACAAGAAUAAGAUAGUAGUAAGCAUACCCUUCAACUCACGAAAGCUCAUGAAUCUAGGGUAGGCUCUAAUGCAUUCCAAGAAAUGUCUAAACAUUGAAUCAAUUAAAUAAAUAAGGGUGAUAUGGUAAAAAAAUUGAAACUAUUAAAAUAAAACAAUAAACAUACCAUUUUCAAUCUUGUCAAGCUCUUGGAUUUGUUCUUCAAUCUUUUUUAUGUCUUCUCGUGAUGAUGAUCUUCGAAUCCAAUCUUGAGUACACACAAGAGCUUGUACAAUUUUAGGAGUUAAAGAACUCUGAUAUUGAUCAAGCACACGUCCCCCGGUGCUAAAUGCAGACUCUGAAGCAAUCGUAGAAACCGGUAUAGCUAACACAUCUCUGGCAAUUUUUGAAAGAGUGGGAAAUCUAGGGCUGUUCACUUUCCACCACAAUAAAAUAUCAAAAUCUUCAACAAAUUCUUCAUUAGCCUCAGCUAGAUAUUUAUCCAACUCAGAUGUUUUAUCCUCACCACAAAUUUCCAACUCACGCUUUUUAUACAAAGCUUGCAUUCGCCUUUUCAUUUUUUGUUGUGGUUCACCAAUAGAAACAUGUGUUGACACACUCGAUUGGCUACAAGUACUAUGAAGUGGAGGCUUAUACUCAUCAAACAAUUCAUACAAAGAUUCCUUCAACUUUUGCAUCAUUUCACAAGCUUUUUCAAAACUAGACAUUUCACUAAGUGCAAAUUCAAGAUACUUUAGUUUUUGUCUAGGAUCUAAAACACAAGCAACAAACAUAAGCAAAUUCAUCUUAUCAAUACCACCCCAAUACUUAUCAUACUUCUCUUUCAUCUUGAUGGCCAUAACAUUGAAAUCAAUAUUACUAUUUAACUGAGCAUCUCGUAAAAGAAUAUCAAUUUCGGAAAGAUCAUCAAAAAAUUAUUGGACGUGACAUAUGAAGUGCCAGAUAUACGCAAAGUGACUUCAUAAAAGUGUUCCAAGAAAUCCCUCAAGUUUCUAACAUUAUCCCAAUCAUCCACACUAGGCCAACCCUCUCCCUUUUCAAGUUUAGCCCUAAAGUUUGUAUCUUGCUCCUGAAAUCUCUCAAAAGCUCUCUCAAAGUUCUGAGCAGUGUCUAACAUUAAGUAGGUCGAGUUCCACCUAGUACAAACAUCAAGACACAACAUCUUCUUGCACUCUAUCUUUUCCACCACAACACACUCCUUAAACUUUUGUAAUCUAGUUGGAGAUUGUCUCACAUAUCUAACAGCCCCCUAACACGUUCAACAGAUUUAUUCAUUUCCUUUAAGCCUGCAACAAUAAUCAAAUUCACAAUGUGUGCCAUGCAUCUCAUAUGAAGAUAUUUACCAUUUUGAACUAAACCCCCUCGAGGGUUAAAUUUCUUUCUCAAAUAACCAAUAGCAACAUCAUUUGAACUUGCAUUAUCAACAGUAAUAGUAAACAACUUAUCAAUCCCCCAAUUCAACAAGCAUUUCUUAAUCACCAUCCCAAUCGACUCACCCUUAUGACUAGAAAUUGGACAAAAGUUUAAAAUCUUUUUAUUCAAUUUCCAAUCAUUAUCAAUAAAGUGAGCAGUGAUACACAAAUAAUUAACUCUUUGCAAAGAUGUCCAUGUGUCAGUAGUUAAGCAAACUCUAGAACAAGAACUUCUCAAAAUUUGUUUUGGCUUGACCCUUUCAUCUAGAUACAAUUGAUAAACAUCCCUAGUCAUAGUAGUUCGUGAAGGAAUAUGAAACCUAGGACACGCCACAAACAUAAAUUUCUUAAAACCUUCACUUUCAAUAAACUUGAAAGGUAAUUCAUCAAUCAGAAUCAUUUGUGCUAAUCCUUUCCUACAUGCUUCUUGAUCAAAUCUCCAAGUUGAAAGAUUCCCUUCCCCCGCCCCCUUCAACUCCCUUGCUAGGUAAAACUAGUUGUCCUUGACUAGUGUCAACUACAUUACUAGGAUUUUUCUUACAUGAACCAAUAUGAUAUUUCAAUGACCUUGCACCUUUUUUUUCAUAUCACAACAAAAUUCCUUUUCACAAUAAUUACAUUUAGCCUUACUUGCACCCUCACUAUUAAUAAACUUAGUGAAGUGAGACCAAACUUCUGACCUUUGAGGAGGAGCUUUUCUUUUCCUGGACGUAGUCCCCUUCGUUUGGAUUGAAGCUCCAACCCUCGAAUUUUCAGAAUCUAUCGAAGUAGGAGGUGUAACACUACCCUCAAUAGAUGUUGGUUCGGUUGACAUUCUGCAAGAAAAAAAGUAUAUAAUAAAUUAAAAUAAUACGACAAACUUGGGGUCAACUGUCAAGGACAAUAUUAUUUACAAAAUCCAAAAACUUAAUAAAUUGAUGCAAUAUUAUUUAGAUCAUUUACAUUUUUUAAUUUCUCCAAUAAUUAUUCUAAAAUAUAGCAUUUUAAACCAAGUGAAAUCAUUAGAUAAACCACCAAAGAAAUAGUUUAACAGAUAAGAAUAAACCUUAUGGAAGAAGGCAUGACGAUCUUAUGGGUCCUUCAUUCAUCCAAAUUCGACCACAAUUAUUUGAUACGAAAUAAAAUAUGUUCUGAGACUUAUUUAUUUAUGGAAAAAACACUUAUGAAGUCCCAAGUUAAAAAAAACCUAAUAAAUGAAACUAACUAAAUUAUUCCAAAAUCUUGAUUGAUUAAGUGUUUAAAUAGGUGAAGAUAAUGAUUAGACAUCGAAUCUUUAAUGCUAAACAAUUUUAUUCUUAACAAAAAGAUCUGAAAUAAUUAAUUAACCAAAUAAUUAAAAAAAGAGAAAAGAAGGCCACAAAGAUUAUAAUAUGAUGAUAUAAAUAAAGAAAACAGUUGUACUGAUUAUGAUAAUAAUUCUAGUCUGAUUAUAUAUACUUUUUUAUGAAAUAAUCUGAUUAUCAUUAUUAACAAAUAAAUAAAGUCAUGACGGAUUUUAAAAAAAAAAUACAAAGAUAAAGAAAGAUGGCAAGAAAAGCAACGUUUAAGAUAAGAACAAAAGAAAUAAAUGUGUUUCCCCAAUUGAAUAUUAAAUCGUCAUAAAAUAGUAACACAAUUUCUUAGACGUAUAAAUAUAAUAUUCUACAUGUAUAAAAAAUGUAAAUUCUCCGGAUAGGAUUUGCUAUAGCCUUUGGCUUUAAUCUAUGGAAAGGAUUAAGUUUAGUAUGAAAAUUUGUUACUAUUUUUAGUGGUUUCUCCUUAUGUUUAGAUAAUUAGUUGUGGUGUAUUACUUGAAAUAACUUUUGGAGAAUAAUCAUGAAAAGAGGGUAAGCUUCCAAUUCCUUCCAAACAAAAACUUUAUUCCAUUUAAUACACUACAUAGUUACAACCUUGUGCCAAAUGUUAAAUGUAUUUCAUUUGAACUUAAUCAGCAUCAUGUAUCAAACAGACAAACACUCAGUAUUUUUUAAAAAUUAUAAAUUCCAACACUCAAUAUUUAAUAAGUAUCCAUGCAUCAUGCACGUUUAACCAAUCACUAAUUAUUAUAAUUAAGUAAUUAAUUCCUUUUAGAACCUAAUAAUGAUGCAGAAUACACUUAAAAGGGAUCUAUAUUGUAAUUCUCACAUCCCCCAUGAUAGUUUAAGUGCGCUUUCAGCCUAACCCAUUAUUUUUCAUCAAUAAAAAUAACUGAAAAUGUCAGGCUCUUCAACCCUUAGCCUAUCAACCUCCUCCGUCAAACCUGGAUAAAUUUUCCCUAUAAAUAACAGUUUUGCGUGGCCCUAAGGUUUAAACAAAUAAGCUACAUUACAUACAAUCUUUGCAAUGUCUUAUUCAAGAGUUGCCUAUUAGCCCUUACUUUCAUUGUCCAAACAGCUUUUGGAGCUGACCCUCUUUUCCAUUUUUUUCCAUUAGAAAAAAAAAACGAAUACUAUCUAUAUCAGUCAACUACAGAGUACAAACCCAUUCAAGAAAUUGGAAAAAAAAAAGAAAGGGAAAGUAGAAGAAAGCAAACCUAGCUAUUGGUGUGGUGGUCCGACACUCUGACUCGGCGACUCUGGCGGAAGAGAAAUAGUGUGUGAGUGAAAGUUUAAGUGUGUGAUUUAGGGUGGGAUUCGACUGAGAUUGAGAAUAUUAGGGUGGGAUUUAGGGCUAGAGGGGUUGGGUGUUAACUGUUAAGUGUGUGAGUGAAAAGUGAAAACUGAAAGUGAAAGGGAGGGGGUAGAGACGUAGUAGUCGGGCUGCUGCAGUGCUGCUGAGAAAUGGGCAUUGGACAGUAGGUUUAAAUUUGGGCUGGGUUUAAAUUUAAUUGGUGUAGGCCCAACCCUGUUAAUUUUGGUUUACCCGAAUUUUAUUGGUUAACCGGUCCGUUUCGAACCGAUUUAACCGUUAACCGAACAAACCAAAAAAAUUUAACUGACCCUCGACCGAAGUUUUUCGGUUCACCGACCGAUUAACUGAACUCGGUCGGUUAACCAAAAAAUUUCAAUUUUAACCGACUAAUGCACAGCCCUAAGUACUAUAGUCAGUAAAUUGAACUCAAAAUCUUUUUUUUUCUUCUCAAAUAUUCAGCGCUUCUUCUCUACUGAUAUUGUGUUAUUUUUUUUCAAAUCUCUCUUCUCAUGUAAUUGAAGGCUUAAGAGUCACAUUUCCAAAGCUUUAAAAAGAAUCAAACGGUCACCGAUCAUGGCAACCAGAGCAUGCCAUAAAAAAAAAACCACGCCGGCGCUAGUGGAGAGAAGGUCGGCACCAAAAAAAAUAAUUUAAUCUGACACGAGUGUUAGCACCAAAAAAUACUGAAAAGUAAAAUUUCAUUAUUUCCCGAUGCCGACUACCUAGAUGCUGACACCUAAUAAAAAAUAUUUUUUGAACCAGAAAAUACCCAUAUUUUUCAAAAAAGUACACAAAAAUACAUACGCGUGUUAGCCAUUGCAGUGUCAGCACCAAAAAAAUUAUUUUUUAAAACCCUGACCCAAUCAACAAGCAAUCAUUAUACGCUGAUUGACAUUGGUGACGACCAUCGGAGUGCCGACACUGCCCGACACUGUAGAUUUCAGGUAAUUUUCGUUAUAGUUUUUCAACCUGGGUCAAUGUCAUAAAUUUUUUUUUGGUUAGUUGGGUAAAAAAGCUUAUAAAAUCACUACAAAUAUAAUAUUUUAAAUGGUAAAAGUAUGAUAAAGGCUCUUAUUUUAAGAGUAGAUUACAUUUUUCUCUUUUUACUUAAAAAAUAAGUAAAUUAGUCUUUUUUAUAUUAAAGGUACACGUGACAUUCUAUAUGUAAUUGUCUGAUUAUUCUAUCAAUCAAGUCAAUUUUUAUCAAUAGAAAUAGAAACUUUUUAAUAGAAAGAACUAAUUUACUUUUUAAUCCAAUGUACAAGAAUUAAUUUAUUAAUUUAAUUUUGCUCUUAAUACACAGAUUUUUUAUUUUAUUUUAAGCAUGAUCCAAUAAAUUAACUAAACUAAAAUCUGGUGUUUUUUUUCAAAAUUGAUCCAAAAAAUAGAUUAUUUAUGAAAAUGACCCAGGUGAAAAAUCUUUGAUGGAAAUGACUUGGUUCUAUAGUGCAUGUUGGUGCCAGCCAUCUCACCGUCGGCACCACCCUCCAUGAUCUCUUAAUCAUUACCCGAUGAUUGCCCGGUCAAAUAAAAAAUAAUUUUUUUGUGUUGGCACUGUGUUUGUUGACACCAAUAUGUUUUUUUUCAAAUACACUUAAAAAAUACAGUAUUCUAAGAUUAAAAAAAAAGAAAAAAUAAUAAUAUUUUAAUAGGUGUCGGUGUUCACGUUGCCAACAUAGGUUCAAAUUUAAAAAACAAUGUUUUUUAGUGUUGGUACUAACGUUCUCAUUGUCAGCAUCAGUGUGGUUUUGAUUUUUUUUUGUCGGUGUGCUCUAAUUACUAGGACCGGUGACUGCUUUUUAAAAAAAAAAGCCAAAGGCAUUUUAUCAUUGACAAAAGACUACGGCGUUGUCAUAUUUGUUGCCGUUAACUGCAUGUCCUCCACCGCCAAUGUCUUCUUCCUCUAUUUGCUGCUAUCAUCACACGACACUCUCCUCCGCCUGCUUCUUGUUCUUGAAGCGACCAUCAUCGACUUAUUCAACAUUAUGACUUUUUAUUGAUUGGGCAAUCAUCAGAUAAUAAUUAAAGGAUGAUGGAGGAUGGUACCGACGAUGAGAUAACCGACACCAACAUGUACUAUAAAAAAAUAGUUCAUUUUCAUUGUCGAAACCAUUUUUAUUUUGAAAAAUGGGGUCGACUUUUAAAACGAAAAUGGAGUCGCCACCAAUCUUUUUUCGAGGUGUGAUCUGAGAUUAAUUAUUUUAAUAAAACAUUUUGAUUUAUUAAAAUAAUGAUUUUGGUCUACAAAAUUCGAGAAAACGGGCUCGGAAGUUGGUUAUGCACGAGGAAGGAUUAGCACCCUCGUAACGCCCAAAAAUUGGUACCUAAUUGAUUAAUUAAUGUCUCAAAGUCGAAUGUCGAAAAUUUGAAAAGUUUAGAAACGAUUCCCCUUUUUAUUAAUGCCAUAUUUUAAAACAAUGCUUGGAUAGAUUUGAACGAAUGUAAAAUGAUUUCUCAUCCCGAGGCAACAAGAUGUCGUAUCCCCUAAGUUAGGAUGCAACGUUUGAAUUCCCGAGCAUAAGUUAACCUUUUAAAAAUAUUUAUUGAAACCUUGUGCAUUUGAAAACUAAAAUGUUUAGUCAUUUUAGUUCAAUGAGAAAAUCGAAACCCCGUAAGUUAGAGCACGAUUUCUCAUCGUUCCAAAGACGACAUAUUGCAAACUUCAUUUUCCCUUUUUUACGAAAUUGGAUCAAAGCGAAGGUUUAAUGCAAUAUUAACAAUGAUAUAAAUUUGAUUUAUUCGAAAUGAAAAGAAAUGAAAUAAUCAAAUUUUGGCAAAUAAAUCGAAAAUUUUAACUAUGAUGUAAUGUUCUCAUUUAAUAAAUUGUUUAAAACAACUAAUAAAACACAAUAUAUAAAAAUAUUGAAGCAAAUGAAGUAUGAAGAAAAAUUAGAAUAUCCAUUAUAUAGAAAAAAAAAGUAAUAUUUAUAAUUCAAAAUAAAUAGUAUGUAUAUGGAUGAAGUUUAAAACAAUACAUGAAUUAAAACAAAUAAUAUAUAUGAAUGUACAAUUUAAUACCAAUAAUAUCUACAAUUUGAAAUGAAUUGGAUAAUUUACAAUAAAUAAUAUAUAAUAAAUUUGAAAUAAUAAUACAUAUAAAAUUUAAAAAUUUUAUGAUAAUUCUAGAAUAAUCAUACGUGAUAAAUCCAAAAUAAUAGUAUAUAAUAAAUUUAAAAAUAUUAAUGAUAAAUUUGAAAUAGAUAUACAUGAUAAAUUUAAAAUAAUGUUAACAAUGAAUUUAAAAUAAUAAUAUUGAUAAAUUACAAAUAAUAAAACAUGAUAAAUCUAAAAUAAUAAUAUACAGUACACUUAGAUAAUAUUAAUGAUUAAUUUAAUAAUAAUAAGCAUAAACAUUCAAAUAAUAUCAGAUUUAAUUUUUUUAAAAAAAUAGCAUAAUAAUCGAUACUUAAAUAAAUAAAACACAAGCAAAUUAAAUCAAACUAAUGAGGAUUAAAUUGAAUUUAAAGCAAAAUUAAAAGGAAUAAAUGAGAAUAAAACAAAACUGAGGGCCAAAAUAUGGAAAAAAAUAGAUAGUAUAAAAAAAUAAAUUGCAAUUGAUAAUAUAUGGAAAAAAAAUUAAAGCAAAUAAUCAAACAAUUUAAAAUGGACGAUUUAUAACAUGAGUUUUAAAAAAAUAACAUGUGUGACAUAAUAUUAAAAACAAAUAGAGUAUAUAAUUAAUGGAAAAAAAAUAAAAGAAUGAUAAGAAUGGUUAAAUGAAUGAACAAUAUAUAAAUAAGAAAGUUGAUGGAUAAAUAAACAAAUAAAAAUAAAAGAAUAAUUAAUGAUUAAACAAUUAAAUGGAUAAAUAAAAAGGUUAAAAAACGCUUAAGUCAGUUUAACUCUUACAAUAUGAAGAUUCAAAGAAAUUCCUCCAUCAAAAUCCAACUCAAAUGAAAGCAACUUAAAAAGAAACAAAGAUGAACGAAGAACAAGAUAAGAACAAGCCACAGAAAAUAAGAACGCAAGAGAGGGAGAAAUUUGAGUGAAUGCUUUUAAGAAUUAUUAUUGCUCCAAACUUCAGUGUUUUACAAUGAAGGGAGAGGCCUCUAUUUAUAGUUGAGCCUCCCCAAAUCUAACGAUAUAGAUCAAUUACAUCAACGGCUAAGAUUAAAGGGUAUCUACAAAUUAAAUCUCUAAGAUUACAAAAUCUUAUCUUCUAAGAGUGCAUAUCAUAUCUUAGAUUGCAUAUUCUGGACCUUCAACCCACUACACCAAAACAAGUCUUUAGCGGCGUUUUUUUAGGCCUUUAGCGGCAAACAUCGCUAACGUUUGCAGCGUUUACAAAAAAAACCGCCGCUAAAGAUCAUAUUCUUUAGCGGCGUUUUUUUUAAGCGCCGCUAAAGAACCUGCUCUUUAACGGCGCUUUGUAAAAAACGCCGCUAGAGAUCAUAAUUUUUAGCGGCGCUUUUUUUACAAACGCCGCGAAAAGAAAUGUUCUUUAGCGGCGCUUUUAUACAAAAACGCCACUAUUUUUGGGAUUUUUUUAUAUUAAAAUUUUCAUUUUUUUAGCCCUCCUGUAGCAACAAAUCAAAAGCAACCAGAUCUAAACCAGCCAAAAACAAUAAUUUUAUAUAAUAUUUCAAAUUAAAUGAAUAAAAUAAUAUUAAUAUCAAUAAAUAAAAGUAAAUUCAUAUUAUUUUUGCAAAAAUGUUAAAAGUUAAAAUGAUAGAAAUAUUUAUGCAAUACACUAUGACGGCAGAAGUUGCGACUGAAACAUCUUCAUCAUACUCUAAAGCUGCUGCUGGAGUUCGUCGUACUUUUUGCUUUGCUCUGCUUCUCUCGCUGCAGCCUCUGCUUUAAGUUGUAGCUGGAGUUCUUCAUAUUUUCUUUGAACCUCUGCUUCCCUCGCUGUCGCCUCUGCUUUAAGUUGUAGCUGGAGUUCUUCAUAUUUCCUUUGAACCUCAACUAUGGUCGCUUGCAUCUGAGUCAUCUGAUCUUUUAACCUCUGAACUUCAGCUUGAGCCUGACUCCUCGAAGCCAUGUAUUGCUGCGAGCUGGAUCCAAAAUAUUAGGUUGGGCUAACAAAAGAUCCUUGAAAUCGAACCCGACCAUACCUUUCAGGACCUAAAACUUCAGUAAUAAUCCGGUUAUCAAUGUCUUCAGGAUGAACAGAACUAUCACUAGAAGCAAUCGCUUCGUACUCCGCCUUUUUAUCCUUUAGUUUUUCCUAAUAAAUAAAUCACAUAGUUAGGAACGCAAUAUAUAUUAAAAAACAUAUGCAACAUAACAAUAGUCGCAUUACAAGCAAUGAAUUAAACCAUUAGAAAAUAAACACUAUAAAUAACUAAAAGAAGUCAAAUCGUAUUAAGUAAACGUACCAUUAUUUCACCAGCUUCAGGAGUCAUGGGAGAUCCAUCUUUCUUCCUAUGUGUAAUUUCAAAAAGUUGAAGGCAUCAAACUUUUUGACCGGACGACAGUUCCUACAAUAUAGUAGUAAAAAUAUUAUUUAAUGGAAAGUUAUACAUAUUUGACAAUAUUAAAAAAUUAAAAAUACCUCCGCCUCAGCUACACAUGCAAAACUUCUCGACCUGGCUGUGUGAGUGAAUUUUUGUUUCUGCCUACUGCUUUUUCCAACUCGUUCACGAUCCUACGUUAUGAAAUUUUUAGUACGUAAAUAGUAAAUACUAUAAACCAAAAUAAUUACAAUAGUUUGGAAGUACGUCAUACCUUGCCUUUCUUCGAAUGCCAAAAUCUAACCGCAUCUUCCCAUUGGUACCUCAACAUACCCGGCAGGACAUUUUGCAAUUUCUCAUCGAGGGUUAUUUUUGUCUUAUAAUAAUUUUUCUUCAAAGUACUUUUAUGGUCUCUCCAUCUUUUUCCCAAUGCCUUCUUUACAUAAGCAUCCGAGACCUCCAAAGCAAACCUCGCCUACAAAAAACACAAGUUAAUAAAGUAAAUAUAAAUGAAACUAUUUCCCAAGCAUUACAGAUGACAUUAACAUUUUGUUACCUUAAUAUUAUCGAGGGCUUGGUUUUUGUUGCUAUCGGGCAUUUGAUGCCAUGACUUAUAGUUGAUAGGCAACAUAUUCGCAUUUUGUGCUAAAAUGCCCAUGUAUCCUGCUAAAAGUUGAGCUUCUGGUCCAACAGGCUGACCAAAACUAUUUCGUCCAACCUUGACACGCUCGACUGGAUCUAACUCGUAUAACUCUCUAAGCAGCGUACGUCCUCGACCUCUGCACGUCCCACCAUUUUCAGCUACAAAUGGUAUAUUAUAAUAUAAGAAUUUGAAAAAUAAAUCAAUUAUAAGUCAACACGCAUGUAAAUUAAAUGUAAAAUUACUUUGAACUUCUGUAGGAUCCUCAGAUGUAAUCGGAACAUUCGAAGAUCCAAUUGCUGUCUGUUGUUCAAUACUAUUUGUUUCUGUCGAGUUUGGAUUAUUUUGAACCAUGCUUCCCCUUAGAAUUUUUCUUCUAGGCAUUUUAUCUGCAAUACACAUAAAAUAGUUGAAAACUUAAUAACUAAUUACAACAAUAACAACACAUAUAAAAUAAUUGAAAUAUAUAAUAAGACCAAGAUUUAAAUUAUUAUAUUACAUAUAAUUAAACAAUCGUAAAAUCUUACUCCAUCAUUAUUCGUAAAUAUCUUCAUCCGUAUCUUGACGAACCCAUUGAAAUUGUGCACUAGUACUAGGGAUAUUAUCGUUUAAGUUUUGUUUUGGAAAGGGCAAAGUUUCUGAUCUGUCGUCGAUGUUAUCUCUACUUCCACUGCCCAUGUCAAACAAGUCUCUAGGGAUGUUACGAAGUAUAACGUACUAACCCUCAUCAGUUGGAUAUUUUGAGUAAAAAACUUGUUUGACUUGAGAUGAGAAUACAUACGGCUCAUCUAUCACUUGUUGUCCUAUAUAAAUCAAUCGGGCGAAGUUCACCACUGUAAAACCAAAUUGAUCUUGCUUAAUUCCACGAGCAGUAUUAACAUCAGCCCAAUCACCUCGCAAUAAGACAACUUUCCAUUUGCCGUAGUUAUCCAACUCAAUUAUGUCAGUAAGAAGUCCGAAAUAUUCCACAUUUCCCUCAACAAGAUUAUUGUCCCUAGCACUAGCAUAACUUGUAAUUGAGGAAUUAACAACUAUUCCACAAUCUUGCUUUCUCCUCAACCUCUUGCGAUAUUUUGUAUGAAAUCUGAAUCCGUUGAUGAGGAACGCACUAUAUCUUUUAACCACUCGAUCUGGACCUUGGGAGAGCCAUUUAACUUCGUCGUUUACGUUCUUCCCACUCCGAACCUAUUGAAUGGAAAGUAAACCGAGUAAUUAAAAAUUAUUCAAUGUAGACAAUAUUUCAUAGCACACACCUCAAAAAUUUUCACAAACAAAAAGAAAAACAAUUAAAAAAAAGAAAAAGAAAACCCUGAACUACUAGAAUUAAAGAAACCUAUAGCAGGCAGAAAAAUGUAAAGCAACCUUCUUUGUAGCAGGCAUGGCCUCAAGUAUUAUAACCACAAAGAAUAUCUGACAACAAUUGCCUACACCAAACCAACAUGGACUUGUAAAACAAUUCCCACAAGAAGUUGGGUUAAUUUUAUAUGAAAUAGUUUCCCCGCAAAAAUCUAGCUUUUUGGACUUGUAAAACAACAAAUCCAAGUGAAAUGACUUUAGUUUAAAAUUUAAAUUACGGCACUCUCCGCCAUUCAGCCAAUAGUGCUUUUUAAAGAUAUACAAGUAAAGAAAAACAAACUGAAUGAACAAGAUAGGGAAUGACAAGGCCCAUGAGGAAAAUAAUGAAAAAAAUAAAAAUUCAGAUAAUAGUUGAAACAGAACUAACGGUUCUAGGAGAAACUUGGACAAGCCCAGAUACAGAUUUAUACACUUAAGGUAGCCAAAAUUUUCAAUGGCAGCAAAAAUGAAAAAAAAAUGUAUAUAUAUACAGAAAAAGGAACUGAAAUCUUGUAGAAAGAGAAGAGGUGGCUCACUUCUCGGACGUGGAUAAGCAGACGGAGAAACAACGAAAAUGAAGCACAGAUUCAAAAGAGAUGAUUUAAGAGAAAAAGUUUUAUAUUUAUUUAUUCAUUUGCCUUACUAAUAAUAUCAAAUUCCAAGCAGGAAAGAAAGGUUGAAUUCCAAGCAUUGAUUUUAAAUGUCAAAGGAACGAUGACACCUUCGCCGAAGAUCUCCGGUGUGUCAACAUCGUCGACUUCCAUGGCUGAACCUUGGUCGUCUGGGUCCGUCACGAAUUCCAUCGGCUUCUAAGCUUCUAGGGAUUUCUUUCCCCCUUUUUCUUUAGGCUUCUAGGGAUUUCUUUCGUUGUUUUAAUUUUAAUUAUUUCUGUUGAAAUAUCUUUCCCCUCUUUUCCUUACAAUAAAUUAUGGAUUUUGUGGCGUUUUUAGAAAAAACGAAGCUAAAAAAAUUAAAUUUUUGUAGUGAAACGGCACGUUUUGGAAAAAUUUAAUAAAUAUUUGCGGCGUUUUUUGUCCAAACGCCGCUAUUGCUUACCUUUUGCGGCGUUUUUCUCAUAAAUGCCGCUAAUGGUUGAUUUUUUUUAUAAUUUUGUAUUUAAUUAUUAUAUAAUUCAUAAUCCAUAAUUCCUAAUUAUUUAAAUUAUUUAAAAAAAAAGAAAAUCAAGAAUUGUAGAUUUAAUGUUGAUAUUAUAAAUUACUGGUAAAUUCAAAUAAAAAUCUAUCUUAUCUAAACAUUUUAAAUAUAUAUAUAUUUUCAAAUUGUUAAAUUUCAGUCCUAUAUAAAUGAAUCACCAUCCUGUUUCAACAUUCGGCUUUCGAAAUUUCAAUGGAAUUUACAGAAAAUAUUUUGUUAUUUUAUUUAAUAAUUAGGUGUUUUGUGAGAUAAUAAGUAAGAAAUUUAAUUGACAUAUUAUCUUAAUAUGUUAUAAAAAUACUGUUAUUAUCUUAAUUAUAUUACUUACAUUCUAAUGAUUUAUCGGACCUAUUCCAUACACGUGUCAAAUCAGAAAAAUAAUACAACAAUUCUGUAAAAAAAAAUUCGGUGUUUACUUCAAAUAAAUAAGGAAAAUAAUAAUUUGAAUGUUUCAAAAUUCAAUUUUAAACCGAAAAAUCAAAAUUUAGAGGCAAAAAAGGAUCUUUUUCGACGAAAACUGCGGCAAACUGCCUUCGGCAAUUUGUCAGGGCGUAGAUCUCGAAAAGUUAUUCGAGAUAAAAAAAAUGGCCUCAAUUGGACAACCGAGCCAAAAGUUAUGGCCUUUCAAAAUUUUCCAAGCUAAAAAACAUAAACUGUUCAUGAAUUAUUACUUCAAAACUCACCGUUUCGUUUCCAUUGAUUUCAUCGUGCACCAUUUCAAUUGAUUUCACAAAUCCCGCCUCUAAUCCUCCCAAAAUUUGACAUCCCUCCAACUCUACACAACGAUUCAAAAUGCUUUCUUUUUCAGGCAAAAUACCAAAAAAGCCCUAUAUUUUUAAAAUUUAUCGAAAUGGGCCCGGUAUUUUAUUAUUUACCGAAAUGGGCCAUUUUUCCCGAAAUCGCGUCCACGUCAGCGCGAUACCAGGGGACGUGUUGAAACUCUAAACCCCAAAUCCCUAACCUAAUUAUUGAAACCUUAAACCCCAAAUCCCUAAACCCUAACCCCUAAAUCCCAUAACCCAUAAAUCUCUCUAACCUCUAAAGCAUAACACUGAACCCCUAAACCUUAAUUCACAAACCCAAAAUCCAUACCUCGGCCUACUCCUUAAACUCUAAACCAUAUAAUAUAGUGAUAAUUAAUUCAAUAUUUUUAAAUUAAUACUAUCUCUUUUACGAUUAUAUAAGAAAUUAUUUAAUAUAUAAGCUAAAAAAAUCAGUAAUGUAUCCAAAAAGCUUUAAAAUUAUUUUAAAUAAUAGUAUUUUAAUUUUUCCAUUUUUAACAAAUAUUUUAAAUUAUUUUAAAUCCCUGAGCAUUAGCGGCGCUUUUGUAAAAACGCUGCUAAAUCCCCGAAAGCUCAGAAAACGGCAUCGUUGGGUUUAGGUUUUUUUGCGGCGCUUUCCCAAAAACGCCGCUAAAGCCCUGAGCAUUAGCGGCGCUUUCUUAAAAACGCCGCUAAAUCCUCAAAAGCUUAGAAAACGGCGUCGUUGGGUUUAGCUUUCCCAAAAACGCCGCUAAAGCCCUAAGCAUUAGCUGCCCUUUCUUAAAAAUGCCGCUAAAUCCCCGAAAGCUCAGAAAACGACGCCGUUGGGCUUAGUUUUUUUUACGGCUUUUUCCCAAAAACACCGCUAAAGCCCUGAGCAUUAGCGGCGCUUUCUUAAAAACGCCGCUAAAUCCACGAAAGCUCAGAAAACGACGCCGUUGGGCUUAGUUUUUUUUGCGGCGCUUUCCCAGAAACGCCGCUAAUGCCCUGAGCAUUAGCGGCGCUUUCUUAAAAACGCCGCUAAAUCCACGAAAGCUCAGAAAACGGCGUUGUUGGGCUUAGUUUUUUUUUGCGGCGCUUUCCCAAAAAUGCCGCUAAUCCCCGAAAGCUCAGAAAACGGUGUCGUUGGGCUUAGGUUUAUUUGUGGCUUUUGAGCAAAAACGCAAGUAAAGUCCUGGGUAUUAGCGGCGCUUCUCGAAAAACACUGCUAAAUCCUCGAAAGCUCAGAAAACGACGUCGUUGGACUUAGAUUUUUUUGUGGGGCUUUAGCAAAAAUGCCGCUAAAGUCCUGGGUAUUAGCGGCGCCUCCCGAAAAACGCCGCUAAAUCCCCGAAAGCUCAGAAAACGGCGUCGUUAGGCUUUGGUUUUUUGUGGCGCUUCGGCAAAAACGCUGCUAAAUCCGCUAAAGCUCAAAAAAUGGCGUCGUUGGUCUUAGGGUUUUUUGUGGCGCUUUGUCAAAAACGCCGCUAAUGCCCCGAAAGCUCAGAAAACGACGUCGUUGGGAUUAAGUAUUUUGUGGCGCUUUCGCAAAAUCGCCGCUAAUGCUUAUUUCAUCGGCGUUUUCCAUGGAACGCUGCUAAUGGUCGAUCUUUAGCGGCGUUUUUUAUCCAACCGCCGCUAAAAACGCCGCUAAAAGUCUGUUUUGGUGUAGUGACCUUUUCAAGUAAUGAGUCAUUCCGAUCGGACCAAAUGAUAUAAUUUUGGACUGGAGUUAGACUUUAUUUUAUUAUUUUAAGUUUUUUUGUAAACUCGGGCUAAAUUGACCUAUUACAUUCAUAAAUAAAAUUUAUAUUUAAAUCAUUUUUGUAAAUAAUCAAAUUUAAAACCCACAUUUUACAGUGUUGUGCUUCUGGAUUCAUCGUAGGCCUAAGAGUUGGCAAGAUCAUGAGUGACAUAGUGGGUAGUUGUUGUGUAAUGUCAAUCUACAGAAGACACGUAAUUAGAAAGUGACAAAAUUAUUGUCCUUCAGUUGUAGGACAUCCCAUGCAUUUACACUUUGAAAAAUAAUGCAAAGAGCUGACGCGUAAGGACAGCAAUUAAUGGUACGGUAUUCAUCUGUCUCAUAAUUAAUUAAUAUGGCCACAACCACAAGGCUUGUGCCAAAUCACCCCCUACUUCAUUUGACCCCAAUCUGAACUGAAAACCAUGCCUCCAACUUCUUUGCUCCUUAGCUGGGACUGAAUUAUGUUAUUUUACAUUUCCUAUUUGCUUUAAUAUUAUAGAUGUAUAUUUAUUUUAUUUACCCUAUACAAAUUUACAUUAUCCUCUAUCAUUUUAUUAAAUAUAUAUAUAAUAACACCCUUAAACAAUUAAAUUAGGAUUCAACUUUUUAUGGGUUACUUAUUUAAUGAUUUAACCUUUCAAAAUGGUCACAUGAGCGUUACUUUUAUAUACGUAUUUAAAUAAGAGUUUUUCAUACGCUUCAAUUAAGUUCAUAUUAAAAAUUAGUUAAAUGAUAAUAUGUUUAGAAUAAAAUAAAUAACAACUAAAUAAAAUAUUAUUUAAAAAGAAAAGAAAAGAAUAAUAACAUAAUUUGAAACCCAAUAUACGAUAUCUAAGAAGCCAUUAUUUUUGUAGUUUUGAAAUGGUUUGGCUAUUAUUUAAGCACUUUCGAAAAGGUUCGGCCAUUGUUUGAACAUUUUGAAAAGUUUAGCCUUCUUUUGAGCACUUUUGUAAAGAUUAGGCCUUAUAUGACAAUUUUGAAAGAUUUGAUCCUUAUACGAGCUACCCUAAAAGGUUAGACCUCAAAUUGAGCAUUUUUAGCUUUUGAUUUAUUAUUAUUAUUGUUAUAACAUUAAUGUUAUAUAAAAUGUUGAAUAAUACAAUGAGUGUGAUUCACACUAUAAGGGGGUGUGAAGAGCCUCUAGAAUGGGGCAAUUUACACCAUAGAUGAUGCGAUUGGAUUUUAAGUUGUAACACCUUGAAUAAUUUAAGUCUGUUUUUGUGAAAUUUAGGGUCUGUCUGAUUGCCAGUAAAAUGUUUUCCGUAAAAUAAUUUUUGGAAAAUGUUUUACUUUUCUAUAAAAUGAUUUACUGGAAAAUAUUUUUUGGUGUUUGAUUGAAUCCGUGUAAAAUAUUUUCUGCUGUUUGGCAGAUUUCCUGAAAAUAUUUUUCGAAAAAGUUAUUUUUACAUAUAUUAAUAUAUAUUAAUAAAUUUUUAUAUUUUAUUGCAAUGAUUUAUUUAUAAUAAUACUCAAUUAUUAAGCUACAAUAUUAAUCGUUAAAUUAAAAAAAACUAAAUUAAAUAUAUAAUAAUACUCAAUUAUUAAAAUAUAAAAGCAUUGCAAACUACUUCCGAAAUUUACUAAUUAGUAGUGAAUCAAUUGUAGUGAUCUCCUGAUGAAAUUACGCUCAGCAUAAAAGCAAUUUUUUUGUUGUCUUACAAACAACACAGAUAGCAUCAUUAUCAAAUUUCAGCCACUCUCAAGUAUAACCAAUUCCUUAGCCAACCAAUCUACAUUGUAACACAAAGCUAACUCCUAUAAAAAUUAUCCCAAUGCACACAUUUACAGAAAUAAAUAUGUAUAUAUGUAUGCAUUCAACAAAUACAUAACCAUAUGCAUGCAAUCAGCUAUGUUCUUUGAAAGCUACUACUAGAUCAAGCAUUGCCCCAAUACCAUAGGUUGCCAUCCAAUAGAGAGGAAAAAAUACAAGCAAAGAACCCAACUUUUUACUUAGACAUAUGGCGAAACGUGCUCAUGCAACUGGUAAGAAAAAAUCACUCAUGGCCCAAAAAAGAAUUUCAUAAAACUGAUAGUAAAAUCAAAAUGAAUGAUACAUACAAUCAAAAUUUUCAACUGACACCUAUUGAUUUAAUACAACCAGGUAAAGAGGCCGACAACCAUCUGAUAUCUAUGAAGCAAAUGAACUAGCAAUAUACUAGAAAUAUCAGCAAUUGCAAUCAACAAAGGCAACAGGCUCCAUUGAAGUCCCCAAUUUAAAUCUAUUGAUUUAAUACAUGCUCUCAUUGAAGUCCCCAACUCUAGGAAUAUUGUUCUGCCAGAAGCUAGUCAGUUAAGCAAAAUCAAUAAAAAUUCAAGAAACAUAAACCCAAACCUAGAUAAACUACUGCAUUUAUCUUACGGUGCUUGCCAAUUACGUUGCCAUGAUUUCCAAUUAUAACAGAAAUGGAGUUCUGAAAAAGACCGACCCGUACCCGGGGUUCUCUUAACAACUCUUUGUCAGCAGAAAAUUUGAAAGCCUGGAAUGAUUUGAAAUGGAAAAGCACUUAUAACUGCCUUCUACAAUAUACUUGUAUUGAAAUGACAAAAAUUGAGGCACAAGGUGAUAAGAGCUAGAAAGGGGUGCAAGUGAUAAUAGACAUUAACAUGUCCUUACCUUCCAAUAAAUUUAAAAUGGCAUAUCCAUCGCAAGAAUUUUUAUGAUUUGUACCCUCGACAACAUUGGUGAAGAACAACACAACCUAUAAAAUUGUUAUAAGUAUCCUAAAUUGAGAUCUACCUUGAUCAUUAGAGACAAGAUUAGUGCUUUGUUGUAGCACAAUUUAAAAUAAUUGUUUAUGAAAGCAAGACAAUGUGCAAGUACACAAGCAUGAGAGCAACGGAGCUUUCAAUUUUAUCUAUUAAUGGUUUUCACAUGUCUUGAGAGAGAAUAUGAUUGCUAGAUAUUACAAAAGGUUAAACAAAAAAGGUAGGCUAUAUUCUGUACUAGCUCUACAAGUUCAGAGUACAAAAACCACAAGCACUUCUAAUAAAUCAAAUUCUACAGGUCUCUAAUGGUCAGAACCAUUACUCAUUUAUCUUCAGAAAACAGGAGUGGCGAGUUGCAAAAAUCUAUACCUCAUCAACUUCCAUUGAGAGAUCAUUCACACUUUGCCUAAGUAAUCCUUUCAAUCUUCCUUUCUUGAAAUCUGAAAGCUCAGCACCAAUGUUGUUUUCAAAAAGUGAAUCAACAUCUUUAGGACUACAAUCCAUAGACUCUUUAUCAUUGACCACCAUAUACUUCCCUUGAGACAACUCAGAUGCAUUGGAAUUGGACAGAGUAUUUUUAUCUUCUGACAACAGGUCAGCUAUUUGACAAGCAUAGAAGCUAAAGAAAUCAGGUCCAGCUUUACAUUGCUUACUCGAACCAUCUGAAUUUCUCGGCAUCUCUGACAUGAUAGAAGUACUACUACUCUGCAUACGACAACUACAUAGAUAUGAAUCAGUCCAGACUCCAGAUAAAUAACUGAAGCAAAAGAGGAAGAAGCACCAUUAUAUAUACUAUACAAAUUUCUCUCUAAAGCUAUAUUUAGAAACAUGAAUUUGAACAUUUGGAUUUAAUUUCAUUUGUUAUAAAAAUCUACGGAUAAAUAAAUAUUGAUGAGCUAAGAUGAUGGAUCUCUAUAUCAAUGAAUCGUUAUAAUGCAGUAAUGUUGGAUAAAUAAAUAGGCACUUGAAGAUCAAACUCAUGUUUUGAAGAGAGGGCUUUAGCUGAUUCAGGUGGAACAAUAGUUUCAAGUGUUGUUCCGCAAUUCAGCCUUAGAAGCAAUCGGCUGACUUCCUGUUAAUAAACCAUAACAAAAUUCCAAAAGAUUGUUACUUUCACCAGCAAUAAGAUCAGUAGAUUUUGACUUUUAAUAGGCAAAACAUGUUACUUGUUAAUGAGAUAAACUGUUUACAAAUUCUAGGAUCGUCUGCAAUGAUUAUUUCAGUGGCAAAAACUGACUAAAAUGACAAUAACCAAUCAAUUCAUAAUAGACAAUAUGAAAUGGGUUUCCUUUUUCAUGAUCAAAUUUGCUUUUACAAUAUAUAUAUAUAUAUAUAUAUAUAAGCAAGAAAAAUAACAGGAAAGACAAAUAAAUUACAACCCGGAAAGUGGGAAAAAAGAAAAAGAAAAGACCUGGUAGAGUUGAGGCUUGAGAUUUGCGCUCAAGAGGUGGUGAAGCGAAUUAUACCCACAAAUUGAUCCAUAUUUGAAACUUUCUUUUUCUUCUGUGCUUCCAUUUUCUUUCCCAAUUCCAUCAGUUUUUUCAUUUUCUGAUUCCCUCAAUUAUUGCUCCGAAAUCAAAACAUAGAAAAAAGGUUGAUGAACGCCGGUGUCUAGUGUUAAGAAUCGAUGUUGGUUGAUGGCAAGCAGAAGAUCAGGUGUCAAGGAUAGGAGAAAGGGAAGGGCAAGGGAAAGGGAAAGGGAAAGGGAAGAUCGAUGUCUAAAAUUUUCUUGAAAAUGUCUUAUCGAAUUAGAAACGGUAAGAUAUUUUCCAAAAUUAAAGGCUUCUUUUUCCCGUAUUUGUAAUUGAUUUUACGUGAAGAAAAUAUUUUCAGCCAAACAAACACUGGAAAAGGCUGAAAACCUUUUCCGGAAAAUGUUUUACUACAAUCAAACAGAGCCUUAACAUAAAAUGUGUAUUUGCUUCAGUGGUUAAGUGUUCUGGGUGUGUGUAUGAGGUUUUGGGUUCAAGUCUUUAUUUUGGAAUUUUUUUUUAUUUUUUUAUCCAAGCCUUAUCUCUAUUAGGUGGGCUUAUGUUUUAUCUUUAGUAAACCCAAAUCAGAAUGAGCCUGUUGGUUCGAGCAAUAACGAGUUAGCUUGCUGAAGGUCCUGUGUUCGAUUCCCUGUGUGAGCGUGGAUGAUAUUUUUGUUUUAGUUGUGAGAUAGAGGUUAGGUGAAAGUAAAAUUCUAAGGUGGUGGAGAGUUAGUCGGUUAGUUAGUGGAAUAAUGGAAAGUUGAGAUAUUAGGGGUUUCAAAUUUUAUUUUAAUUUUUUUUCUUCUCAAAGUUUUUGACGUCAGUUUUAUUUUAUUUUUCCCUCUUUUAACAUUUUUACCUUCUCGGUAAAAUCCUUUUCAUUUCUCUUUGAUUCUAUUCGUGAAUCCCUCGUUCAAAUCAUUGCUACUGUGAUUUUUGGGUUCUUUAAUCGGUUGGUAAGUAGAACUUCGUAUCUCUUUAACAAUUGGUUUGAGAUAUUGGCAAUGUUAAGUUGUAGCGAUUAAUUAGUAGAUUCUGUGUUUAGGAGAAGAUUGUGAAGCAGAAAAUUCACUCCGACAGCCUAAUCCGUGUUAGUGGUGGUUUUCAUUAACGAUAAGUUUGUGAUCGUUGUUGAAUUUUUGUCACGAAUUUGUAAAUUGGUUGCUAAUCGGGGUUAGAGAUACUAUUUACAGGUUUUUAUGGUCUCGGGAUUGAUUAUACUACAAAAAUAAACCAGGUGUGUAACCCUAACGUGAGAAAAUGAGAUUCGACGAAAGUUAAAAUUUAGGUUUGUCGACGCCACACUAGCGUGUGCCCGGUCGUGUGCAAGACAUGGUCGUGUGACUUAUAAGGGUAUGGCCCUGCGUAAGACACGACCGUGUAACAGUGUUAGUGUGGCUGUGUGGACUUCACGGGCUGGGCGAGAUUGGCCGAAUGGGCCCAUACGGGCAAGCCACAUCGACGUGUGGGCCCAUAAUUCUAAAAUUUUCCCUAGGAUCUCACUGGUCGUUUUGAUUGAAUGUGAACCUAUUAUAGGGUCGGUAAGGGCUAAUCAAACUCUAAUUCAUGUGAUCUGAUAUUCUGAUAGUCUGAUUUGAGUAGGACAUUGAUAUGUAUGUAUGACUGUUCUGUUUGAGUAUAUAUAUAUGUGUUAUCUAUAUACGAACAUGUGUUAAUUAUGUUAAUUUUGUAUUAUGUAUUGUGUUUAGGGUGGGAUUUGUAUAUAUGGAGGAAGUGAUCUGUACGGUGACCUUUCGCCUAUAUUCUGGUAGCUUGGCUGCGUAUUAUCUAUUAUGUGUCGCAUCAAAACUCUAUGGUGUCUAGGGAUGGGUGGGUGUUUUUAACCCCCACAUGGUGUGAUGGGAUGGACGGAGAUGGUGUGUAGAGGAUGGGGGUAGGAUUUUGUAUAUUCGUUCUAUUUAUCUGAUAUGAUUUCUGUAACUGUUGUGGACUUAGGUUCGAAUCUGUUUCUGACUGUAUAUGAAACUUUGUGUAUGCUGCAUGUCUGUCUCUGUUGGGUUACACACUGAGUUUAUAUAAACUCACAUUUGUUUGACUUUUUUGUUCAGGUAACCUAUAGACAUAGGCGGGUCAGUGCGACGGAGGCUCAGCGGUGACCACUCGAUAGAAAACUGUUUCCAUUUAUUAUUUCAUGGUUUUUAUUUAAAUUUCUAAUUUUCGUGAGAGUUUUGUAAUUUUUGGACUCUCCAAACUUUUUGAACUGUUUGGUUUCAAUUUUUGGUUUGGUUGGGUUAUGAUUUCUAAACUACGACAAUUCGACAAAAUAUUGAUUUUACGUGAUCAAAUGUCAUCGAGCCUGGUUUCUAUUUAAACGACUUUUCAAACUUCCGCUGCUAAAUGAUUUGGUUAACCUUAAGGGAUAACAUGUAACUGUUUCAUUAAUAAAUAUAUAAGUGAAUACGUUUUACAAAACUUGGACGUUUUAUUGAAAUAUUAUUGGUUUUAAAACCUUUCUUCGUAACACUCCUGAAUUCGGCCAUAACGUCUAGGUCGAGUUUGGGAUAUUACAUUUAGUGGUAUCAGAGCCAGGUUGUAAAACUCGGGUUAUGAAUUUUGGAUUCCAAAAUUUUGUCUUGAAAAAAGACUAGUUUUUAAAUAAUUUAGAUCAUUCCUGAGUAAGUAUGUGAUACACCAAGUCUUCGGUGUCGAUUUUAUAAGUAUCUCUAAAUUUUGAAAAUACAAUAGAUAGUACUUUAUGAAAUUGUAAUAAGUUAGUUAAAGACUAAAACCUCUGAAAUACUUCUGAACUUUUGAUAUUUUAAGCAUAAAAUAUUUGUUAAUAAAAAUUGAAACUGAGGCAUAAAAUUUUAUAAUGUAAAUAAAAUUAAAAAUACGAUGAGUACUCAUGAAACUCAUGGUCAUAGUAAUCGUGGACGUGGCGGGCGCCGUAGUAGGGCUUGAGUUGAGUUUUCCUCUCUAGGCAGUAUGCCAAAUUUAGAUACGAGUGAGGCACCGGUUUUACUUACUACAAAGACUGGGUUUGAAAGCCGUUCGUCUGGGGACGAUGCACUGUCCUAAUCUAUGUUGAGAGUGUUGGAGAGGGUUGCUAGACCCUAUUCGGGAUCUGGAGGUCGUAGGUCGAUAACAAAAUGACUUCGAUCCAAUAGAGUUGAGUUGUUUAGAGGUGUCACUAGAGUCACCUUUACUGUGGACGAGUAUUGGUUAGAGGCCAAUAAGAGGAUUAUGAAUGACAUCUACUGCACUCCUGAGUAGAAAUUAAAAGGUGCAAUCUCUUUGUUUCACGACGAAGCUUAUCAGUAGUGGUUGUCAGUUGAGGAGGGUAUUCAACCGGAUCAUCUGAACUGAGACUACUUUAAGACCGCUUUCUAGGGAAAAUAUGUGGGUGCAAGCUCUGUGGAUGCUUGUAGGCGUGAGUUCACGAAUCUCACGCAAGGUGAUAAGUCUGUGGUCGAGUAUGAGGUCAAAUUUCUGAGACUGAGUCGCUACGCUCAAGGCAUUGUGGCAUCUGAGUAUGAGAAAUAUGUUUGUUUUAAGGACGGCUUGAGGGAUAGUCUGAGGGUAUUAAUUGCUUCACAGAGAGCGAGAGUUUGCUGUUCUUGUGGAUAAGGCGAAGAUCGCCGAGGAGGUUAAGGACGUAGAGUGCUAGAACAGAUAUCGUGAGAGAGGCAAGAAUAAGAAGGAUUCAGAGCCCUCUAGUUCUAUUCAGAGGCCUAAGAAAUUGCCCAGACCUGAUGGGCCUGUUAGGGUGGGAGUUAUUAUUGCUCUUACUAGGAUUCAGCCUUGUGGUGACUGUGGUAGGCUUCAUCUGGGUAAGUGUUGGAGGAGAUCGGGGCUUAUUUGCGGUAUGGGUCUUUAGAGUACCAGAUUAAAGAAUAUCCACAUCGUACCAAUUAGAUGCAAGCUACGGGACCAGGUUUUGUUCAGCCUCAGAGGACAGUACAACAGCCACCUAAGGGUCGUGGAUUGGCUAGGAGUGGUAAUGGUAUGAGUCAUGGACAGAGAGUACCAGACAAAGGUGUUAAUCAGACUGAGGCGAGACAACCUGCACUGGUUUAUACUGCUCGACGCCGAGAGGAUAGAGACGCUCCUGAUGUGAUCACGGAUACGUUUUUAAUUUUUGAUAUUUCAUAUAUUACUUUGAUAGACUUAGGUUCUACACACUCCUAUGUAGCUAGUGUUGCUUCUGAAAACUUGAGAAUUUCUAUUGAGUGUACUUGUGGUGAGAUUAUUGUACUGAGUCUGUUGGGACAGUCUGUUUGGGUAAAUAGACUUUAUAGGAAUGUUUCGUUGGAAGUAUAAUGGGUUAUCUUUUCGGUAAAUCUGAUGGAGCUAUCGUUUGGGGAGUUUGACUUAAUUCUAGGUAUGGACUGAUUAGUUGAACACCGAGUUAGUUUGGAUUGCGUAACUAAGAGGGUCAUUUUGAGGACCAAAGAUGAUAAGGAGGUGGUUGUGAUUGGUGAGUGUCGAGAUUACUAGUCUAAUAUAAUCUCCGCUCCAGUAGCUGAGAAAUUAGUUUGAAAAUUGUGAGGCGUAUUUAGCCUACGUCAAUAUUUCAGUUUAUGGGGACUCUGCUGUCGGGGAUAUCAGAACAGUGAGGGAAUUUUUGGAUGUUUUUCUUGAGGAAUUGCUGGGUUUACCUCUGAAUCAAAAAGUUGAGUUUGACAUUAAGCUUCUACCGGGUACAAAAUUGGUAUUUAUAGUUCUUUACUGUAUGGCACUGAAGGAGCUUACAGAGCUUAAGGUUUAACUUUAAGAGCUUCUGGUUUCAUCCAUUCUAACGUGUCUCCGUGGAGGGCACCAGUUCUAUUUGUGAAGAAAAAUGAUGGUACCAUAAGGAUGUGCAUCGAUUACUAGCAGUUGAAUAAACUGACUGUGAAGAAUAAGUACCUACUUUCGAGGAUCGAUGAUCUGUUUGAUCAAUUUUGAGGGGCUUCAGUAUUCUCAAAAAUAGAUAUCUGUUUUGGGUAUCAUCAACUUAGAGUUAAGGAAGCCGAUAUUUAUAAGACGGCUUUUAGGACUCGUUAUGGGCACUACGAGUUCCUAGUUAUGCCCUUUGGUUUGACAAAGGCUCCAACUGGAUUCGUAGAUCUGGUGAACCAAGUUUUUGGUGUACUCUAAGAUUGAGGAUAAGCAUGACGAUCAUCUUAGGGUAGUGCUUCAGAUACUUCGAGAGAAACAACUUUACGCUAAGUUGAGAAAAUAUGAAUUCUAGUUAUGAGAAAUAACAUUUUUGGGGCACGUGGUUUCUACUGAGGAGAUCCGAGUUGAUUCUAGAAAGAUUGAGGUUAUGCUUGACUGGAAACAACCUAAGAACGUAUCUGAGAUCCGUAGUUUUCUAGGACUUACAUGUUAUUAUUGGAGGUUUAUUGAGGGGUUCUCGUUGAUUGCAGCUCCUUUAACUAAGCUUCUGUGCAAGAGUGUUCCUUUCUUCUAGACUGAUGCGCAAUAAUCGAGCUUUGAGAAGCUCAAGUCUAUUUUGACUCAAGCUCUUAUUUUGAUAUAGCCUGAAUCUGGUAGGGAGUUUGUGGUGUACAGUGAUGCGUCGCACGUUGAUUUGGGAUGUGUACUGAUACAAGAUAGUAAGGUUAUGGCUUAUGCGUCUCAAUAGCUCAAGUCACGCGAGGGAAAUUAUCUGAUGCAUGAUCUCUAGUUGGCUACGGUAGUGUUUGUACUAAAGAUUUGUAGGCCCUAUCUGUAUAGUGAGAGGUGUAUUAUCUACACCGAUCACCAGAGCCUCAAGUACCUCCUUACUCAGAAGGAAAUCUUAGGCAACAUCGAUGGAUUGAGCUGCUAAAAGAUUAUAACUGCACAAUGGAGUAUCAUCCCAGUAAGACUAAUGUGGUGGCUGAUGCUCUCAGUUGUAAAGCGAUGACUGAUUUGAUAGUAGUGUUCGCUCUUCUUAGUCUGUUGGAUGAUGGAGGUCUGUUAGCCGAGUUGCAAGUUAAGCUGACUUGGAUUGGGCAGAUUUGGGAAAGGGGAUGAGUCACUGGUUCUGCGGUUUGUCAGGUUGGGAGUGGCUAUACUUUUGAUUUUAGACUGAAUAAGGAUGGAGUUCUGUGUUUUUGAGGACGGGUUUGUGUAUCAAAUGAUUUUGAUCUGUUCUGAGGGAAGCGUAUAGUAGUCCUUAUGCUAUACAUCCUAGUGGUAAUGGAUUUUCGUGAGCUGUACUAGUGGCCGAGGUUGAAACGAGAGGUAAUAGAUUUUUUUAUUCAUUGUCUGAUAUGCCAGCAAAUUAAAGUUGAGCAUUAGUUUCCUUCAAGUUUUCUCCAACCCGUUAGGAUUCUUUUAUAGAAAUGAAAACGAGUGAUGAUGGACUUCGUUAGUGGGUUGUCCUUGACACUCAUUAAGAAUAAUUUUGUUUGGGUCAUCAUGCAUCGAUUGACCAAAUCUGCCCAUUUGAUUCUGGUCCAGACGAACUUCUUUCUACAAAAGUUAGAGAAGCUCUAUAUCUCCGAGAUUGUAAGACUGCAUGGGGUUUCAGUUUCGAUAAUUUUUGAUAGGGAUCCUUGCUUCACUUCUCGUUUCUGGAUGAAACUUUAGGAAGCCCUAGGUUCGAGAUUGGACUUCAGUACUGCGUUUCAUCCUCAGACCAAUGGUCCAUCAGAGAGGGUGAUUCAGAUACUGGAGGAUAUGCUUCGGAGUUGUGUGAUUGAUUUUUGAGGUAAUUGAGAGGAUUUUCUGUUGUUAGCUGAAUUCACCUGUAAUAAUAGUUUCUAUUCUAGCAUUCAUAUGGCACCUUACGAGGCUUCGUAUGAUCAUAAGUGUCGUACUUCACUAUGUUAGACUAGUUAGGUGAGUGAUAGAUUUUGGGUCUUAAGUUGGUUUUCUAGACUGAAAAUAAGGUUAGAUUGAUUCGGGAUUGUCUGAAGGCGACUUUUGAUAGACAGAAGUCCUAUGCAGAUCUAAAAAGGAGGGAUAUUGAGUACUCUGUGGGUGAUUCUGUAUUCUUUAGGGUAUCACCGUGGAAGAAGGUUCUACGAUUCGAUCGUAAUGGCAAGUUAAGCCUUAUUCAUUGGGUCGUACCAGAUUCUGAAGCAUGUGGGACUGGUUACUUAUCAGUUAGAGUUACUUCUAGAGUUGGACUAUAUCCAUGAUGUGUUACACGUCUCGAUGUUGAGGCGGUACUAGUCUGAUCCAUCUCACGUUGUCUUUGUUGAGGAGAUCGAUGUUAGACCAGAUUUAACUUUUGAGGAGGAACCGGUUCAGAUUUUGGAUCGAGAUAUUAAGGUUUUGAGGAGGAAGUCCAUAUCGUUAGUGAAGGUUCUGUAGUGGAAUCAUGGCAUUGAGGAAGCCACGUGAGAACUUGAGGACUUGAUGCGUCAGCAGUAUCCUCAUCUGUUCGGAUCAGGUAAAUUUCGAGCCAAAAUUUCUUUUAGAGGGUAGAGUUGUAACGCCCUGAAUAAUUUAAGUAUGUUUUUAUUAAAUUUGACAUAAAAUGUGUAUCUGCUUCAGUGGUUAAGUGUUCUGGGUGUGUGUAUGAGGUCUUGGGUUCAAGUCUCCCUUUUAGCAAACUUUGUUAUUUUGAUCCAAGCCUUAUCUCUGUUAAGUGGGCUUAUGUUUUAUCUUUAGUAAACUUAUAUUAGAAUAAGCUUACGGGUUCGAGUUAUAAGGAGUUAGCUUGCUAGAAGUCCUGUGUUCGAUUCCCUGUGUGAGCGUGGAUGAUAUUUUUGUUUCGGAUGUGAGAUAGAGGUUGGGUGGAAGUAAAAUUCUGAGGUGGUGGGGAGUUAGUGGGUUAGUUAGUGAGAUAAUGGGAAGUUGAGAUAUUAGGGGUUUCAAAUUUUAUUUUAAUUUUAAUUUUAAUUCUUUGUCUUCUCAAAGUUUCUGACGUCAAUUUUUUUCUCUUUUUUCCCUCUUUCGACAUUGUUCCCUUCUCGGUAAAAUUCCUUUUCUUUUUUCUUUGAUUCUAUUUGUGAAUCCCUUGUUCAAAUCGUUGCUACUAUGAUUUUCGAGUUCUUUAAUCGGUUGGUAAGUAGAACUUCGCAUCUUUUUAACAAUUGGUUUGGGAUAUUGGCGAUGUUAAGCUAUAGCGAUUAAUUAGUGGAAUCUGUAUUUAGGAGAAGAUUGUAAAGUAGAAAAUUCACUCCGACGGCCUAAUCCGUGUUAGUGGUGGUUUUCAUCGACGGUAAGUUUGUGAGCGUUGUUGAAUUUUUGUUAUGAAUUUGUAAAUUUGUUGCUAAGCAGGGCUAGGGUUACUAUUUACAGGUUUCGGUGAUCUCGGGAUUGGUUAUACUACAAAAACGAAUCAGGUGUGUACCCUUAACGUGAGAAAAUGAGAUUCGAUGAAAGCUGAAAUUAGAGUCUGUUUAUGCCACACGGGUGUGUGCCUGACUGUGUGGCACGACACGACCGUGUGACUGACGAGGGUGUGGCCAUGCGCAAGACACGGCUGUGUGAUAGUGUGAUAGGAGUUUGGUUGAGUGUGGGUCUUAGCUUAUUUGGUACCUUAGUUUUUUUUGUUCAAUUUAAUUCCUGAACUUAAUAUUUUUUUCUUAAUUUAGUACUUAAGCUUCUUUUUUUUCCAAUUUGGUAUCUAACUUGUUAAAGGUUUUACAAAUUUCUCCAAUAUAAUAACAAUUUUAUUUUUAUAAGGUGCGAAAAUAAUCAAUGUAUGAUUAACGUAUGACAGAUGACAUGAGAUUGAUUUUUUGUAUUUUAAUGGUUAAAUUACUUUUAAUUAAUUAUUUUAUUUUACCUUUUUAAUUUAAUAAUGAAUUUCUUUUUAUUUUUGGGUUUUAAAACUUUUUUUUCAAUAUUCAUUCAUUAAGCGUAGCUCAAAGUACAAUCUUUUAACAUAAUUUUCCUCUAAUACUGACAAUAUUUUUGUGGGAUUUGAUGGCUUUAUGAAAACUAGGUCAUGCUUUAAGCAUGUGGUUCCUCUUGUAACAUUCUUGCCAUUAACUGUCAAAGUAAUCUUAGCCUUGAUGAAAUGUAAAUUUUGAACAUGUUGUUUAGAAAAAUAGAGAAAACUUUAAAUAAAUGUAAUCAUCCCUGUCAUUAAAUUCCAUAUCAUUGGUCACAUGACAACCAUACGUUAGCUACCUCAUAAAAAAAAUGAAGAUCAUUAGUGUUUUGAGGUAAUUUGUAUAAUAUUUAAAAGGUUUAAGUGUCAAAUUAAAUAAAAAAUGAUUAAGUAUCAAAUUAUAAGAAAAAUGUCAAAAUUAAGUACCAAAUGUUAAAUAAUUAUAACAAUAUAUUAUUAGUCGGCUUACAGUUUGAUUUCCUCUUUCCCAGUUGAUUGGAACAGUUUGUGGACAAAGGGUUUGAUAUUAGAGGCAGGAUUUAGGGUUUAACAUUUAAAAAUUUAUGGUUAAAAGUUUAUAAGGUUUAAAAUUUAGGAUUUGUGUUUUGUAAAAAUAAAAAUAGAAGUAUAUAUUUAUUUUACAAAGUCACAAAUUUGUAAAAAAAAAAAUUAAAUUAAAUUAGUUUCUAGAAUUACAUUAAGAAUAAACUUUCAACAUUCACUCAUUUUCUUCUAAGAUUUUAAGAUAAUGGAUUUAUCAUGCGAAGACUUGAACCCCACAAUAUACGAUAUAUGAAGAUAAUGGAUUUAUUUAACCCCACCAUGCAACAUAUAAGGAUAUAUGGUUAGGUAAACUCAUAUUUUCUUUUAUAAAGUUUUACAAUUAAUAAAGAUUAUUUUUUAGUAAAAUAUAAAUUCAAACUCACACACAAAUAAAUUUAUGAUUUCGACCCUAAUUUCAAAUAUAAAUGAACUUUUAAAUUAUGGGUAUCGUAUUAUGAAACGAUAAACUUGCCACAUUGAAAUUUUUUAUAUGGAGUGAAUCUCAUAAUUUUUGUUUUCUUAAUUUUGUUUUAAAGCAAUGAAAUAUAGAUCACGUGAAUGUUGAUAUAAAAUGGGAAAUGGAGACGAGUGAUAUUAAUUUGUAGAUAAAGUUAAUAUUACGUAGUCGCAUAAAGCGGCAUAGUACACAACCCACAACUCUGGAAUUUUAACAUCCAUAUUUAUUCUGUAGCUAUCGUUAUUUUGGCUUCCACUAGCUGGUGAACUUUCCAUGCCAAAACUUCACUUGACGCUGCAAAUGAAACAACAAAAAACACAACAUUAAAUGUUGAGCAAGUAAUAAGCAUAAGCAAUGAAACAACUCAUACGAACCUGUUGCAGUCAGUGCUAGGGCUGAUCUUGUAAGGGAUGUUGACACCGCACUUGCCUGGGAGUCCGCUUGCAAUACCAUAGUUGAUGCCAGAAAUGCCGGCGGCCGCACUUUUGAUGCAUUUGCAAGCUGCUUGCCGGUCUGGUGUUGUUUGGGCGGCGGAGUUGAGAGAUUUUAUGCCGCCGCAGCAACCUGGGGGAACGCCACCAGCACCAUUCCCUGUCAAGUAACCAAUGCAGGGUGCGAGGGAGCUUGUGACUUGACCACAGGUUACGGCCCCUUGAGCCAGGGGUGCACCCACCACCAUGCACAACACCGCCACACAUGCAAGCUUAAGGGACAUUGAGCUAGCCAUAUCGAUUAAUCACAAGAAAAACAAACUUGUAAGGAAAAUGCUUGCUUGGAGUAGUAGUACUAUUGCUGAUUGUCGUGGUUAGGGCUUGAGGGUAGGAGGGUUUUUAUAGCCAAAAGUAGUAGCGGGUGAUGUCUGAAUUUUACUUUCCUAGCUAUUAGGUAAGUUGAGAUUAUCCGAUCCAAACAUUAACACACCACAUUAAAAGUUGAGACCAUUCAAUUAGGUUCAACUGCCAACCUACGUGAUUAUUGUUUUCUUUCAAUACAAUUAAAACCAGCGUCCAUUUGAUUUCACUCAAUCAUGCCUCCACAGCUAGGACUCAAAUAUUGGUUUAACUUUUUUCUAGGUGUUUUCUUAUAAACAUGAGAUUUACAUUUGAUGUAUUUAUAAAUGCAUUUAUUGUCAGAAUGAUACCAUUUUAUUAAAAGUAAUUUGAUUUAUAAUUGUUUGUAUAUAUACUUUUAUAUAUUAAGUCUUUAAUUGAAUUGGUAUUACGAUUCACCCAAGCAUCUAUUUAAUUGAAAAUUUGUUAAAAUAUUCAUAUAACAAAUAUUAAUAUUAAUAUAAAUGUAUUUUUAUUUUUAUUAUAAAUAAAACUAUAAUAAGAUUUAAACUUAUGACUCAUAAAUUUUACUCUUUUUAACUUAACUAUUUCAACUAAAAUUUCAUUUAGUUUUAAUAUAAAUUUUUAUAAAUAUAUUAUUUACAUGAAUUUUCCUUUUCCAGGCGGUAUGCCAUGGAACUAAUAUAAAAUAUAAACAAAUGGUUAUUUUGUUAUUUUCAAUGGAAAAAAAAAACUUCACAAGAUUAGGACACAUGCAUGGUUUUUUUAAUAUAUAUAUAUAUAUAUCAUGCAACAUUCUAAAUCUAUUUAUAGAUUAUUUUGUUGAUUGAAUUUUUAUUUUUUUUUAUUUUGGUAAUUAUAUAAAACUAAAUAUUUUCUUCGCGCAAUGUUAAGAGCAGUUUGAAAUUUAAAAGAAGUGUGGAUUCUAAUAAUAAAUUUAGUUAUCUAAUGUUUACAUAUUUUAUUAAUUUGGUCUUAAAUAUAAAAAUUAAAUUCAACAAAAUUAGCCCUCAAUGUUUACAAAAUUUUUCAUUUUAAUUCAAAUUCUAAAAUAAUCCAAUAAAUUUAGCUCUCAACAUUUACAAAAUGAAAGGAUUUGAUUUUUAAAAUUUUAAUUUUUUUUUUUAAAAACCCAAAACACAAACCUAAAUAAACUGAAAAAGAAGAAGGAAUAAUUAUCAUCACCACGAUCUAAUCUCUCAACUUUAAAAUAAGACUUCAACUUCGGUUUAACCCCAAGACAAGGCGAAACAUUGAAAGUAAGUGCAGCGGAUGCCAUUGAUUCUCCUACCUUUUGGCUAAACACAUAAAUUUGAACAACUUCAUACAUAACUAGCAGCAGUACUAAAAAAUCAUUAAUACUAUAUUUUCAAGUACAAGAAAUUGAAAAAAGAAUCACGGGUAGAGUACAAAAAUGAAAUUUGGUGUGAACCUAGAUUAACAAAACAAGGUUCACGGUUUCUCAAAAACACAAUACUAAAUUUUUAGAAUUUCUUGUGAAGAUCAAGCAAUGAGACAAAUACUGAAAUUGGCAAUGCCUUAAUAGCAAAUAAUAAUUCAAACCAAUGUAGAAAAAAGAUGAAGAAGAAGAAGAUAGGAAAAGAAUUUUUAGUUUACAUUAAAAGCCUUGAAAAGGUAGACCGAUAGGAUUGAUUGUUUUGAAUAUUACUCAACUUUCUCAUUAAUUCUUGUACUAUUAUGGCUAAGUGUGUUUUUAGAUGGUAAUGAAUUUUUUUAAUUGUUAAUAAUUUUUACAAUUAUUACACUUGAUUUGGCAGUUGUUUUUCUUUUUAAUUUACAAAAUUUUAAAAAAUUAAAAAUUUCUAUUUUGUAAAUGCUAAGAGCUAAAUUUAUUAUUAUUUAUUUUAGAAUCUAAACUAAAGUGACAAAUUUUGUAAAUAUUUGGUGUUAAAUUUAUUGGAUUUUUAUAUUUAAAAUCAAAUUGAUAGAAUGUGUAAAGAAAGUUAAUUUUUUUAUUAGACAAAUAAAAAAUAACCCAUUUCAACACUUCCGAAAAAUUUUCAAACGGCCGUUAACAUUUAGUGAUGAAAAUAUUUGAUUUCAUAUAGUUUAAUAAUUAAAAUAAAAAUAAUUAAAAAUUUAGUAAUCAAAGUAAAACACAAGUGAUAUUAUUCUAGUGAUCAUUUCUGUACUUGACCCUAAUUUUUUUUUCAAAACACUGUUAAAAAACGAUUAAUUUCUCGUUUUGGCCGGAGUUAAAAUUUUUAAUAUAUUUGUUUUUAUUAAAUUUAAAAAUUAUAAUUUUACAUAAUAUAUUUUUGAUAGAAUACAUAUGAUAUAAUUUUAAUCAGUGACACCUGUUAAAGCUUGUUAGAUCUCCUGUAUCUCUUUCAAUCUGGUGGUAAAUGAAGCAAUCAAUGAGUAUUACAACCAGCCACAUGUCAUUCAAUUCACAUUAUAUCAAUCUUUUCCCUUUUCUCUCAUUUUGGUAGUUAAUUCCUUUUUUUGUCAUCGAAAUUAUAUUUUUUUCUCAAAUUGAUAAUUUCCUUAAUCCGUUAAGUUUGUUAAAAGAAACCUUAAUCUUAUUUAAAUUAUAUCUUUUUUUUUUUAUUUUGAUACUUAAACAUUUUUGUCACAUGUGGUAUGUAAUUUAUUUUUUCUUAAGUUGUUAGUUUAAUUAUUACUCAAAUAGUUAAGUCUAUUUAAAAAAAGAUAACUAUUUAAAAAUUACCAUAUUCGAACUAGCUAGGCCAUUAGUUCCUGGUUUAAUCAGUUUAUCUAGUUUGAUGAAAUCAAUUAUUAAAAAUUCAUAAAAAUAAAAAUGUUAAAAAAUAGAGAAAACUAGCUCAACUAGUUUUUUUUUUAAGCUCGACUCAAUCAAUCUGUAUCAGUUUGUAGGUUAAUCGGUUCAAGCCCUAUCUCCAAACUAGUAUCCCAGUUGGUUCCUAGUAUUAAGGGUGAGCAAAAUUUGAAUCGACUCGAAAAAAUUUAAAAAAGUUCAAAUUUUGAAUUAUUUGAAUCGAGUUAAUCGAAUCAACUCGAUUUUUUUUUAAUUUCAAGUUCGAGUCGAGUUGAGUUUUUGAAUUCAAAUGACUCGAAUAAUUCGAUUAAGCCGAAUACCAAACUAUAAUAUUUUACAUUUUACCUCAAACCCCAAACCCUUUUACUUUUCCCCCAAAACUUUACUCAUUCCUCCUUGUCUGCCCCUGUAACGCCCCAAAUUUUGAAUUGUUACUGUUAGUUUCUAUUUAUAAGUAAGUAUUUGCUUCAGUGGUUAAGUGUUAUGUGUUGGUGUUUGGAUCGGGGGUUCAAGUUACACUUUUAGAGAAUUUUAUUAUUCUUUUGUUUCAACUCUUAUCCUUGAAUGCUUGAAUUAAGUUUGUAUCUGCAUUAAUUUGUGUCAAGAAUGAGUCUUCUAGUUUAAUGGUUAAGUUUUGUAUUACCUAUGGUCUCGUGUUCGAGUCUCUGCGUAGGCAAUAAAGAAAUAUUUUGGCAUGCUAUCGGGAAAUCAGUUUUAUUUUAAUAAUUAUUUUUAUUUAAAACUUAUUUUUAGUUUUUUUUAUUUUGGUUCUUCUCCUUCCUUACUGUUCAUUUCCUUCUUCUUUUUUCUCCUUUUGUAACACCCCUAACUCGAAUCCGUCGCUGGAACAGGGUUAGGAGUAUUAUUGAAGUUUACAAUUUAAACAGGCAGAAAAAUUAAACAUUUCAUAACAUAUAGCAUUCAUGUUAGAAACCAAUCAUAAUUAUGCAUAUUGUCCCUAAUACGAGCCCUCGAGGCCCAAAAUACACCUUAGAAAUAAUUCGGGACUAAAUUGAAAAUUCGGAGCAUUUUUUAGAAACUUAUAAAAUUUUUAAAACUACAGGGGUCACAUGGCCGUGUGGCUAGGUUGUGUGACUCAUAUGGCCAACAGACACGCCCAUGUCUUAGACCGUGCGGGUAUUCGAAAUAGGGACACACGGUCGUGUCCCAGCCAGUGUCCAUGCCCGUGUAACUCACUAACUUGGGCCACACGGUCAAGCCAUACGCCCGUGUGCCAGGCAUUGUGAGCAUACUAACUUGCAUUCUUUAAAAGAUACAGGGGACACACGGCCAUGUCACCUGACCGUGUGUGACACACGCCCGUGUCUCUGCCCGUGUGGACAAAAAUAGGCUAUUUUUCAAGUCAUAAAUAUUCAUGUAUUCUUUAAAAGAUACAGGGGACACACGCCCGUGUCUCUGCCCGUGUCUCUGCCCAAUUUGGUACCAACCUAAACACAACAAUUUGCAUAUAACCAAGUCAUAAAUAGGCAUCCAAAACCAGCCAAAAUCAAGCUUAAAACAUGUAAUAUCAUCACAUACAACCAAUAUGCCCUUAGGCACCUCAAAUGACAACUUAUAAUAUUAAUAUUCAUGUAUUCAAUAUAGCCAAAUGUAUAACUCACUUAUAUGCAUAUUUUCAUCCAAAGUUUAUUAAGCAAAUUUACAUCAUUUCUUACCAAAUUACUUACCUUCCAAAACAUAUUAUUUGGUGCUAAAAUGUAUUUAACAUACUAACAUAUUUAACUUAUAUGCCUUACAUAUCCAGACACCAAUUCAUGAUCAAUUCUUCACAUUCCAAAACACAUAUAUGAAAUGCACAUUAGGUUACCUUUUUACCACUCUUUAUUCAAUCAUGAACCAAACUACAUGUCAACCAUAAUAAGCAAAAUAUGCACAUAUCCAAAAUUCCAUAACACAAACAAAACAAAUGGCUAAUCUCAACAAAACACAUAUAAGCCAACAUUGGCCAAACUAAUCUAUACAUGCCAUUAUAACCGAAAUUAAACAACCGAAUGUACCAAAAGAGCCAAUGGAUAGUGUGAUAUAGCUCCGACAAGCUUUCAACCAGAACGAGCUUUCGAAUCACUAAAAACACAGAAAAUAACACAGAGUAAGCAUUCAAGCUUAGUAAGUUCAUAUAGCAUAUAAUUUAACUUACCAUUUAGUCACAUUUAAGGUAAGCAUACAAAACAUAUCCAAACUCAAUUAGGAUAAAAGCCUCAACACAUAUCCUCAUCAACCAUGUUAGUCAUGUAAUUCAUAUAAAUAUCAAGAAACAUGUAUGAGCUCAACAAUAAUCAAACUUGCAUGUACAUAUAAUUUCCACAUCAUGUAUUUACAUAUCAUGUACAAAUCAUUUUCAUAUAUCUCAUGUAAAUACAUGUAGUAGUUUGUAUUGAACUCAUGUAAUAUCAUAACAGAACAGUGCCCGUUGAACCAUUUAGAUUAUUGUUGGAUACGCGGAUAGUACACAUGAGGUGUACUGAACUGUAAUUCAUCAAUUCAUGUACAUGUAUGCUCAUAUGAGCUAUAAACAGUAAGCUCCUCUGAGAUGAAUAACAAUAAGCUUGUACGAGCUGAAUAUCGGUAAGCUCAUAUGAGCUGAGUAUCGGUAAGCUCAUAAGAGCUGAAAUCGAUAACCCUAAUGACAUGUUUACCAAGCCAUGACAUUCCACUAACACAUUUAACCUUUAAAAUUAUUUCAAUUUACAAGUUUAAGAAAGAACAUAAAAGAUGAUACUUGGCUUUAUUUUACUAAAUUUUGUUAUUUACUUAAUUACUUAUUUAACCUUUAAAAUCAUUUCAAUUUACAAGUUUACUAAGCCAUGACAUUCCACUAACACAUUUAAGGGUUAUUUACCAUAUAAGGACCUCUACUUUAAAUUUUUAUAGCUAUUUAAUACCUUUAGCUAUUAGAACUUUACUUUUACACUUUACGCGAUUUAGUCAUUUUUAUCAAAUUGAACAUGUAAACGGUAAAAUUUCUUAACGAAAUUUUCAUAUGGUAAUAUUAUCAUGUUUUCGACCAUAAAAUAAUAAUAAAAUAAAAUUUUUUACUUCAUAUUUGUGGUCCCAAAACUACUAUUCUGAUUUCACUGAAAAUGGGUUGUUACACCUUUCUUGCUUGAUUGCUUCCGUAAGUUUGCUAUCGUGCUUAAUUGGGCAUUCUGUGUGGUUUCUUACAUUGAUUGCAAGGAUAUUGCGUAAGUUAUGUUGUUGUUUUUUACCUAUUUUUUCUAGACUUCGUCUGUUUCGUCGAGGUUAGAUAUUACUGUUAAUGGUUGUAAAAUCUCGUUAAUAGUUCCAAUGGAUCUUCUUUUAGGAAAAGGUUUCAAAAGUAACAUUUCCCUGUGAGAUUAGGUCCGAAUUGUUGUUGCUUGCUUGUCAGUAAUUGAAAAUUUCUAUUUUGGAUAGCUGCGUCGAAGUUUUCGACGAACGUUAGUUUUGAGUGCUAAUUUUGGCAUUUUGAGUUGAUUUAGUCAUUUAAUUCGUCAAUUAAUUGUCGUUUUAGGUUUCAGAUUCUUGUGUGUUGCUUCUACAUCGAAACUACAUCAAGUGUGUAACGAAAACUCAUUUUUCUAUGAUUUACGAAUGCUAGAAAACAUGGCUGUUAAUCACACGACCGUGUGUUAGGCCAUGUAACUUACUGUUUAUGUAUUAAAGUCACCGAGCCAAGGACGUGGGCGUGUGUCCUAGUCGUGUAACUUACUAUUUGUGGAUUGGAGUCACACAGGCUAGGGACACGUUUGUGUGUCCAGACUGUGUGAAGGAAAUUUUAUGAAUUGAGUCACACAAGCGUGUGCUUGACUAUGUCAUAGACCGUGUAACUCACUUUUUUGAGCCACACGAUCGUGUGCCAGGCCGUGUGAUAGAUCGUGUGCUACACGGGCCAGCCUUCCGGGACAUGUGAAUCCACACAAGUGUGUGGGUCAAAAUUUCAAAUUUUUUAUUAGGGCCGUAAACAUCAUUCCAGUCAAACGUAGGCCUACUGUAGGGUCUGGAUGAUCUGAUUUGGGUUAUAAAACCCAUUGACUAGUUAUCUGUUUCUGUAUAAACUGUUAUUUUAUAUACAUCAUAGAAUUGUAAACUAGAGAGUAGUUGUAUUCUGUAUUAAUUGAGUAUAACCUGAAAUUUGUAACAUCGUAUGCUUAUAUCUGUAUCUGUAACAUUGCAUCUGCAUUGGGGUUGGGAUUGAAUAAGGAGGAAGUUAUGGCAGUUAAAUAAUCUGCUAAGACUGGUGGCUAAGACACGUAAAUGUAUCUAAUUUUGGUGACUUUCGCAUUCUGUCCUAGCAAUUAGUCUGCAACCUUUUGAACGUGACAUAUGGUCACUAUGUGGUGUGUAGGGACGAUACCCUUUUUGGUGUGUAGGGUUGGAUGCAGAUGGUGUGUAAUUGACAUAUUCUACUCUAUUUCCGUAUAUAAUUCUGAGAACUGUUCUAACUUUAAGAAAUUGAAGAUCUAUUUUGUUGUUUCACUUAAUAAUAAUAUAAGUUAUACGCUAUGUAUAACACCCUUUACCCGAGACCGUGGUCGGAGUCGAGCAUGAGGUGUUACUUGACUUAACUUAAAAGUUCAGGGCAUAAAAAUUUACUUUCAAAAUUAAUUUCACCAUUCACAAUAAAGUUGUCCACCUGAGCAGCAGUCACUAAAUUAAUUAUAACUCAAGCUAAGAAACUCGAAAUUUAGAUUCGUAAAUUUUCCCUGAAACUAGACUCAUAUAUCUAUUCACAAAAAUUUUUCAGAAUUUUUUAUUUGACCAAUUAGUACAGUUUAUUAGUUGAAGUCUCCCCAGUUUCACUAAUCGACUAUCCUGACCUCUCGUCACUAAAAUUCAAUUAUCUCAUUAUACAGACUUGACAUGCUGAUUCCACUUAUUUAUACUUAAAAUAUACUCAUUAAGGAAUUUAAAAAUAUAAUUUAUAACUCAUAAUUCUAUUUGUACAAUUUUUAAUGAAUUUCUAAAGUCAGAACAGGGGACUUCAGAAUCAUUCUGACUCUGUCUCACUAAAAUUAAAAUAUCUAAAAGUAUAUAACUCUUUUGCUUACUCUAUUGCUUUCAUGUGAAAGUAGACUCAUUCAGAUUUAAUUUCAUCUCUCGCUAAACAUAUAAUUCUAUUUCUACAAUUUUUGGUAAUUUUUCAAAGUUACAUCAAUGCUGCUGCCCAAAAAUAGUUCCAUUGAAAUUUUUAAAAAAAAAUUCAAUAUAACCCCUUUAUAAUUAUCUAACCUUCCCUGCAAAUUUCAAAUCACAACCAAUUUCAGUAUUUCAACUACUUCACUUAAAUACUAAUGAAGUUCAACUAAUCAACCAUUUCAAACUAAAAACAUGUAUAGUUCAAUGUUUAACACAACCAUCACAUUCAAAUUUAUUCAUUCUAUUACUUUUUACUUCAAUUCCCUAUACAUGUCAUAUAAAUCCAAAAAGUUGUUUAACAAAAUCUACAGGAGUAAAUCUGGAUAGUGUGAUUCUUGGUGUAGAUCUGAUCCUCCGAAUGUAUAAAUACGUCAAUCUACAAGAAUCAAUAAACACACAAUUAAGCGUAUAGAAAGCUUAGUAAGUUCAUAGGCACCAAACAUAAAUCUUACCAAACAUUUAUACACUUAUACAUUAUACACCAUUACUAAGUUUACCUGUCAACCACAAUCUUUGGUGAGUUCCUUGGUAUAAACUCACUACUACUUAUUCUUUUACCAUAAUUCCUUUGGGCCCAUUUGUCACUUACCAUCCUUGAUCAAAAUUAAGGAACGGUUACGGAAAAUUGAGUACUUCACUUUCACUUUGCCAUAGUAUAACUAUGGUCUUACGUAUGAUCAAACAUCACUUGUCCUUGAUAAGAUAAGUGUAGCUAGGCAACCACUUAUCACUUUGUCACUUGAUCAGAUAAGUGCAGCUAAAGCUACCAUUUAUCACUUUAUCACCACUUAUCACUUGUUCUUGAUUAGAUAAGUGUAGCUAAAGUUACCACUUAUCACUUUGUCACCACUUAUCACUUGUUCCUAAUCAGAUAAGUGUAGCUAAAACUACCACUUAUCACUUUGUCACUUGAUCAGAUAAGUGUAGCUAAGCUAUCACUUAUCACUUUGUCACUUGAUCAGAAGUACUCAAAUCCGGUGUUCUGCUCAAUUUGAUCAUUUAUUCAGUUUUCACAUUUUUAUUUUAUUCUCAUUUCAUCAAUAAAUAUAUAUAUUUCAUCAUACAUUAUAUAAUUCAUGAAAUUAACAUUUAAUCAUUAAAUUUUAGCCAUAUGAACUUACCUGGGUUGAUUUGCUGAAUUUGUAAAAGUUUAGGGACUAAUCAGCUACUUUUUUUUUCCUCGACUUGUUUCGGGUUCUCAAUAUGAUUCAAAUAUAUGAAAAACCAACUUGGAGGGACUCUUCAAUGGUGUUUUUUGCUAAAAAAUAUGAGGAAUUGCCUAGAAACACUUUUAGUUAAGAUUUUUAUUUGUUAUUUUUUACAAAAUUUCCAAUUUUGCCCUUAUUACAUCACUUUUUCAAAUUUUUCUUCUCUUAUGUCGUCUCAACUAUUCCAUAUUGGCAUAUUUAUGCCUUAAGUCCCUCCUUAUUUACCACUUAAGCUAUUUAAUCACUUUUAACAAAUUUUACAUUAUUUUCAGUUUAAUCCUUUUUAAUUAAUUAACCACCCAAACGUUAGAAUUUUCUAACGAAAAUUUAAUACCAACUCAAUGACACUCCAUAAAUGUUUCUAAAAAUAUUUAUGGCUCGAUUUAUGAGGUUGAGGUUUCAAUACCUCAUUUUCGAUUCUAAUUAUUUUAAUAUUUAUUCUUAGUACAUUAUUCACUAUUUCAAAAAUUUUCCUAACUUCGCAUUUAACUUAUACUCACUAAAUUAAUAAUAUUUUCUACUCAUUUGUCAAAUUUAAUGAUCUCGAAUUACCAUUCCGACACCACUGAAAAUUCAGGCCAUUACAACUCUCCCCCCAUUUUGGAAAUUUCAUCACCGAAAUUUCGUACCUGAAAAUAAAUUCGGAUACUGAAAUCUCAGCAAUUCCUCUGUUUCCCAGGUUGCCUCCUCAGAUCCAUGUCGAUUCCAUAACACCUUAACUAGUGGUACAUGUUUAUUCCUCAACUCUUUAACCUUCUGAGCUAAAAUUUUCACCGGUUCCUCUGAAUAAGUCAUGUCAGGUUGAAGCUCUAUUUCCGUAUGAGGAAUUACAUGUGAUGGAUCUGAUCUGUACCGUCUCAACAUAGACACAUGAAACACAUUAUGAAUCUUUUCAAGUUCCGGGGGCAAAGCUAAUCUAUAGGUUACCGGACCGAUUCUUUCAAUGAUUUCAUACGGCCCGAUAAAUCGUGGGCUGAGUUUCCCCUUUUUGCUGAACCGCAAAACUUUCUUCCACGGUGACACUUUCAAAAAUACACGAUCACCCACAUUAAACUCUAUAUCCCUUCUCUUCAAAUUUGCAUAUGAUUUUUGCCGAUCGGAGGUAGCUUUUAAACAAUCUCGAAUAAUACGAACUUUUUCUUCAGUUUCCUGAGUCAAUUCCACUCCCACUAGUUUCGAUUCACUUAAUUCAGACCAAUAUAAUGGAGUUCUACACUUUCUUCCAUACAAAGCUUCAAACGGUGCCAUUUUAAUGCUAGUUUGAUAACUAUUAUUAUAAGCAAAUUCGGCUAAAGGUAAAUACCUUUCCCAGCUACCGCCGAACUCAAGUAUACAACACCUUAACAUAUCUUCUAAAAUCUGAAUCACUCGCUCUGACUGCCCAUCUGUCUAGGGAUGAAAAGCUGUGUUGAAAUUUAAUUUGGUGCCUAAAGCUUCCUGUAAUUUACUCUAAAAUCUCGAGGUAAAUCUCGGAUCUUGAUCUGAAAUAAUAGAUGUCGGUACCCCAUGUAACCUCACUAUCUCAGACACAUAUAACUCCGCUAACUUUUCAAGCUGAUAAUCUGCUCUGACUGGAAUAAAAUGUGCUGACUUAGUUAACCGAUCAACAAUCACCCAUAUUGAAUGUUUCUUCUUCAGAGUUACUAGUAAUCCAGAUACAAAAUCCAUCGUAACAUGUUCCCAUUUCCAAUCUGGAAUCAUAAUGGGCUGUAACAACCCUGUCGGCACUUGAUGCUCAGCUUUCACCUGUUGACAGAUCAAACAUCUUGCUACAUACUCAAAGAUUUCCCGUUUCAUUCCGGGCCACCAAUACAUUUUCUUCAAAUCACAAUACAUUUUUGUACUACCCGGGUAAAUAGAACACAUACUACUGUGAGCCUCUGAUAAAAUAUCAUUUUUCAAGUUUAAAUUAUUCGGAAUACAUAUUCUAUUACGAUAAUAUAACAUACCAUUUUCAUCAAUGGAGUAUUCUGAGCUUAACUUAUCUUGAACCAUCUGUCGCUUUAUCAUCAAUUUUGGGUCAUCAUCCUAUAACUCCCGAAUCCGUUGAAAGAACACGGGUUUAGCCUUUAAUUCUGCUAGUACAGAACCAUCCUCAUUAAUAGAUAAAUGAGCAUUCAAUGCCCGUAGUGCAAAUAAUGAUGAUUUCCGACUAAGCGCAUCUGCUGCGGCAUUUGCUUUCCCUGGGUGAUAGUCAAUGACAAGAUCAUAAUCUUUCAGCAACCCCAACCAUCGUCUCUGUGUCAAAUUUAACUCUUUCUGAGUCAUUAAAUACUUCAAGCUUUUAUGAUCAGUAUACACGUAACAUUUCUCACCAUAUAAGUACUCUCCAUAUCUUCAAAGCAAACACGAUCGCUGCCAAUUCCAAAUCAUGUGUAGGAUAAUUCUUGUCGUGCGGUUUCAGUUGCCAAGAAGCAUAUGCCACCACUUUGCCUGACUGAAUAAGUACACAGCCCAACCCAUUUACAGAUGCAUCACUAUAUACUACAAACGGUACACCCGAUUCUGGUUGAGUCAACACUGGAGCCUCUGUCAACAUCUUUUUCAACUGAUCGAAACUCCGCUGACAUUCAUCUAACCAUAUAAAUUCAACAUUCUUUUGUAGCAAUCGAGUUAACGGUAAGGUAAUCAUUGAGAAAUCUUUGACAAAUCGACGAUAAUAACCUGCCAAUCGUAGAAAACUCUGCACUUCAGUCACAUUCUUCGGAACUUUCCAAUUUAUCACUGCCGCUACCUUACUUGGAUCCACUCUUAUUCCAUCAGCUGAUACAAUAUGACCCAAAAAUGCAACUUCAUGGAGCCAAAAUUCACAUUUGCUGAAUUUGGCAUACAAUUGUUUCUCCCACAAAGUCUGUAAUACAAUCAUUAGAUGUUGUGCAUGUUCGGACUCUGUCUUUGAAUAAAUCAAUAUAUCGUCAAUGAACACAACCACAAAUCUAUCCAAAUAUGACUGAAAAAUUCUAUUCAUCAAAUCCAUAAAAGCAGCAGGGGCAUUGGUUAAACCAAAUGGCAUCACCAAAAAUUCAAAAUGACCAUAUCGAGUUCGAAAGGCAGUUUUCGGCACUUCACACUCUUUAACUUUCAACUGAUAAUACUCGGAUCGAAGAUCUAUCAUGGAAAAUACUGUAGCACCUUUCAACUGAUCAAACAAAUCAUCAAUAUGAGGCAAAGGAUUUUUAUUCUUUACUGUUACCUUAUUCAACUGUCUGUAAUCUAUACACAGUCUUAAAAAACCGUCCUUCAUUUUCACAAACAAGACAGGUGUACCCCAGGGCGACAUACUCGGUCUGAUGAACCCUUUAUCUAAUAACUCCUGCAGCUGCGCCUUCCGUUCUUUUAACUCGACUGGAGCCAUUCUGUAUGGUGUCAUUGAGAUAGGAGUUGUUCCGGGGAUCACAUCAAUUACAAAUUCAACUUCUCUAUCAGGUGGUAGACCGGGUAACUCUUCAGGGAACAUAUCAGGGAAUUCAUUCACCAUUGGCACUUGUUCGAGCUUCAAACCAGAACCCUGAGUAUCCAGGAUAUAGGCCAAGAAUGCUUCGUUGCCUUUGUGUAAUAACCUCUGAGCAGAGAGAGCUAAAAUAAUUCUGACUGUAUCACCCAGAUUUUCAGACCCAACUGAGAUUAUAUCUCCCGUUUGACAUUUCAAACUGAUUUGUUUAUCACGAUAAUUCACUACCGCAUCAUGUCUCAUUAACCAGUCCAUCCCCAGAAUAAUGUCAAAUUCCCGAAAAGGUAACAACAUCAAAUCAGCGAGGAAUUCAUAGCCUUUCACUUUCAGUGGACAAUUACGACAUAUCAAAUUAACCAUCACACUUUGACCUAAUGGGUUUGUGACUUGUAUAUCAAAUUCAGUGGACUCAACAGAUAAUUUCUUUUUAGAUGCUAACAUAGUGCAAAUAUAUGAAUGAGUAGAUCCAGGGUCUAUCAAUGCAUAAACAAUAACAUCAUAAAGAUAGAAAGUACCAGCAAUUACAUCAGGAGCCGUAGCCUCUUUCCUUGCUCGAAUGGCGUAGGUACGUGCUGGUGCUCUAUUCUCUGAUCGACCAACUGAUUCCCUCGUACCCGAACGGGUAGUCCCUGUAGCACUGCUCUGGCCCGAACGUCUACUUUUUUGGGGAAUGGUUCUCUGUAUUUCUUUCUGUUCCACUUCAUCUUUUUACAGUCGGGAACAAUCUCGAAUAAGAUGAUUAGUACCCUCACAUUUUUAACAAGCCCCUAUCUUGGUCCUGCAUUCUCUGAAAUGAUAUCUUCCACAAUAUUGACACUUAGGCCGGGGAGCAUUCUGAACACUGCUCACACUUGCUGGAGGUCUAUCGAAUACCCUGAAAUCAGAUUGUCUUGGUCUAUCUCUACCCGAUCUUCUCGACAGUGAUGUAGUUCGACUAAUUUCUUCUCUAGAUUUGUUCACUGGUAAAUCUAAAAAUGACUUAGAAGCACCUCUUUUGAAUGGCUCUUUACUUUUUCGAUCCCGCUACAUUUUUCUGUUGUAUACUUCUUCGAGCUUUUGAGCACGGUCUGACAGAACAGGGAACUCUCGUAUUUCAUUACCCCCAAUCAUCAUUCUAAUUUCAUCAUUUAACCCUUCUUCAAACCUGAUACACAUUUCUUCUUUAAUAAGUACAAUGUCUCGGGCAUAUUUGCUGAGGUAGACAAAUUCUCUUUCGUAUUCAGCCACUGAUUUAUCUCCCUGGCGUAGGUCGAGAAAUUCCCUUUUAUUUUUAUCCAAAUACCGUCUGCCCACAUAUUUCUUCUUAAAUUCAUUUUGGAAAAAUUCCCAAUAAAUUUUCUCUGUCGGAACCACAUCCUCAAUCGUCUCCCACCAACUAUAAGCUUCUUCUUUCAAUAGAGACACAACACAACUCAAAUAAUCAUCUAGUGAGCAAACCAUUUCUUUAAAAAUUCUUAUUAAACUCUGUAACCAAUAUUCAGCUUUGACGGGAUCUUUAUCAGUCCUUCCCCGAAAUUCUUCGGCUCCAAGUUUUUUAAGCCUUUCCAAUGGAGAACGCUUUCUGGAUUCAGUCGUUGUAAAAGGUGGAGGAGCAACCGGGUGUGCCACCGAUGGAGCAGUAGGGGGAGGAGGUGGUUCAGCCUGAUUUCUUUCUUGCCUCAUUUCAGUAUAUCAUUGAUUCAUAAUCCCAUAAAUCAUAUUCUUUAACUCUUGCUCUCGCAUUUGGGAGAUCGGAACAUCACUGCUUGUUCUUUGUUUAGAAUUAUGUAUUCUACUAUUAACUUCUUCUUUCUCAGUACGUUUAGGUAUAUCUGACAUCUCCAUAACCGGAGAAUAUCUACUAUUAACUUCUUCUUACUGGAUUCAGUCGUUGUAAGAGGUGGAGAAGCAACCGGGGGUACCACCGAUGGAGCAGUAGGCAGAGGAGGUGGUUCAGCCUGAUUUCUUUCUUGCCUCAUUUCAGUAUACCACUGAUUCAUAAUCCCAUAAAUCAUAUUCUUUAACUCUUGCUCCCGUAUUUGGGAGAUCAGAACACCACUGCUUGUUCUUUGUUCAGAAUUAUGUAUUCUACUAUUAACUUCUUCUUGCUCAGUACGUUCAGGUAUAUCUGACAUCUCUAUAACCGGAGAAUAUCUAUAAAAAUAACAAAGAUUAGAUCGCAUCAUACGCAUUACACUAUCACAGAUUUAUAUGGCAUGUAUUUCUAAACACUUUACACUUUACACAUAUUCCGAGAACCGGCUAAACCUGGAUCUGAUACCAAUAAAAUGUAACACCCUUUACCUGAGACCGUUUCCAGAGUCGAGCAUGAGGCGUUACUUGACUUAACUUAAAAGUUCAGGGCAUAAAAAAUUACUUUCAAAAUUAAUUUCACCAUUCACAAUAAAGCUGUCCACCCACGCAGCAAUCUCUAAAUUAAUUAUAACUCAAGAUGCGAAACUCGAAAUUUAGAUCUGUAUAUUUUACCUAAAACUAGACUCAUAUAUCUAUUCACUACAAAAUUUUCAGACUUUUUGGUUUGGCAAAUUAGUACAGUUUAUUAAUUGAAGUCUCCCCUGUUUCACUAAUAGACUAUCCUGACCUCUCGUCACUAAAAUUCAAUUAUCUCAUUAUACAAACUUGACUUGGUGCUUUCAAUUAUUUUUACUUAAAAUAGACUCAUUAAGGAAUUUAAACAUAUAAUUUAUAACUCAUAAUUCAUUUUGUACAAUUUUUAAUGAAUUUCUAAAGUCAAAAUAGGGGACUUCAAAAUCAUUCUGACUCUGUCUCACUAAAAUUCAAAUAUCUAAAAGUAUAUAACUCUUUUGCUUACUCUAUUGCUUUAAUGUGAAAGUAGGCUCAUUCAGCUUUAAUUUCAUCUCUCACUCAACUUAUAAUUCUAAGUCCACAUUUUUGGUGAUUUUUCAAAGUUACAUCAAUACUGCUGUCCAAAAACUGUUCCAUUGAAAUUUUUUUAAAAAAUUUCAAUAUAACCCUUUUAUAAUUAUCUAACCUUCCCUGCAAAUUUUAAAUCACAACCAAUUUCAGUAUUUCAACCACUUCACUUAAAUACUAAUGAAGUUCAACCAAUCAACCAUUUCAAACUAAAAACAUGCAUAGUUCAAUGUCUAACACAACCAUCACAUUCAAAUUUACUUUGCAUAUUUAGAUAUUCAUUCUUUUACUUUUUACUUCAAUUCCCUAUACAUGUCAUAUAAAUCCAAAAAGUUGUUUAACAAAAUCUACCGGAGUAAAUCUUGAUAGUGUGAUUCUUGGUGUAGAUCCGAUCCUCUGAAUGUAUAAAUACGUCAAUCUACAAGAAUCAAUAAACGCACAAGUAGGCUUAAUAAACACACAAGUAAGCUUAUAGAAAGCUUAGUAAGUUCAUAGGCACCAAACAUAAAACUUACCAAACAUUUAUACACUUAUACAUUAUACACCAUUACUAAGUUUACCUGUCAACCACAUUCUUUGGUGAGUUCCUUGGUAUAAACUCACUAAUACUUAUUCUUUUACCAUAAUUCCUUUGGGCCCAUUUGUCACUUACCAUCCUUGAUCAAAAUUAAGGAACGGUUACGGAAAAUUGAGUACUUCACUUUCACUUUGCCAUAGUAUAAAUAUGGUCUUACGUAUGAUCACUUAUCACUUGUCCUUGAUCAGGUUAGUGUAGCUAGGCUACCACUUAUCACUUGUUCCUGAUCAGAUAAGUGUAGCUAAGCUAUCACUUGUCACUUUGUCACUUGAUCAAAAGUACUCAAAUCCGGUGUUCCGCUCAAUUUGAUCACUUAUUCAGUUUGCGCAUUUUUAUUUUAUUCUCAUUUCAUCAAUAAAUAUAUAUAUAUAUUUCACCAUACAUUAUAUAAUUCAUGAAAUUAACAUUUAAUCAUUAAAUUUCAUCCAUAUGAACUUACCUAGGUCGAUUUUCUGAAUUUGUAAAAGUUCAAGGACUAAUCAGCUACUUUUUCUUUUCCUCGACUUGUUUCGGGUUCUCGAUAUGAUUCAAAUAUAUGAAAAACUAGCUUGGAGGGACUCUUCAAUGGCGUUUUUUGCUGAGAAAUAUGAUGAAUUGCCUAGAAACUCUUUUAGUUAAGAUUUUUAUUUGUUAACUUUUACAAAAUUUCUAAUUUUGCCCUUAUUACAUCACUUUUUCAGAUUUUUCUUCUCUUAUGCCGUCUCAACUAUUCCAUAUUAGCAUAUUUAUGCCUUAAGUCCCUCCUUAUUUACCACUUAAGCUGUUUAAUCACUUUUAACAAAUUUUACAUUAUUUUCAGUUUAGUCAUUUUUAAUUAAUUAACCACCAAAACGUUAGAAUUUUCUAACGAAACUUUAAUACCAACUCAAUGACACUCUAUAAAUGUUUCUAAAAAUAUUUAUGGCUCGAUUGAUGAGUUUGAGGUUUCGAUACCUCAUUUUCGACUCUAAUUAUUUUAAUAUUUAUUCUUAGUACACUAUUCACUAUUUCAAAAAUUUUCCUAACUUCGCAUUUAACUUAUACUCACUAAAUUAAUAAUAUUUUCUACUCAUUUGUCAAAUUUAAUGAUCUCGAAUUACCAUUCCGACACCACUGAAAAUUCAGGCCAUUACAACUCUCCCCCCAUUUUGGAAAUUUCGUCCCCGAAAUUUCGUACCUGAAAAUAAAUUCGAAUACUGAAAUCUCAUCAAUUCCUCUGUUUCCCAGGUUGCCUCCUCAGAUCCAUGUCGAUUCCAUAACACCUUAACUAGUGGUACAUGUUUAUUCCUCAACUCUUUAACAUCCCAAGCUAAAAUUUUCACCGGUUCCUCUGAAUAAGUCAUGUCAGGUUGAAGCUCUAUUUCCGUAUGAGGAAUUACAUGUGAUGGAUCUGAUUUGUACCGUCUCAACAUAGACACAUGAAACACAUUAUGAAUCUUUGCAAGUUCCGGGGGCAAAGCUAAUCUAUAGGUUACCAGACCGAUUCUUUCAAUGAUUUCAUACGGCCCGAUAAAUCGUGGGCUGAGUUUUCCCUUUUUGCUGAACCGCAAAACUUUCUUCCACGGUGACAGUUUCAAAAAUACACGAUCACCCACAUUAAACUCUCUAUCCCUUCUCUUCAAAUCUGCAUAUGAUUUUUGCUGAUCGGAGGCAGCUUUUAAGCAAUCUCGAAUAAUACGAACUUUUUCUUCAGUUUCCUGAGUCAAUUCCACUUCCACCAGUUUCAAUUCACUUAAUUUAGACCAAUAUAAUGAAGUUCUACACUUUCUUCCAUACAAAGCUUCAAACGGUGCCAUUUUAAUGCUAGUUUGAUAACUAUUAUUAUAAGCAAAUUCGGCUAAAGGUAAAUACCUUUCCCAGCUACCGCCGAACUCAAGUAUACAACACCUUAACAUAUCUUCUAAAAUCUGAAUCACUCGCUCUGACUGCCCAUCUGUCUGGGGAUGAAAAGCUGUGUUGAAAUUUAAUUUGGUGCCUAAAGCUUCCUGUAAUUUACUCUAAAAUCUCGAGGUAAAUCUCGGAUCUCGAUCUGAAAUAAUAGAUGUCGGUACCCCAUGUAACCUCACUAUCUCAGACACAUAUAACUCCGCUAACUUUUCAAGCUGAUAAUCUGCUCUGACUGGAAUAAAAUGUGCUGAUUUAGUUAACCGAUCAACAAUCACCCAUAUCGAAUCUUUCUUCUUCGAAGUUACUGGUAAUCCGGAUACAAAAUCCAUCGCAACAUGUUCCUAUUUCCACUCUGGAAUCAUAAUGGGCUGUAACAACCCUGUCGGCACUUGAUGCUCAGCUUUCACCUGUUGGCAGAUCAAACAUCUUGCUACAUACUCACAGAUUUCCCAUUUAAUUCCGGGCCACCAAUACAUUUUCUUCAAAUCACAAUACAUUUUUGUACUAACCCGGUGAAUAGAACACAUACUACUGUGAGCCUCUGAUAAAAUAUCAUUUUUCAAGUUUAAAUUAUUCGGAAUACAUAUUCUAUUACGAUAAUAUAACAUACCAUUUUCAUCAAUGGAGUAUUCUGAGCUUAACUUAUCUUGAACCAUCUGUCGUUUUAUCAUCAAUUUUGGGUCAUCAUCCUGUAACUCUUGAAUCCAUUGAAAGAACACGGGUUUAGCCUUUAAUUCUGCUAGUACAGAACCAUCCUCAUUAAUAGAUAAAUGAGCAUUCAAUGCCCGUAGUGCAAAUAAUGAUGAUUUCUGACUAAGUGCAUCUGCUGCGGCAUUUGCUUUCCCUGGGUGAUAGUCAAUGACAAGAUAAUAAUCUUUCUGCAACUCUAACCAUCGUCUCUAUCUCAAAUUUAACUCUUUCUGAGUCAUUAAAUACUUUAAGCUUUUAUGAUCAGUAUACACGUAACAUUUCUCACCAUAUAAGUAGUGUCUCCUUAUCUUCAAAGCAAACACGAUCGCUGCCAAUUCAAAAUCAUGUGUAGGAUAAUUCUUGUCGUGCGGUUUCAGUUGCCGAGAAGCAUAUGCCACCACUUUGCCUGACUGAAUAAGUACACAGCCCAACCCAUUUACAGAUGCAUCACUAUAUACUACAAAUGGUACACCCGAUUCUGGUUGAGUCAACAUUGGAGCCUCUGUCAACAUCUUUUUCAACUGAUCAAAACUCCGCUGACAUUUAUCUGACCAUAUAAAUUCAACAUUCUUUUGUAGAAAUCGAGUCAACUGUAAGGUAAUCAUUGAGAAAUCUUUGAUAAAUCGACAAUAAUAACAUGCCAAUCGUAGAAAACUCCACACUUCAAUAACAUUCUUCGGAACUUUCCAAUUUACCAUUGCCGCUACCUUACUUGGAUCGACUCUUAUUCCAUCAGCUGAUACAAUAUGACCCAAAAAUGCAACUUCAUGGAGCCAAAAUUCUCAUUUGCUAAAUUUGGCAUACAAUUGUUUCUCUCACAAAGUCUGUAAUACAAUCCUUAGAUGUUGUGCAUGUUCGGACUCUGUCUUUGAAUAAAUCAAUAUAUCGUCAAUGAACAACCACAAAUCUAUCCAAUUAUGACUGAAAAAUUCUAUUCAUCAAAUCCAUAAAAGCAGCAAGGGCAUUGGUUAAACCAAAUGGCAUCACCAAAAAUUCAUAAUGACCAUAUCGAGUUUGGAAGGCAGUUUUCGGCACAUCACACUCUUUAACUUUCAACUGAUAAUACCCAGAUUGAAGAUCUAUCUUGGAAAAUAUUGCAGCACCUUUCAACUGAUCAAAUAAAUCAUCAAUAUGAGGCAAAGGAUAUUUAUUCUUUACUGUUACCUUAUUCAACUGCCUGUAAUCUAUACACAGUCUUAGAGAACCGUCCUUUUUUUUCACAAACAAGACAGGUGCACCCCAGGGCGACAUACUCAGUCUGAUGAACCAUUUCUCUAAUAACUCCUGUAACUGCGCCUUCAACUCUUUUAACUCGGCUGGAGCCAUUCUGUACGGUGUCAUUGAGAUAGGAGUUGUUCCGGCGAUCACAUCAAUUACAAAUUCAACUUCUUUAUCAGGUGGUAGACCGGGUAACUCUUCAGGGAACACAUUAGGGAAUUCAUUCACUACUGGCACUUGUUUGAGCUUCAAACCAGAACCCUGAGUAUCCAUGAUAUAGGCCAAGAAUGCUUCGUUGCCUUUGCGUAAUAACCUCUGAGCAGGGAGAGCUGAAAUAAUUCUGACUGUAUCACCCAUAUUUUCAGACCCAACUGAGAUUAUAUCUCCCGUUUGACAUUUCAAAUUGAUCUGUUUAUCACGACAAUUCACUACCGCAUCAUGUCUCACUAACCAGACCAUCCCAAGAAUAAUGUCAAAUUCUCGAAAAGGUAACAACAUCAAAUCAGCGGGGAAUUCAUAGCCUUUCACUUUUAAUGGACAAUUACGACAUAUCAAAUUAACCAUCACACUUUGACCUAAUGGGUUUGUGACUUGUAUAUCAAAUUCAAUGGACUUAACAAAUAAUUUCUUUUCAGAUGCUAACAUAGUGCAAAUAUAUGAAUGAGUAGAUCUAGGGUCUAUCAAUGCAUAAACAAUAACAUCAUAAAGAUAGAAAGUACCAACAAUUACAUCAGGAGCCGUAGCCUCUUCCCUUGCUCGAAUGGCGUAGGUACGUGCUGGUGCUCUAUUCUUUGAUCGACCAACUGAUUCCCUCGUACCCGAACGGGUAGUCCCUGUAGCACUGCUCUGGCCCGAAUGUCUACUUCUUUGGGGAAUGGUUCUCUGUAUCUCUUUCUGUUCCACUUCAUCUUUUUACAGUCGGGGACAAUCUCGAAUAAGAUGAUUAGUAGCCCUACAUUUUUAACAAGCCCCCAUCUUGGUCCUGCAUUCUCCGAAAUGAUAUCUUCCACAAUAUUGACACUUAGGCCGGGGAGCAUUCUGAACACCGCUCACACUUGCUGCAGGUCUAUCGAAUACCCUGAAAUCAGAUUGUCUUGGUCUAUCUCUACCCGAUCUUCCCAACAUUAAUGUAGUUCGACUAAUUUCUUCUCUAGAUUUCUUCACUGGCAAAUCUAAAAAUGACUUAGAAGCACCUCUUUUGAAUGGCUCUUUACUUUUUCGAUCCCGCUGCAUUUUUCUGUUGUAUACUUCUUCGAGCUUUUGAGCACGGUCUGACAGAACAACGAACUCUCGUAUUUCAUUACCCCCAAUCAUCAUUCUAAUUUCAUCAUUUAACCCUUCUUCAAACCUGAUACACAUUUCUUCUUUAGUAGGUACAAUGUCUCGGGCAUAUUUGCUGAGGUAAACAAAUUCUCUUUCGUAUUCAGCCACUGAUUUAUUUCCCUGGCGUAGGUCGAGAAAUUCCCUUUUAUUUUUAUCCAAAUACCGUCUGCCCACAUAUUUCUUCUUAAAUUCAUUUUGGAAAAAUUCCCAAUAAAUUUUCUCUGCUGGAACCACAGCCUCAAUCGUCUCCCACCAACUAUAAGCUUCUUCUUUCAAUAGGGACACAGCACAUCUCAAAUAAUCAUCUGGUGAGCAAACCAUUUCUUUAAAAAUUCUUAUCAAACUUUGUAACCAAUAUUCAGCUUUGACGGGAUCUUCAUUAGUCCUUCCUGAAAUUCUUCGGCUCCAAGUUUUUUAAGCUUUUCCAAUAGAGAACGCUUACUAGAUUCAGUCGUUGUAGGAGGUGGAGGAGUAACCGGGGGUACCAUCGAUGGAGCAGUAGGGGGAGGAGGUGGUUCAGCAUGAUUUCUUUCUUGCCUCAUUUCAAUAUACCACUGAUUCAUAAUCUCAUAAAUCAUAUUCUUUAAUUCUUGCUCUCGCAUUUGGGAGAUCGGAACAUCACUGCUUGUUCUUUGUUCAGAAUUAUGUAUUCUACUAUUAACUUAUUCUUACUUAGUUCGUUCAGGUAUAUCUGACAUCUUUAUAACUGGAGAAUAUCUAUAAAAAUAACAAAGAUUAGAUCGGAUCAUACGCAUCACACUAUCACAGAUUUAUAUGGCAUGUAUUUCUAAACACUUUACACUUCACACAUAUUCCGAGAACCGGCUAAACCGGGAUCUGAUACCAAUAAAAUAUAACACCCUUUACCCAAGACCGUUGCCCGAGUCGAGCAUGAGGCGUUACUUGACUUAACUUAAAAGUUCAGGGCAUAAAAAUUUACUUUCAAAAUUAAUUUCACCAUUCACAAUAAAGCUGUCCACCUGCGCAGGAGUCACUAAAUCAAUUAUAACUCAAGCUACGAAACUCAAAAUUUAGAUCCGUAAAUUUUCCCUAAAACUAGACUCAUAUAAAUAUUCACCAUAAAUUUUUAAGAAUUUUUAGUUUAUCCAAUUAGUAUAGUUUAUUAGUUUAAGUCUCCCUUGUUUCACUAAUAGACUACCCUGACCUCUCGUCACUAAAAUUCAAUUAUCUCCUUAUACAGACUUGACAUGGUGCUUCCAAUUAUUUUUACUUAAAAUAUACUCAUUAAGGAAUUUAAAAAUAUAAUUUAUAACUCAUAAUUACUUUUUUACAAUUUUUAUUGAAUUUCUAAAUUCAGAACAGGGGACUUCAAAAUCAUUCUGACCCUGUCUCACUAAAAUUCAAAUAUCUAAAAGUAUAUAACUCUUUUGCUUACUCUAUUGCUUUCAUGUGAAAGUAUACUCAUUCAGAUUUAAUUUCAUAUCUCACUUAACUUAUAAUUCUAUUUCCACUAUUUUUGGUGAUUUUUCACAGUUACAUCAAUGCUGCUGUCCAAAAACUGUUCCAUUGAAAUUUUUAAAAAAAAUUCAAUAUAACCCCUUUAUAAUUAUCUAACCUUCCCUGCAAAUUUCAAAUCACAACCAAUUUCAGUAUUUCACCUACUUCACUUAAAUACUAAUGAAGUUCAACCAAUCAACCAUUUCAAACUAAAAACAUGUAUAGUUCAAUGUCUAACACAACCAUCAUAUUCAAAUUUACUUUGCAUACUUAGUCAUUCAUUCUAUUACUUUUUACUUCAAUUCCCUAUACAUGCCAUAUAAAUCCAAAAAGUUGUUUAACAAAAUCUACCAGAGUAAAUCUAGAUAGUGUGAUUCUUGGUGUAGAUCCGAUCCUCCGAAUGUAUAAAUACGUCAAUCUACAAGAAUCAAUAAACACAUAAUUAAGCUUAUAGAAAGCUUAGUAAGUUCAUAGGCACCAAACAUAAAUCUUACCAAACAUUUAUACACUUAUACAUUAUACACCAUUACUAAGUUUACCUGUCAACCACAAUCUUUGGUGAGUUCCUUGUUAUAAACUCACUACUACUUAUUCUUUUACCAUAAUUCCUUUGGGCCCAUUUGUCACUUACCAUCCUUGAUCAAAAUUAAGGAACGGUUACGGAAAAUUGAGUACUUCACUUUCACUUUGCCAUAGUAUAACUAUGGUCUUACAUAUGAUCACUUAUCACUUGUCCUUGAUAAGAUAAGUGUAGCUAGGCUACCACUUAUCACUUUGUCACUUGAUCAGAUAAUUGUAGCUAAAGCUACCACUUAUCACUUUAUCACCACUUAUCACUUGUUCCUGAUCAGAUAAGUGUAGCUAAAACUACCACUUAUCACUUUGUCACCACUUAUCACUUGUUCCUGAUCAGAUAAGUGUAGCUAAAGCUACCACUUAUCACUUUGUCACUUGAUCAGAUAAGUGUAGCUAAGCUAUCACUUAUCACUUUGUCACUUGAUCAGAAGUACUCAAAUUCGGUGUUCCGCUCAAUUUGAUCAUUUAUUCAGUUUUCACAUUUUUAUUUUAUUCUCAUUUCAUCAAUAAAUAUAUAUAUUUCAGCAUACAUUAUAUAAUUCAUGAAAUUAACAUUUAAUCAUUAAAUUUCAGCCAUAUGAACUUACCUGGGUCGAUUUAUUGAAUUUGUAAAAGUUCAGGGACUAAUCAGCUACUUUUUCUUUUCCUCGACUUGUUUCGGGUUCUCAAUAUGAUUCAAAUAUAUGAAAAACCAGCUUGGAUGGACUCUUCAAUGGCGUUUUUUGCUGAGAAAUAUGAUGAAUUGCCUAGAAACUCUUUUAGUUAAGAUUUUUAUUUGUUAACUUUUACAAAAUUUCCAAUUUUGCCCUUAUUACAUCACUUUUUCAGAUUUUUCUUCUCUUAUGCCGUCUCAACUAUUCCAUAUUAGCAUAUUUAUGCCUUAAGUCCCUCCUUAUUUGCCACUUAAGCUGUUUAAUCACUUUUAACAAAUUUUACAUUAUUUUCAGUUUAGUCCUUUUUAAUUAAUUAACCACCCAAACGUUAGAAUUUUCUAACGAAACUUUAAUAUCAAUUCAAUGACACUCUAUAAAUGUUUCUAAAAAUAUUUAUGGCUCGAUUGAUGAGUUUGAGGUUUCGAUACCUCAUUUUUUAUUCUAAUUAUUUUAAUAUUUAUUCUUAGUAUACUAUUCACUAUUUUAAAAAUUUUCCUAACUUCGCAUUUAACUUAUACUCACUAAAUUAAUAAUAUUUUCUACUCAUUUGUCAGAUUUAGUGAUCUAGAAUUACCAUUCCGACACCACCGAAAAUUCAGGCCAUUACAUUAUGUUUAUUGACUCAUUUUUUCUGUUGACUGAAUUUCAGGUAACUCAUCGACUUAGGCGGGUCGGCAUGGCGAGAGCUCGGUCAUCCUUAUUUAGUAAUUUUCUGUUUAAAUUAAACUUAUGCUAUAGUUGUUUUAUCUUGAAUUACAGAUUGCAAAUUUAUAUUUCUACACUAGUUCAACUAUUUAAACAUUUUCUGACAAUUAAACUUUAAUUAGUUAAAAGUGAGAAUUUCUUAAAUGAUUUGUUGUAGCUUUCCAAGCUUGGUCCUAACAUCUAGGUCGGGUUUGGGGUGUUACAACCCAAAACCCCCAAACUUUCCCCUCAAAACUUUUACUCCCCCACCCUUUCUCUUUCUCGCUCACCCUCCCAAACCCUUUUACUUUUCCCCCAAAACUUUUACUUCCCACUUUUACCCCCAAAUCAAAAAUCAAAAUCCUCCCAAAAAAAUCCUUAAACCUAAAUAGUAAUAAUUUUAUUUAUGGCCACUAUUUAUAUUAUAAAUUAAAUUUCACAUUUUCUAUUAUUUAUAUUAUUAAAUUGUUUAAUCAUUUUGAAUCUUUAUCAAUUUCUGUUAAAACUGUAUCAUUGAUGAUGUCAUACAUUAUUUGUGUUAAAAAUUUCUAUUGGUAUCAAUUUCACAUUUUAUCUUUAAAAUAAAUUUUAUUAAAAAAAUUACUUUUUUACAUUUAAUAUAUUUUUUAAUUUCAAAAUAUAUGGUGACAAGAAUUAGAAGAUAAUUGAAGCAACUAAGCAAGUAAAAAAGCUAACAUGUAUAUAAAAGAUUAAAUAAAUUAUGAAGGGAUGAAAGUUAAUAACACAUUUGAUUACGGUGGACAAAUUUGAUAAUGAUGGGUGACAGUGGCUACAAGGAUCCAAAGUAAUUUUUUCAAUUAACUGGAAACAAAUAUAUUCGAUUCGAUUCGAUAAAAUUUGAAAUCAUUUUAGGAUGAUAAAAUAAGAUUCGUCAACUCGAUUAACUCGAAGUUUUUUCAUUUGAUUCGAUUAGACGCUCACCCCUACAAAGUAUGACCGAUUGGUCUGAUUCUGAAAAAAAUUGGUUUUGAUCAAUGAAAGAACUUUUACGAUGGCGACAGGUCUAACAAACAGGUGAUAUUUUGAAAAGAAAAUUAAUCUCCAUAGUCUCAACCUUAGGAGGGUGAAUUUUGAGCAUUGCAUUUGUUGUCAUUGUUAGACAUUAUAAAGGAAGAAAAAAGAAAGAAAAAAGUUAAAAUGAGGGAAAUUAUUGAAAAAAAGAGAGAAGAGAAUAAUUAAUUUUUUUUAAAAUUUUACAUGUCAAUCUAUUAUUGAUUAGAUUUUUUUAAUGAGUGUAACAUUUUGGUGUUAAAUGGAUAAUAAAAAAAUAUUUUAAGUAUCAUUUAUGAUAAAAAUAUUUAGGUAUCAAUUUGAAAAAAAUAUGUAGCUUAGAUACUAAUUGAUGGGUUAAUUUUUUUAGCUUAAUAAUUUGAUUAAACCGAAAUACCAACUGAAAAAAAGUUUACUCGCCGCUUAUGAAAAAAAAUAAGUAUGAAUUUGUAAGUUAAAUCUCCCUAAAAGAAAAAAUAUAUCACAUUCAAUACGGGGUGAAUGAAGCAAUGAAUGCAAUGGGGUAUUACAACCAGCCACAUGUCAUUCAAUUCAUGUUAUAUCUACCUUGUUGGCCCCACAGGCGGUCUUUUCCAUUAUUUUCGAAGUGAACGACAUGAGUCGGACCUAUAUCGGCCCCAACAAACAACCUCAACCACUUGUUUUGUUAGGUUGUUGACUAAUUUGAAUAUGUCGGCUCAAAGCUUUUUGAAAAUUAAAUUAUUUUUUAUAUUAAUAUCAUAUAGGUAUAAAAAUUUAACGUUUUGUAAAAAAAAUAAAUUUAGUGUUAAAUUUAAAUAAUUAUAAAAAAUUAUACAAAAUACAAAGACAACUUAGAGUCAAUAAAAAAAAUAUGGAAAAUCAAUUCAUACAUGAAAUGGCAUAAAAAUAUUAUGAACACUAUACAAAUAUAUGAAUGUUUUUAUAUCUAUAUAAAAUAAGUUAUUAACGCUUAAAUUUCAACCAAUUAAAUAUUAAUUUAACUAUAAACUAUAAAAAAUUAAAAUUUCAUUUACCCUAAACAAUUAUUCUAAUUUCGCCCCUGUAUAAAAUAGUUGUAAUAUUAAAAAAAAAGUUAUACGAAUAUGGAGUGUUAAAAAAAAAGGCUUUCAACUUUUAAUAUUCCAAACAAAUAAAAGAAAUAAUAAUAACAGUUUACAAGUGCAAUAAAAGUAAUACAUAUUUGAUGAAUUAAAAAUAGAAUAAAUAUAACUAACUAUAACAGAAAUAUAUUUAGAUUUAAACCAAAUUUUUUUGAAGAUGAAAUUUGAACUCACAAAUAAUAUUUAUAAAUGAUGAUAUGUUUUAGAACAUGUAUAUUUUAAUUUCAUUUGAUAUUUAAAUUAAAUGAAUGAAAUGAGUAUAUUAGCAUAAAUAUAUUGAAUUUCUAGAUUUAUUAAAAAUCCAACUAAAUAGAGUAGAUCCAUAAAUUUAAAAAAUGAUUAUGGAUUUUGAAAUAUAAAUCUAAAAUUUAAAAUCUGAAACCCUCCUAAAUGUUUUCCAAAGUAAGGCGGGGAUAAAUGGUAUAGGGAAGACGGUGGGUAGAUAGAUGUACGGUUUAUUUAUAACUUCGUUUUUAUUAGUCGGCUUACAGUUUCAUAAAAAGCAUCCGUGCAAGGCAUGUUCAAAUGCUGCACUAGCAUACCACUACUAUAAAAAAAACACAUACAAGAGCACCACAAAUUUAUCCCAAAAUACAUUAAAUAAAUGACUCCUAAGGGUGCCAGAUUUAACUAGUGUGUCUGGGAUUGUAUUAGCCUCUCUGAGGCCAUGUGAAAAAAUUUAAUGUUAUUGUUAUAUUUCCAUCUCGAUACGUUGCAAGACAUGAAGCAAUCUGUAAACAACUCUCUUUUGGAAGCAGUUUGCAUACGACUCUUCGCUAAGAACCAUUUGUUGUGAUCUUUCGCUUAGGAUUGCUCACAAAUGACCCCCAUGCACCCUAUCUCUCUCCCUCCUUAACUCAUCAUCUUGAACUCUCAUCCUAUUAUAGGUGAAUCGAGACUCUUCUCCUCCACCCUUUCCUCGUUGGUUACUUGUAGCAAAAAAAAUUAAUUUCACCGAAAAUGUUGGAGAGAUCCCAUGGUCUAAGUGUGUUGUUAGAGCAAAGCUCGAUGGCAAAUUUGGAGUCAAAUUUUAGAAUCAACCCUUUAAAAUCCAUUACACCGUAAAGGAAAAUUUUUACAAUUACAUUAACAAUAAAUAUUCAAAAUUUACUCAUCUAUCUAUACUUAUAUUAAGCCUUAUUUGAGUUGGAGUCAAGAGUCAACUAGGUACUAACUCAGUUGAGAAUUUACUAAAUAAUUUUAAUAUAAAGUAAAAAAAAUAUUAAUACGAGGGUGUUUUUAUCUUUUCAUAUUUUUAAAUAAAAAUACUAUAAUAAGAUUUAAACUUAAGUUUAAAAUUUCAAUCAAAACAUCACUUAAAUUUAAAAUAACAUUUUUAUAUAAAAUGUGUUUAGAUUCUAAGAUAAUGAAAUUUAUGAUGAGGUAUUCAAAAUGUGUUUGAAUAUGCUAAUGAGAUAUUCAAAUUGGUAUGCACAUUCCUAAUCAGGGAGCAUUAAUGAUAAUUUAGUAAAAUAAAUUAUCUCAUUAGCAUAUAGUUUAUUAUAAAAUUAUUGUGUAAAAUAAACAAUUCACAAACUUAAGAAUUUAUAACACAAAAAUUAUACAUCAAUGUUGUUAGAAUUGUAUUAUAUCCAUCGGUUGAAUUUAAAUUUAAAAAUUUAAUCAGCGAUAAUAAUUAAAAUCGUUUCAAACUAGUAAAAUAUUGAAAAUUAAGAACUAAUAAAAUAGAUUCUAAUUAUUUUUAUUUAAAAAAUGUUACCUUCUUAUUCAGGUUACAUUAAGACAAACCCAUCUUAAUUAUAAGUAUCAUAUUGUGAAUGGUAAACUUCUUACACAACAUCCACCAUUUGUCCAAAUAUGUUAAAUUAGGUGCAACAUAGAAAUUUUAUUGUAAGGAGUGAAUCUCAUUGUUUUUAUUUUCAUCAAACAUACGUCUAACUUUAUUAUUACGGGAUUAGAACUUAAAUUUGAUAAAUUGUGUGGUUUUAGGUGAUUUCUUUUCGUUAAAUUUAUCUAAAUCAACCUAACACUCGAAAAGUGAGAAUUCUCCUAAAAAUUCUUUAUGUUAGCAAAAAAUAUAGUGGAAGUAACUUGAAACGAAAGAGCAAUGAGAGAAUUGAAAAGACACAAGAAAAUAAUGCAUACAAGGUGUUUGAGUAAAUGCUCUCAAUAAAUUCUUUAACUCAAGAAGGAAUGAAGUACAACCAGUAUCUAGCCCCCCUAAAAUAGAAAAUUUUCCAUUUAUAUACCUUUAUAAUUUAUAAAAUUUAAAAUUUUACUUUCCCAUAAAAUGAUAAAAAAUUGAUUUAUUUCUUUAAAAAUUAUAAAGAUGACUAUUAAAAUAGUAAAAUUGUAUUUUUAUUAUUGUAAAAAUAUACAAUUUAAUUCUGUCUCCCAAAUUUUUUUUUUUUGGUUUCAUCCCUAAGUACAAUGAUCGUUGUAGCAGGAUACAUAGGCAUUCUAGCACAGAAUGCAAAUAUGUUGCCAAUUAACUUCGAGUCAUGGCAUAAAGUGCCCGAGAGUAACAAGAACCAAGCUCUCGAUAACAUUAAGGUAACAAAAUGUGUAUAUCAUUUAUAAUACUUGAGUUUAAGUUUCGUUUACAUUUACUUUCUGAAGUUGUGUUUUUUGUAGGGGAGAUUUGCUCUAGAGGUCUCCGAUGCUUAUGUAAAGAAGGCAUUGGGAAAAAGAUGGAGAGACCAUAAGAGCACUUUAAAGAAAGACUAUUUUAAGACAAAAACAACACUCGACGAGAGAUUACAAAAUGUCACGCCGGGAAUGCUGAGGUACCAGUGGGAAGAAGUCGUUAGAUUUUGGACUUCGAAGAAAGGAGAGGUAUGUGUUACUACAAAAAUCUUGUAAUUAUUUUGGUUUAUAGUAUUUACUAAUUAACGUACUAAUAAUUUCAUAACGUAGGAUCGUGAACGAGUUGGAACAAGUAGUAGGCAGAAACAAAAAUUCACGCACACAGCUGGGUCGAGAAGUUUUGCGUGUGUAGCUCAGGCCGAGGUAUUUUGAAUUUUUUAAUACUGGCAGAUAUUUAUUACUUUCUAUCAAAUAAUAUUUUUACUAUUGUAUUGUAGGAAGUGUUGUCGGGUCAAAAAGUUGGACGCCUUCAACUUUUUGACAUUACACAUAGGAAGAAAGAUGGAAACCCUAUGACUCCUGAAGCUGCAGAAAUUAUGGUACGUUUGCUUAAUACAAUUUGACUUGUUUUAAUUAUUUAUGCUGUUUAUUUUCUAAUGUUUUUUAUUACAUUUCUUGUAAUGCAAAUAUUGUUAAGUUAUGUUGCAUUUGUUUUGUUAAUAUAUGUUGCGUUCUUAACUAUGUGAUUUAUUUUUUAGGAAAAACUGAAGGAUAAAAAGGCGGAGUACGAAGCGAUUGCUUCCAGUGAUAGUUCUGUUCAUAUUGACGACAUUGAUAACCGGAUUAUCACUGAAGUUUUGGGUCCUGAAAGGUAUGGUCGGGUUCGAUUUCAAGGAUCUUUUGUUAACCCAUCCCAAUAUUUUGGAUCCAGCUCGCAACAAUACAUGCAUUCGGGGAGUCAGGCUCAAGCUGAAGUUCAGAGGUUAAGAGACCAGAUAGCUCAGAUGCAAGCGGCAACGAGUGAGCAAAUUACACAACUUAAAGCGGAGGCAACAUCGAGAGAAGCUGAGGUUCAAAAAAGAUAUGAAGAACUCCAGCUACAACUUAAAGCAGAUGCGGCAGCGAGAGAAGCAGAGGUAGCAGCGAGAGAAGCUGAGGUUCAACGAAAGUAUGAGCAACUGCAGCAGCAGCUUAAAGAAGAUGCGGCAACGAGAGAAGCAGCGGCUGCAGCGAGGGAAGUAGAGGCUGCAGUGAGGGAAUCAGAACAGCAUAAAAAGUUCGAUGAACUCCAGCAGCAGCUUCAGAAUAUGAUGAAGAUGUUUCAGCAGUCGCAACCGCCGUCAUCUUAGACUAUCGUUUAAAUAUACUUCAAUUUUGACUUUGGUAUUAUUAUUUUAACUUUUACAAUUUCUGUCAGAAUAAUACGAAUUUUAUUUUAUUUAUUGACAUUUAUUUUAAAUAUUAUAUAGAUUUGGUUAGAUUUGGUUGGUUGGAUUUGGUUUCUUCUGAUUUGUUUUUAUAGGAGGGGGCUGAAAUUUUUUUUUUCAAAUCUGCAAAAAUUAGCGGCGUUUUUUUGGAUAAGCGCCGCUAAAGACCAUCGUCUAUAGUGGAAUUUUUUGGCUAAGCGCCGCUAAAGACCAUGGUCUAUAGUGGCAUUUUUCGGCUAAGCACCGCUAAAGACCAUGGUCUAUAGUGGCGUUUUUUGUCUAAGCGCCGCUAAAGACCAUGGUGUAUAGUGGCAUUUUAUGGCUAAGCGCCGCUAAAGACCAUGGUGUAUAGUGGCGUUUUUUGGCUAAGCGCCGCUAAAGACCAUGGUCUAUAGUGGCGUUUUUUGUCUAAGCCCCGCUGAAAACCAUGGUCUAUAGUGGCGUUUUUUGGCUAAGCGUCGCUAAAGACCAUGGUCUAUAGUGGCGUUUUGUGGCUAAGCGCCGCUAAAGACCAUGAUCUAUAGUGGCAUUUUUCGGCUAAGCGCCGCUAAAGACCAUGGUCUAUAGUGGUGUUUUUUAGGCUAAGCGCCGCUAAAGACCAUGGUCUAUAGCGGCGUUGCAAAGAAAACGCCGCUAAAGACCAUGGUCUAUAGUGGCGUUUUUUAGGCUAAGCGCCGCUAAAGACCAUGGUCUAUAGCGGCGUUGCAAAGAAAAUGCUGCGAAAGGUCUUGAUCUUUAGCGGUGUUUAUUAUAAAAAGCGCCGCUAAAGUUACCGACGCUGUCAUUAGCGGCGAUCCUUGCGGCGCUUCGUAAAGCGCCGCUAAAAGUAUUUGCGGCGCUAAAAAAUGCCGCUAUAGACCUAAAAAAGCGCCGCUAAAACCCUGUUUUGGUGUAGUGUGAGAUGAUUACAAAUGAAGGGGGAGAUCUCUAUUUAUAGUUGAGCUCCCCUAGAUCCAAUAGUAUAGAUUGAAUUACAUCAACGAUUGAGAUUAGUACUUAUCUACAAGAUGAGUCUUAAGGAUUUUAAACUCUAUACAUCUUUAUCCCUUAGGAUUUACAUUAAUUACUCUGGUAACUCUAGUUUUACUGGAGAGUUUCACUGAACCACCAAAGGUUUAAGUAGAUGAGCUUCUCCAUAUGUUCCACGAGUUGGACAAGUUCAAGCGGAUCAAAUGAGCCCAAUUUAAUUAGUUAAUCUCAAUAAAACGUUCUAUGCACAAUGAUCAUGAACUUUGAUCCACAUCUCAAAAUGAUCAGAUGAAUAAUCUCUCUUAAUUAUAUUUUUAUAAAACUUGAUAUUUUCAUUUAAAAAGAAACACAAUCACAUAUAAUAAUGUCUCCAAAAGAGUCGUCCACUUCAAAGAUUUAAAGUAAUGUAAGAAUGAACCCAACAUUUUUCAAUUAAAAAUAUGUCGAUAGAUAUAGCAAGUUGUAUAACCUUUCAAUUACAAAACAGAUUUCAAUGGGGAUUGCAUCCGGUACAUGCAACUAAAGAACAGAACCGGUGCAUAAAUUGAUUUAAUUAAACUUUGGGUUGAGUAAUCAUGAUUUUCAUUAUUAUUAGACUACGUGAAUGUUGAUAUAAAAUGCUUGAGAGAAGGGUAUAGAAGAAACACAAAAUAAUGAGUGAUAUUAAUUUGUAGAUAAAGAUAAUAUUACAUAGUCGCAAAAAGCGACCUAGUACACAACGCACAACUCUAAAUUAGGAUAACUCCUCUGCUAUCCCUAUGGAUGGAUUUUAACAUCCAUAUUUAUUCUGUAGCUAUCGUUAUUUUGGCUUCCACUAGCUGGUGAACUUUCCAUGCCAAAACUUCACUUAACCCUGCAAAUGAAACAACAAAAAACACAACAUUAAAUGUUGAGCAAUUAAUAAGCAUAAGCAAUGAAACAACUCAUACGAACCUGCUGCAGUCAGUGCUAGGGCUGAUCUUGUAAGGGAUGUUGACACCGCACUUGCCUGGGAGUCCGCUUGCAAUACCAUAGUUGAUGCCAGGAAUGCCGGCGGCCGCACUUUUGAUGCAUUUGCAAGCUGCUUGCCGGUCUGGUGUUGUUUGGGCGGCGGAGUUGAGAGAUUUGAUGCCGCUGCAGCAACCUUGGGGAACGGCACCAGCACCAUUCCCUCUCAAGUAAUUAAUGCAGGGUGCGAGGGAGCCUGUGACUUGACCACAGGUUACGGUCCCUUGAGCCAGGGGUGCACCCACCACCAUGCACAACACCACCACACAUGCAAGCUUAAGGGACAUUGAGCUAGCCAUAUCGAUUAAUUACAAGAAAAACAAACUUGUAAGGAAAAUGCUUGCUUGGAGUAGUAGUAGUAUUGCUGAUUGUUGCGUGGUUAGGGCCCGAGGGUAGGAGGGUUUUUAUAGCCAAAAGUUUUGUGAAGGGAUAUGGAACGAACUGAGAAACACGUACGAAUAGAAUAUGGUUAGGCGUUGGUAGUUGUCCCAAUUCAAUGCCAAGGUUUCUUUUUUUCUUUUUCAUGUUUCAGCUUAUGGUUGAGUGUGUUUAAUGCUUUGAAAAAGGUUUGUAUCUACCACUUUCAUCUUCAUCACUAAUGCUGAAUUACUCCGUUGAUUAAUGCAUCAUAUUAGCCUUGUCCUAGUGUUACCGGUUUUCUGAUAUUAGUAGCUUUACCAAUAAAAGAUGCUAUCAAAUAUAGUUUUCAGGAUGAUAUUAAAAAUUAAGGUUUUUUAGUUACAAAUAAAAUUGUCACAUUAUCAAAUUUUAAAGAUAUGAAAUUAUUAUUAUAAACUCAUCUAUAGAGAAAUUAUUUUAUGAGCCCUUUCCACCACAUUAUUCACAGUCCAUUUUCAAUUAUUUAAUAAUAUUUCAACAAUAUUUUUCAUGUCAUUGACACAUAAUUUUAAUAAAUUUUUUACCCUGAACCUUGAGUCUAGAAUCCCAAACCCUAAAUAAAAAACUUAAAACCCCAAACUAUAACCCCAAACACUUGCAUCAUAAACUCGAACCGCGAACCUCAAACUCAUAAUCUGUAACCUUGAACCCAAACUUGUAAUCUCGAACCCUUGAACCCUUGAACCCUGAACCUAAACCUUGAACCCUGAACUCAAAGCCCAAAACCAAAACUGAACCCUGAACCUUAAAUCUCAAACCCAAACCUUAAACCUCGAGGUUUGGGUUCAAGGUUCAAGGUUCAGGGUUUGAGUUCAAGGUUCGAGGUUUAGGAUAAAAUAAUUACCAAAAUUUGUAACAGAAUAAAAGAGUUCGUUUAUAAUUUAAAAAGCAAUUAUUUUAAGUAAUUUAAUUAAAGUGAAAUUAAGUUAGAGAAAAUAUUAGAUAUAGAUGAGUGUAUAAUAAUACUUUAUUGUCUUUAAAAUUUAAUGACGUGGUACUAUUUUAUUGGUGCCUCAAACUAUACUUUUUAGAAUAAUCCUAAUACAAUUUAUUCCCAUAUUAAAUACGUAUGCUUUCUAUAUUUUUUCGAAAAAAUAAAUUUUAUUCAUAAACUUUCUAUAUAUAAAUAUAUGUUUUAUUUAAAAUUUAUAAAUACAGAAAAAUUAAAAUAUAAAUAUAUGUCAAAGUAGCUAUUAAGUGUAGAAUUAAACAAUUAUAACAUAUAAAUAGAUUAAAAAUUAGGACAAAAAAUCAAUCUAUUACAUAAAAUAUAAAUUAUGAAUGAAAACAAUCUAAAUUAUAGUCUGGCUAAUCAAACUAAAACUUACAUAUAACCAUAUGACUUUAAGGGUCUUGAAUAUGGUUACUUAAAAGCUUAUAGUUCAGCUUUUACCCACUACGUCAAGGCUUCAUUUACGUUUUUUUUAACCAUAUAUUUUUCAUAUAAUUAUAUAUAUAUAUUUUGCAUAAAAAAUCCCCAAGACGUUAAUUACUUCUAUAUAAUGUAGCGAUUAAGUCCUCAAACAAAAAUUGCUCAACAUCAAUGCAUGUAUAGAUCAAUUUUAUAUAUCAAAGACCAAUACUAUCUUUUUCUUAAAAAAAAAAAAAAACCAAUAUGUUGUGAUUGCUUAGCUAUUGUUCCUAAGUCUUCCUGAAAAAGGUUUCACAGCGAGAGGAGAAAAAAAAAAGUUGAACUUGUCUUGGUUUGCCCCAUAAUGAUUGAAGCAUAGACAAGAUUAUAAAUGUUAAUUUAGUAUACGACAUAAUAAUAUAAUAUAAUAUAUUUAAAUGUAUAUCUCCUCACCUCCUAGACGCUGUCAGUUAUUUUAUUUUUUGGGAUUCUUUUAACAAAAGGUUGAGCUUUUUAUUAGGUUUUAUUUGAUUUUUCAUUUAUUAAUAUAAUUUUUUUAUUUUUAUAUAUUUUAGUUAUUAUUAAUUUUUGUUGGAAAUUUGUACGGUCUUGUUCUAACAACAAUUACAACAAGCUUUUUGGAACAAUCAAAAGUUUUGGGUGUUGGCAUGUUUGACUUUUAAUGGCUUAUGUUUUAAUAUUAGUUAACAACAAAUGAUAAGAGAAUUUCAUGGUAAAUUAGAAUAUAAUUAUCAUCCAUUUGAUUAGUCUUGAAGAGGAAGGAGAGGAGUUUUAACUUUGGUGGACACCCAUCCUUAUCCUUGUCUUUUAGAGUGUUUGAAGCUAUUGGAGAACUUGGUUUUAAAGAUUUUAUUUGAUAAAUAUUCAAAAUAAUUAAUUUGAUAAUUUCAACUUUUAAAGGAGAGUUUAAAACUUAUCAAAAUAUUAUUUGAUAAACACUUGUAGAGGCGUAUAAAUAGGCAACAGUGUGGUGUAACUUUGUUUGUUGUUUUGGAGUGUCUUAAACUUUUAUUUUUUUGCUAUUCCAUUGGGUAACUUUAUGACACUCUCUUUUUAGGUAUUAUUUGGAGAUGUUUAGUAAUUGUAUUGUGAGGAAUUUGAGUGAGUGAUUGCAUUGAAGAAAUGCGACCUAAAUGUAUAUGUUAAACUCUUAUCUAGGACAUAAAUUCCAUGAACAAGGUACCCAUGUUAAUAACAUGUCACCACUUCGCAUCUUUAUGGUAUUGACCCUAUGUAGUUAGACCCUAUAUGACGUAAACAACACUUAUAGUGUGCACGAUAUCGUAGGCUUGAACGUUGAUUGAAUGCAACCUAUAUUUUGGUGCCUUUGUCGGAAAUGAUGUAUGCAUCGGGUUGCGGUACAAAUGCCUUCUCAGGUUAGUUAAGAAGAAAUCCCAUUCAUCAUUGGAUUCUUCAGGAGUUAUUACAAAAGCUAUUGGCAGGAUUUUUAGGUUACCAUCUUAUGCAACAACUACUAACAACCGAUGGUCGCAUAUUCUAUACAGGAAUGUGCCGUUAAUUUGGAAAAGUGGCUUACAGUACCAAAAUGUAGUUCUGCAUUGCUUAAAAGUCCAAAAGCAACGGUGGAAAACUCCUUUUCCAGGGACCAAGCAAUCGUCAUAAUACGCAGGCUCCAUUUUUAACUUGGUUACAGAACCUAGUAUGUACCACUCUAGUAUCUAACACCAUUGCCACAAUUUAUAGUAGGAUUUCUCCCACCCUCUAUUCAUUUUCUCCAAUGCCUUCUAUUUUUGCAACUAUGUCUUAUGCUAGGACAUGGUGUAAUCGGAUUCUCUACAGAUGUGUGCGAUCAAAAUUGGGACCAGAAUCGUAGGACUUGCUUUUGCCAUGGGUAAUAGAAUUUUAGAUAUCAUGUCUAAAUCUAAUUUUGGAUGAUCAUUCGAUAUGCUUGAAAAACAAGAAAUCAAGUCACUAUGUGUAAUAGAAUGUAAAAAAAGGCUAGGAUUCGAGUCGAUGUUGUUAGCCAUAUUACAUACCAGCUACAACACAUGUAUGUGGCACGAUAAAUUUCCUACGUUUAAAAUGCCAACUUCUUCGUCAUAAAUGCCAUGAUUUUCCAUAGACAUCUUGUUGCACGCAUUGUGCGCAUCGCCUUAUAUUUCUCGGAUUGAGAGCAUGUAAUAGUGAAGUUGACACCAAGUUGUAUGCUAUACUACUUGAUUGUAGCUACAAAAGCAUAUUUGGAGUCAAAUUCCAUCCCAACCUCUAAGUGGUCGAAAUUUGUUGAUGAAGUCGCAUACCUUAGUCUUCUACGGGGGAGGUCUGGGAAUUCUAAAACCACUUUCACUAGUAAGACUGAGAGUACGCAUAUGGGGUGGGGGUUUGUAUUUCGUGAAACUUAGGUCAUCCCCUCGAGCGAUGUCUAAAGCUUGACCAUUAGAUCCAUCGUCUUCUAGUUCAGUAGGAAUGGGAUCUAGUUCUAAAAUUACUACAAUUUCGCACCAUCCAGUCCAACCACCUCUCCUGGGUCAUUAUCUGAUUUAGACCCCUCUUUGACCACUUUGUUCUCUUGUCCCUCUUUGUUAUCAACCCUGGUUGUAAGUCCAGGGUUGGAUGUACCCUCUCUGGUCAAAGUUGUCAAGAGUAGAUCAUUCAUUCUUGUAAAUCCGAUGUCAAUCCCAAAAUCAAUUCUGUUUGGCCUACCCAGUAACUUGAUGGUGUACCAUAUGAGUGUUAUCGAGGUUGAACAUAGGUGUGUCAAAGUUGAAACCAAAGGCACUGAUAGAAUGUUGUGCGGCUGUGUUGUAGGCCUGGUGACCGAAUACGUCUAACUAUCCCCCGAAGUUGAAAUCGAGGGAUGAAAUCGAUGAAUGCCUCACCAUUGAUGAUGUUAAUAAUGUGUCUUUGUAUAAGCUUUGUAGAAAUGAUCUGAAUCCACAACAAAACCGUGUGGCCAGACUUUUUGCUUCUUGAUUUGGCUAGAAAUUUGGCGGACACGGUAUAAUCGAGCUUGGGCCACCUUUUUCCUCUUCAGCAAAGACUGUAUAUUCUCACUAGAGUAAUGAGUUUCGAUCACUGUCUUCAAACCGUUGUCCCCUGUGAUCUGAAAAAUGGAAUAUCUAACGGGGUUAAAUGAUGUUAGAUAUCUACAUUUCAGGCUCAAAAUUCUUCUUCAGAUCCCUACUUUAUGCCUAAACCUUGUUCAAAGCUCUUUUAACGUUAUGCUCUAGUUGAAUGUCAGAUCUUUAGAUUGGGUUGAUACAAAAAUGGGCUCAAUUUCAGCCUCACAAUUUUGACCGUUGUAAUGGACAAUAGCUCUGGCUCGUCUCCUCAUCUUGAACCAAAUAUUCUAUUCCACAUGUUUAAAAUCGAGAAAAUUGUAAAAAUAUAGUUCUCAUCACCCAAAUCCCUAAAUUUACACUUACUUUAAUGAAAUACCUUUGCUUCGACAAUAUUGUCAGUAUAAAAUUUUUGUUUUUUACUACAACAUCGAUAACUCCUAAUGCCAACAAUCUGCUUCAAACAUCUGUAUGGAAAAUCCAAGAAUUAUAUUGAGUUUUUUUAUAGAGCCUUUUCCUCGACGCACAUGAAACGAUUCUAGCAACAACACAUGUCAAGGCAUUAGUUGUUUUUGAGGUAUACACUAAAAAUUAAAAUUUGUGGGGGAGAAAACGUUCCCCGCAACGAUGUUUUUCAGCACCUAGACAUAGCAUUGAAAUUUAUCCUAGGAAUCCCGGGUUGUAGGGGCUUAGAGGUUGAAGCAAUCAAGUUGGCUUGGGUAUUGAAAGACCAUAAAGAAAAUGCCUAUUGCAGGAAGCAUUUCCACCUGACUUGGCAAUCAAAAUGCCUCCUGCAGGACGCGUUUUCCAGCCACAUCUCUGAUAUGUUAGUCGAAAACGCAUCUUGCAAGAGGCGUUUGUACUGCCAUGUUAGGUAAAAACACUUCCUGCAGGGAACAUUUUCUUUAUGGCCAUUUCAACACCCAGGCCAACUUAAUUGCUUCUGCCUCUGAGCCCUUACAACACGGGAUUCUCGGGAUAAAAAAAUUUCCCUUUUUACCCCACCCCAUCCCUUAUAUAAAUGCAUGUUCUCAUCCCCUACUCACCCAUAUCUCAGUCUCCUUUAAAUUAUUUUUUUCUUUUUCUUCCGUGUUGAAAUUUUCAAGUUUAAAGAUUUAUUUCUCUCACACUUUGAGGGGGAUGUAAUCAUAGUUUUAAGUUGUGUUUGAGUUCACAAUAAUGUCGUGGCGCUUGAUAACUUACAAAUUUCACUUGUCGUGUGAGUAUGGAGCCAUCACUUGAGAAAUCGAGAUCGCUUUGCAACUCGAGGUCCAAGUUGACGGUGUAAAUAAGGCUUCAAGUUUACAAAGGUUAUGCUAUUAAAAGGAUGGAGCAAAACCGGGACUGUAGUUGAUGAUGGUGAUGCAAGCACAAGAACUAGUUUUUCCUCAUUGGAAGAGCAUACUUUAUAAAAUCCAUAUACAAGUACGAGGGAGAAAAUCACAGGGGUCUUCCAGUAUAAUCAAGUAAUUCAUUUUAUCCUUUUCCAGCAAAGGCAAUGACCCUGUUACUAAAACCUAUUACAUCCCAAUUCUAUCAUAGGUAAUAGUAACGGUGUCACUGUCUUUGGUGGAGAUGGAUAAAAAAAUUUACUUAAUUAUACUGAGAUACCAUUGCAUUUUUCUUCCUCGUACUUGUGUAUGAGUUUUAUAAAGCAUCAUUUUCUAAUGAAAAAAGUUUUUUGUCGUGCCCGCAUAACCAUUGUAAAUUACAGCUCCAAUCAUACUCCGUCCUUUGAUAGCGUAACAUUUUGUAAACUUGAAGCUCUAGUUACACUUCAAUUUCAGACCGUAUAAUCACCCUUAACUGGGACCAUGAGUUGCAAUGCGAUCUGGCUUCUCGGGUGAUGGCUCCAUACUCACAUGACAAAUGAAAUUUGUAGGUCACCUAACUCCACGACACCACCAUAAAUUCAAACAUUCCUUAAAACUAUAACAGUGUCUAUCUCAAACAAGAAUGAAAAUAAAUGUUCAAACUUCUAAUUUCAAAUUGCAAGAAAAAAAAAAGAAAAAAAUAAAUUUUAGCAAAGUAAAAAUGGGUCCUACCGGCACAUUUUCAUUGCCACAUCAAUGAAAAUACACCUCGUACGACACGUUAUUCUUUCUUCGUAAACAAUGUAAAUCAAUAAAUUUAAAAAAAAAUUAUACAUUCUCAAAUAACUCUUUUUUUCAGCAUUUUUGUUAAAUUUAUCCCAUAAUACUGCUACUUCUUGUUUCCUGGGUUAUUUUUAUUACUGCUGGUUGUACCACCCUCCUACUGUGCGCCGGUUAUAGCAACUCACUCAAGAUUCUAAAUACUAAUAUAAACACCAUUUCUUUUAUUCUUAGUUUUUUUAGUGAUUAACGUGGUUUUAAUUAUCGUUAGAUCACGUGGGUGUUUAUAUGAAAUGCUUGAAAUCGUCACGCAGGACAAAAAAAAAAAAGAAAAAGAAAAGGAAAUGAAGAGUAUAUAUAUAGAGGAAACAACUAGUGAGAGUGAUAUUAAUAUUUAGAGUAGGUAAAGAUAGUAUUAUAUAGUCGCAUAUGCGACCUUGUACAUUACCACUAACUCUAAAACUAGGAUAACUCCAACAAUGAAUAGUACCGCUAUGGAUUUUUAACAUUCAUUUUUAUUCUGUCGACAUCACUAUUUCCCUUCCAUUAGCUGAUCCCAACUUCCAUGACCACACUUCACUUAAUGCUGCAAAUGCAACCACACCAAACAAAACAUUCAUAAAUUAAUAAAUCAAUUGCCAUAAGCGAUAAACUUUGGGUCAUUUUCUUUUUCCGUAAUUUCAAAGAAACCUAGUUUAAAUUAGAUACGAACCUUUUGCAGUCAGUGGAAGGGCUGAUCUUGUAAGGGAUGUUGAUACCGCACUUGCCUGGGAGUCCGGCUGCAGUGCUAUAGUUGAUGCCAGAAAUGCCGGUGGCCGCACUUUUGAUGCAGCUGCAAGCUGCUUGCCGGUCUGGUGUUGUUUUGGCGGCAGAGUUGAGAGAUCUGAUGCCGUUGCAGCAAGCUGGGGGAGCAGAACCAGCACCAUUCCCUUUCAAGUAAGCAAUGCAGGGUGCGAGGGCGCUUGUGAUUUGACCACAACUUAUGGCCCCUUGAGCCAGGGGUGCACCCACCACCAUGCAAAACACCACCACACAUGUAAGCUUAAGGGACAUUGAGCUAGCCAUAUCAAUUAGUCACAAGAAAACAAACUUGUAAGGAAAAUGCUCGCUUGGAGUAG